rnacentral:lncRNA from 1 species
AUUAUUAUUUAGUUUAGAGUUUCGACCUCUAGUGAUCGAAAACCCUGGUUCAAAGCCGGCAGCUUACGCACCCGUAGUGGUGUUGGGUUGGUGGCCAAGAAAAGCUGCAUCAGCAUUCUCAUCACUGCAAUAAAGGCAAGGGUGCUGCUGCCCAAAUCCUAGGUUUAUUAUUUCAUUCCUGGCCUUCACCACAAGCUGUCUAUUGGUUAAUGCACCAUUGCUCUCCUUGAUGACCUUCAGAACUGUAUAGGUAAAGGCCCCAAACGCCUUUCCUCCAGUUUUGUCACUCGCUCGCAUAUCAAAUGAAAACUCAUUGGCUUGGCACCCACUUAACAGAAUUCCCUCAUCCUCCGUCAAUGACCUCAAAUUCAAAAUAUCACGUUCAUAAUGGGGUAGGAAUUUGAGACUCACAUUGUUCCCAAAGAGUGUGGUCAAAAGAGAGCCAAUACCCGUCAUAUUGUCUGUUCCAGUGUUGAUGGCAUUGGCAACUGCUGUUGUGUCCAAGAAGCUUUGUGUCGCGCUCACGACGUUGGCUGCUGUUUGUAGGCACUGGUAUAAGGUUUCAAUGGAAAUGCCCCUAGUCUUGUAAUCAACAGGUGGUGCUAUACCCCUUAGAGUACUAUGGGGUCCAAUUUGUUCUUUACUUUUAUCAAUCAGACCACCACUGUGGCAGGAAUCCGAAACCAUUGUGAAGCUUGAUCCACUUGGUAGUUGCUGAAUCAAUUGCCCCAAGUCCACGUCUGCACAACCAUGGCAACCACCAUAUGAUAUAAAUAAUAGUUUGCUUAGAUUGAGAGUAUUUUAAAAUUUUAAUUUACCAAGUUGAUUUCGUACCAAAAAUGGGAUUGAGAUCACAAGGCACAAUUGCUUCACCCCCGUUGGAAGGCUGGUAGGGGUCAAUGCAGUGCACAAGUCCAUGUCCACUAAAAUGGAAAAGCAGGACAUCUCCUUCUUUAGCCGCGACCACCAUCUUCUUGAGUUCAGCCAUAAUGUUUGCACGUGUAGGCUUAUACGUGGACUCUGGUUCAUCAGUUAGGAGCUCAACAUUUUCGGAAUCAAAGCCAAACCUGCUCACGAUCAUUUCUCUCAUGGCUUUCACAUCGUUUACGCAUCCGCUCAACUCGUUGAUGGUGUUGGGGUAGUUGCAUCCGACCAGAACGGCUCUCUUCUUACAUUCGGUGGCCAUCUUGCUUCUAUUUUGGGUCGCUUGUCUUGUCUUGUGCUUCGGACGUUGCACUAAACACCUAUAUAUAUACACCCAUACACACUGUAGUUUACACUAUGCUCACUGACCAUACUCUAAUAAAUAAGACAUCAUGUUGGUAGGUACAACUGUUUUAUUUUAUUAUUGUUUAUAAAAAUGCAUGGCAAAUCCAUAUACAUGCAAUUAGUUGUCUGUAUAAAAGUACCACUGUUAGAGUGUAUUUGGACUAAAAAUUUUAGAAUUAAUUUAAAAUAUUAAAAUUUGUAAUUGUUUUAUUUGGAUAAAUAAUUGAUUUAGGACAAAUUAAGUUAUUAGAAUUUUACAAAUUAAAAAUAGUUAUAAAAUAAAAAUUUUAUAUUACAAAAAAAAUUAAAAUUAACAUUAAAAUAAUUAUAAAAUAUUUUAUACACAAAAAUGAAUAAUUUGAAAAGCUUUCCAUAUUAUUAAGUCCAAAUUUGAUACCACACUUUUCCAAUUAAGCAAUUUUGAUAUAUUUGGCCUCUAAUAAGAAAUCAAGAAAUGGAAUGGGUGAUUAAUCCGAAUUGGGAGGAGGACAGGUGUUGUGAUGGACAAAGAGGAAGAUAAGGUAGGUAUUCCUUUUUGCAGACAAAUAAGAUAAAAGAUAGAAAAUAUACAGUGGUGGUCGAAGCUAGAGGAUUAUAACAGCACUGAUAUGAUCUGCUUCGCCUUCGUCCACCACCUCAUCUUUAUGUUUUUAUCUUGGUCGUGACUCACGUUGGCCUUCGUCUGCAAGUGCUGUCGGUCCUACUAUCGAGAUUCUGCUGCCUAGCUUUCGAUUUCUAUGGCCUUAUUUGGCAAUUGGCUCAUAAUGGGCAAAUUAUAAUUGUAUAAUGUUUAAGUUAUAAUUUUAUAGAUUUAAGAGAGAUCAAAAUAACAAUUUUUUAUUUUAUGGGUAUAAAGAGUAUUUUUCAUUUUAAGGGGGUCAUGGUUAGAUGUGAUUAUGGGUGGCGGUGUGCUCGAAAAGUGGGAGGGUUUAGGUAAAAAUAUAGGCAUGAAAAAUAGGUUUAGAUAAAAAAAAUACCCGUUUUCGAAACAGGUCGAGCCUUGAGUAAGAUUUUCUUUGUCCGGGCCCGGCCCGACCCAAAUUUGAUUAAAAAAAAAUUCUUGGUGUUGUUUAAUGUUGUUUUGCUACCAUUUUACUAUUAUAUUGCUACUAUUUUGUUGUUAUUAUUUGGAUGUUUUAUAACUUUGUUUUAUUAUUAAUUUUGCUACUAUUUUAGAAACAUUUGCUUGCUAAGUUGCUACUAUCUUAGUGUUAUUUAAAUAUAAAGAUUUUUUUUAAUGUAUUUUCAAUUUGUUGGGAAGUAUUUAUUUUAAUGUUUUUAGUUUAUUUGAUGCAUUAUAUAUUUACAUAAAAAAUUUUAAUACGGGUAGACCGGGUCAAGCUCAAGUUUAGCAUUUUUUAUCUGGUUUAAUCUUGGACAAAAUUUAGACCCAUUUUUCGGGUCGAUUUAGCCCAUGAUCAAGUCUAGCCACGACCCUUACCUGCUCUGGUCACUGCCUUUGGCAAUGAGAUUAAUUCCAGUGAGAUUGAAAAUAGCGAUGGCGGUGAGAUUAGUUACUAUAGUGAUGAGACUAAAAUUAAUACUAAAAUGUGUGUUAGGAUUCAAACACAACAGUGGUUUAUAGAUUUAUAGUAAGAAAGUAGAAUGACCAUUAUGGACAUUAAACUAAAGCAGUUUACACUCUUCAGUAUAUUUUUGUACAAUUAAUAUUUUAAUGAUAAUAACGUCAUAUUUCAUUUAUAUAACUCAUGUGUAUAAAAUUUAAUGUAAAUUUAAAAUGUUCAAACUAAUUGUUUUAUGUAAGAAUACUUUUAAUCGUUGAAUGAAUGUUAAUAUGUACAAUAUUUUAGAUUGUUAUGGUAGAAGUAUCGACUCAAUUUGAAAAUUUUUAUAUGCAUGAAAAGUACAAUAAUAUCAAUAAAUUCAAUGGUUGGAUUGUUAAAUUAAUAAUGAUACAAAUAUAUAUAUAUAUGAAAGCGUGUAAAAUUACUUUAGUUUCACUCUAGUGUAAGCAGAUCUCUCUCCUUUUAAUAUAUAAAAUUAAUUAUACAAUUUAAAUUUAUGUAUUGAAAUUAUUUAUAAAUAUAAGUAUAAAUAUAUUUCUUUAUACACCUAACUAAUGUAAAUAAAAUAUUAAAUGUUAUUUGCAAGUAAUGAAAUAAAACAAAUAUUAUAAAUAAACAACUCUCCGAAGGUUAAAUGGAAUUAAUGUAAACAUUUCCAAACACUUUGUGAAUGCCUCGAGCUUCUUGAAUCUGCACUCUAAACCUCCUCACCUAAUAAAUACACUAUGGACACUUUGUUGAUUGGCUCAGAGUGAUAGAUAGGAGUGAAUAAAACUCGAUUUGAUUUUUUAAAAAAAAUCAAAUUUUGAGUUAAUUGAAUUGAGUUAUUUAAGUUAUUUUUAUUUUUUUGGUCAACUCGAAUAAGUAAUUUGAGUUUCAAGUCGAGAUCGGGUUAAAUUUUACAAUUCGAAUAACUCAAAUAAUAAAUGUAACACCCUAUACCCAGCCUGGUCGUCGAGCCCGAAUAUCAGGAUGCCACACCAUCGUCUCAUGUCAUACACAACGAAUAAAAGCCCAUUUUAAAUGAAGACGUCUUCCACAAUAUCAUUCGUAAAGGUUUUAAGUCGAUCUUACUCUUUAGUUAUCAUCGUUACGUGCUAAUCAUACAUCAAAUAGUCUUACACUAAUAAUUAAACUUGCAUAGGGUUCAUUUAGCAAAAUUUUCCAAGCAAGUACGUAGGUAUCGAUAGUAGGACAAGGGUAUCAAUAUUUUCCUGGUACGGUAUUGAUGUCCUUUGUAAAAUUAGAACCAAAUCAGUAUUCUGUUUCUCAUCUAAAAUCAAAGUCUCAUAAAGUAUCAGUAACUUUGCAAAAGUAUAGAUGAAAUUACUUCGAGUAUCGAUACUCGUGAUAUGAUAUUGAUACCAAUCUACGAUUUUGACUUCCUACACAUUUCAAAAUCAUAGAUGUAUCAUUUUAAAAACAUGAAUAUCGAUACCUCUACUCCAAGCCAGAAAAAUACAACAUACUUGAGCACAAAAAAAUCAUUCUAACUUGUACUAAUUCAUCAUGCUAUCAUAUCACCAUCAAAUAAACAUCAAAAGGACAAUAUGAUAGUCUCAAACAUCGAAAGUAAGUCCGAGCAAUAAUCAACGUAAUACGAAAUGAAUCUCAUAAACUUAGGAACAAAUAAUCUAUGGAAGCAUCUAAAACAUCAUGGUAAAUACCAAUAGAAGUCUACCACAUUGCCUUUUUUCCAAAACAUAAACAAAUAACAAUAACACCUACUAAAUCACGGAAAUGAACUUACUUGGAUCACCCCUUGGAACCACACCGCUCACACCGGCACUUUAAGAAAGAAGUGGGUGAGCUUAACAAGCUCAGUGAAUGCCUAGAAUAACUACCAUGCAAACAAUUCAUCAAGCAUCAACGAAACAACCAUAUAGCACAACCUCAACAAUUCCAACACUAGUGUCAUAAUAUACUUACUCGUGCAUUAUUUUCUAUUUCUUUUACAUUGUAAACAUAUUCACUUUUAAACAUAUAUCUUGUUACACAUAUAAUCACCUAACAUCCAAACAUAUAUCACAAUACUCAUAUAAUCACAUAACAUUUAAGCAUAUAUCAAAAUAUUCAUAUAAUCACAUAACAUUUAAGCAUAUAUCACAAUACUCAUAUAAUCACAUAACAUUCAAGCAUAUAUCACAAUAUAUAUACAUAUAAUCACAUAACAUUCAAGCAUAUAUCACAAUAUACAUAUAAUCUCAUAACAUUUAAGCAUAUAUCACAAUACUCAAAACAUCUUUAUAGAUAAGUUAUGAAACGUAAAAGUGGGCACUAUCACCACUCAUCGGAUACACGGAUAUCCAGUACACCACAUAGACUCGUAGAGUCAAACAUGUCUCAAAAGUGAAGCAUAAAGCUAACACUCUCAUUAUUUCCCCUCACAUGCCCCAUUGAAUAGAGGCUAGCUCACAUUCCCUUAUCACUCCAACAUGUCCCAAGGCCUCAACGCCCAAAUCACUAUACAUAUAGAUGAGUACUCACAAUCCUAUGGCAUGCCUACUAUAUCCAACGGGUUCAAGAUCACAAGUCCAAAAUAUCCAAAAUUAAACACAUAUCACUUACCAACUAUCCGUGCACUAUCAUUGUAUAUUUGCUAUUUUUAGAAAAACAUUGUCACUAACAUUUAACAUAUACAUAACAUGUACACAUUUGCACUUUCACAACAGUUAUGAUAACCAUAUAUCACAUGUUAUAGCAUAUCAUCUCUGUUCACAUAUUCACAAACACAUAAGCACAUAGUUCACAAGAUAACAUAGGUAUGAGAAAGCUUACACUCGAAAUUUAGAGUAGGGGUUUAGGUCACAACUAAAUUCCAAAAUAACGCAUUGAAUCAUGUUCGCAAGUAAUUAUUCCAAGUCACCAAUUACACUUUCGUCGAAAAGCCAAACGCUCAAACUAGUUUUUCAUUGUCUUUAUAUCUACUCAAACUAGCUCAAACACUAAUCAAUUACUCAAUCUUUUUCCCUAAAAUCAGUUUCGUUCAUCUUAUAAUUUACCUACGACUAAUUCCCAACCUUUAAACUAGAAUAAAAUACUAAAUUCAUGGUAUUGACUUUUUCUACAUGUUUUAUGACUAUUUUCUGAAAAUUCAUUAAAACUCAAGAAUUUUUUAACGAAACUUCAAAGUAAGUUUAGAAACCUUCUAAUAAUGUUAAAACUAAUUGAAAAACACUUUAAAAUAUCGUUUUUAUGCAAAAUCUCAAAUUUCACCAUUAACGACCCAAUUUUCGAUUUUUAUUCAAAACAUGUGAUUUAAUGGCUAAAAACUUAGUUUUAAAGACUAAAUAACAUUUAAACAAAAAAAUCGAGCGUUUGAUGAAAAUCCCAAAAAAACCCACAAACUUGACAAUAGAGAAAUCUGUGGUGUUUUUGAGUGUUUUUCUUAGAUUUUAUGGAGAUAUUUGGCUUGGGUGAUGAUAGAAAUCAAGAGAAUUAAGGUUGAAGAUCAAAUAGUGGAAGAGAGGAGCUUUGAGAGCAAGGGGCGGCUAAAGCAUGAAAAUGGAGAAGACUAAGGUAAAAAUUAUAGGUGGGGAUGAUUUUAGGUUGAUUUUUAAAAUUUGUUUUAAUUGCCUCUUAAAAACUCACAAUUUUAACUCUUUUACAAAUCAAUCCUACUUUCAAAAUUAAAGAUAUUUAAAACUCAUUUUCAGAAAUUGAUUUAAUUUUAACCAUAGUAAAAAAAAUAUAUCGAUAAACCAAUUCAUAAAAUUCCGAACACUCUAAGGCUAAAAUUCCUAAAUUACCUCUAAACCCCUAGGUCCUAUUUUGGGAUGUUACAAUAAAUUGGUGUAAAUACACAUUUGGUCCCUGUCAAUUUUGAACAUGAGCAAAUUGAUCUUUCUCUCAACAAAAAUUACAAAAAAAAUUCAAAAUAUUUAUAAGAAUUUUAGAAUUUAAAACUUUUUUAAAUAUAUAUUAAAAAAUCUAAAGAAAUAUAAAAAAAUUAGAAAAAUCUAAUUAUCAUUUUUGGGACCUAAAUAAGUUAAUUAAUUAUUCAAGUUUAUCAUACUAUUUUUACUCUUUUUUUAAUGAAUUUUAAAAAAUAUAUGAUUUCAAAGAUAUGUGUUUUAGUAUAGAGUUAGUUAAAUUGUAAAAAUAUUUUAAUUUUUUCACUCGAUCCGAUCGAACGCUCACCUCUAGUGGUCGAUGUUCAUCGACAUAUAUCCUUUGUCUCCAACCGGAAAGGAUCUCUUCCAAAAUGAGAAUCUUAAAUUAGAGUGUGUCAUAUUUACCACAAGCCGUUUAUGAUAGAAUCAGACCCGUUUAAGCUUGAAAUCACUCACCUAAUGCAUGUUAUUUGGAAGGUUAUCGAUGAAGAUCGUUGCAACAACUAGAAGUUCGCCACUCCAUUUUUCUAUUGUCCGCCCUCCCUUGAUUAUAACAAUCCAGAACCUCCCUUACUCUAACUUAUAAAAUUAAAAAAACUCUAUAGGACAAAAUAAGACAAUAAAAGCUUUUAUUUAUUUAUUAAUACACUAGAAUUUCACACAUAGCAAAAGCACACUAUAUAAGGAGAUGCAUAGGAAAACAGCGGUAGGUAGAUAUAAGUCAACAGGCUGUCAAAUUUAUUCUAGUAAUAGUGUAAACAUAAGCACAUUAUUAUAGACGACACUGACAGCCUGAGCACCAGCAUUUUGAUCAGAAAUUUAAGCAAAGCCACCCAAGAAAAGUGUGUUUGUAUUCUCAUCACUGCAAUAAAGGCAAGGGUUCUGCUCAAAUCCAUUGUUCUUCAAAAUCUUGGCAGCCUCAACCAUAAGUUGUCUGUUGCUUAUUCCACCACCCAUGCACUGAUCGAGUACGCUAACCACUGCAUCGGUGAACGCCCCAAAGGCUCUAUUCCCCAAAACCAGGUCAUAUGAUGUCUCAUUGGCUUCACACCCACUUAAUAAUAUCCCUUCAUCCUCCUCCGGUGGAUCCAACACCAUUAACCCAUUUACGUAGUGAGGAUGGAAUUUGAGACUCACAUCUUUCCCGAAGAUUCCGAAAAUCUUUUGGCCAACAUUUGCUGCAUCGUGUAGGAUGCCUGCUGCUGUAUCUAUCGCACUGUGUAUGAUAUCAAAAGUAAGACUCUUAGCCUUAGCCUUAGACGGUUUAGGCUUGUUGGGAUUUACUGGAGUCAUCAUUUGCUGAGCACCAAAUUAUUCUUUCUCUUUUUCAAUGAGACCACCACUGUGGCACGAAUCUGAUAGGAUUGUGAAGCUUGCUCCUUCUGGUAGCCGGUUAACUAAAUGCCUGAAGUCCACAUCUGUAGAAACCAUGUAUAUAUAGGGUAUGAAUAUAUGUUGCUAAAAAAAUAUAUAAAUUCAAAUAAAAACCUACCGGUGACAAGAUUUAAAUCACAAGCCACGAUUGCUUUAUCUUGCUUGAAAGGCUGGCCAGGUUGAAAGAUUGGAAUGCGUGUUCCAUGUCCACUGAAGUAGAAAAAUAGGAUAUCUCCUGCUUUAGCCUUGUUCACCAUUCUAUUAAGUGCAUCCUUAAUGUUUGCACCCAUAGCCAGAACCGGCGACCCUGGUGCAUCGGUGAGAACAUUAACAUCGCUUUCCUUAAACCCAAAGUUCAGGAUCACACCUCUUAUGGCUUUCACAUCAUUGAUGCAUCCAUGCAAGUUGAAUUGGGUCUUGGGGUAGUUGCAUCCCACCAGAACUGCUCUCUUCGUACCCUUACUCAUCUUGCUUCGCUAAUUUGACUAUUUUGUGUUGCUUGUACCAUUGUAUUAAUGUGCUUCCACUAUCUCACUUAGAACCUAUAUAUAUACACACUAAUUUACAGCAUGUGUACUGACCAUAAAGAUGACGACAUGUAGGUAGGUAGGUAGGCAGGUACAACACUUUUGUUUGUCUUUCGUGUUUUGGAAAAUGCAUGCGAAAUCCCCUUUGGAGGGGUUUUUCCACGUUAAAUUUGUGUGUUCAUCUUCUCAAUUUCUUCUACUAGUUUUUACUUGUUCGUUGCUUAAUCGGGACAAUCCUAACAAAUGGUAUCAGAGCUAGUUCAAUUUUUAUAGAUCAGCCCGUUCAGAGAUGGCAACAACAAAGUUUGAAAUUGAGAAGUACGAUGGUGAGACAAAUUUCAAUCUAUGGCAAGUUCGGAUGAUGGCAAUUCUAGUUCAAAACGGCUUGAAAAGGUUGUUAUAGGGAAAAAGCCUGAGAAUCUAAAUCAAACAAAAUGGGAAGAGCUUGAUGAAAAGGCAUUGUCUGCAAUCCAUUUGUGCCUCGCGAAUACUGUAUUGUAGGAGGUAUUGAUGGAGAAGACCUCAUCUGUCUUAUGGAAAAGGUUAGAAACUCUUUAUGCGACUAAGUUUUUGGCUAACCGUUUAGUGUUGAAACAACGUCUAUUUACGUUUCGCAUGAAUGAAAGUAAGCUUCUUAGAGAUCACAUCAAUUAAUUCAUUACUCUUUUAAAUGAUUUAAGGAACGUUGAUAUUCAUAUUGACGAUGAAGAUCAAGCUAUGCUAUUAUUGUGCUCUUUACUACCUUCAUACAAGUCUUUCAGGGAGACCCUGAUUUAUGGUAGAGACAAACUCUCGUUCAAAGAUGUGAAGGGUCAUUUGUUGAGUAGAGACAAACUCGACAAUGAGUUUGGUUUGAAUAGCAAAGCAAAUAGGAAAGCUUCCGUUUUGGUAGUAUCAAAGAAACGAGACAAAAGGUGUCGCUAUUGUAAAAAGUUAGGUCAUGUCAAAGCAGAUUGUUAUAAACUGCGAAAUAAAAUAGUUGCUGAGAGUAACGAGGAAUAUGUAGCUGGUGCUAAUUUGGUCGAUGAAGGCGGUGAUGAUUUCUUGUUAGUGUCAACGAGAGAUAACUCUAAGCUUACGUCUGAGUGAAUCCUAGAUUCAGGAUGUUCUUUCCACAUGUGUCCCAAUAGAGAAUGGUUCUCCACAUACAGUUCAGUUGAAGGUGCAGUUGUGCACAUGGGAAACUAUUCAUCUAGUAAGAUAAUUGGUAUUGGUACUGUUAAAAUUAGGAUAGACGAUGGGACGAUUAGGACACUCUCAGAUGUCAGUUAUGUACGUAAUUUACGAAAAAAUCUCAUCUCCUCGAGUAUUUUAGACUUGAAAGGAUGUAGAAUCAACAUCGAGUCGAGUGACAUUAAAGUAUCUCGUGGAGCUCUCGUUUUGUUAAAAGGUAAAAGAACUGACAGUCUUUAUAUUUUGGAAGGUUCUACAGUGAUCGGUGAAAUCGGACAUCCCUCGUCCGUUACGGAGUCAAAGUUAACUCGUUUGGAGCGAAGGCAACCUGGUCAUAGGAGGGAAAAAGGUAUGACCGUUUCGUUGAAUAGAGGUUCUCUUUUGGAUGUAGGUUUUGAAAAGUUAGGGCACUAUGUUUGUGAAAAUCAGACUUGGGUUAGUUUUGAUUUGGCAGUGCACAAGUCGGAGGCUAGAAGUCUUCCAGCUUCUAAGUAUAGAUUUGACUCAGUUAAUUUCCUGCAUAGUUCAAGAUAGACCCGUGGCGGGUUUUGGCAAAGAUGGCGUUGAAAGAAUUCGUGUCAAGGUGGAGAUUGUUAAAGUUGUGUGACCCAAAUUCUAAGAGAUUGCUUGCAAGUCAAGUUAAACAAAAAUAAUUUUUUCUUUCUAGAAGAUUUAGUAUUUAUUUGUAUAAUAUAUUUAGCAUUUAUUAGCAUAGUUUAUUUUACUUACUAAUUUAGCCUAUAAAUAGGCUCUUUUACAAUCUUAGAAAAACACACCCAUUAGAUUAGAACUCAUAACAUAUUUAGAGAAUUUUGUGUUUAAGUUUUGAGAGUUCUUUAUUUUUCGAGUUUUCGGGGUUUAGUUUUUAUCUCCAUCUUUUAUACUCUUCGUUCUUUUGCCAUUAUAGUAAAAUUAUAUUUGCCCGUGGUUUUUUAUCCCCUUUGGAGGGGUUUUUCAACGUUAAAUUUGUGUGUUCAUCUUCUCAAUUUCUUCUACUAGUUUUUACUUGUUCGUUGCUUAAUCGGGACGAUCCUAACAGUUUAUUACGUACCAGCUUUGAAAAGCAACAUCAUCAGCCUUGGACAGCUUCUAGAAAAAUGAUAUAAAGUACAUAUGAAGGAUUGUAUGCUCGCCCUAAAAAAUAAGAGUGGUGAAUUAAUUAUCCAAGUUGAUAUUACGCCUAACCGUUUGCUUACUAUUGACAUUGAAUCUGGAGAGGUGAAAUGUAUGAAGAACGUAAUUAAAAAUGAUUCAUGGUUAUGGCAUUUAAGGUUCGGGCAUCUUGGAUUUUCUGGUCUGAAGCUAUUGUUAAAAGAAAAUAUGGUGAAUGGGCUGCCAUAAAUUAAUCUUUCUGAUCAACUGUGUGAAGCCUGCAUUAAAGGAAAACAACAUAGACAGAGUUUUGAAGUUGGAAAAACUCGACGAGCCAAGAGACCAUUGGAGAUCGUGCACUCUGACAUAGCAGGUCCUUUUAAUAUACCAUCACUUGGUGGAAACAAGUACUAUGUUACUUUUAUUAAUGAUUUUAGCAGAAAAAGUUGGAUAUAUCUUCUUAAAACAAAAUCAAAAGCAUUUGACAAGUUUAUCAAGUUCAAAGCCCUGGUAGAAAAACAGAGUGGACAUUUCAUUAAGAUACUUAGAAUUGAUAGAGACGGUUAGUAUACUUCAAAGCUAAUUGAAAGCUUCUGCAAGGAGCACGAAAUUAUUCACCAGUUGACAACUGCAUACACGCCACAACAAAAUGGAGUCAUUGAAAGAAAGAACCGCACUAUUCUUGAUAUGGCAAAAAGCAUGGUUAAAUGUAAGCAUUUACUAAGAGCUUUCUAGGCUGAAGCUGUUCAAUGUGCUGUUUAUUUGUUGAACCAGCAUCCAACAAAAAGUGUGAAAUACAAGAUGCCAAACGAAGCUUGGAACAAUUAGAAGCUAGGAGUCGAACAUUUCAAGAUUUUUGGAUGCAUCGUAUAUGCUUAUGUUACUGACCAGAUGAGAAAGAAGCUUGACGAUAAAUGAGUAAAAUGUAUUUUCAUUGGUUAUGAAAAGAGAAGCAAGACAUACAGGUUAUACAACACUCUCACCAAGAAAGUUAUUAUUUCAAGAGAUGUUGAAUUCGAUGAAGCUGAUUACUGGAGAUGGAACGAAAAAGAGAGGAAAAUUGAUGGAUUAUUUUUCAGUGAUCACAAAGACGACGACUUUAUUAAUCAAGAACAAGGCGACGAUGAAAGCCCUCCUGUAACACCCCUUACCCGAGACCAUCGUCGGAAUCGAGUACGAGAUGUUAUCCAAUUUAACCUACCAAUUUAGAGCAUAAAAAUUUGCUUUUAAAAUUAAAUUCACUGUUCACAACAAAACUGUCCACCUGCGCGACUGUCACUAAUUUACUUAUAACUCAAGUUACAAAACUCAAAAUUUAAAUCUGUAAAUUUUCCCUGAAACUAGACUCAUAUUCCUAAUUACCAUAUAAUUUUCAGAAUUUUUGACUUAGCCAAUUAGUACAUUUUAUUCAUUAAAGUAUCCCCUAUUUCACAGCUCGACAGAUCUGACCUCUUGCCACUAAAAAUCAAUUAUCUCAUUGUACAGAAUUCAUAUAAGGUUACCGUUUAUUUAUUUUGAAAAUAUACUCACUAAGGAAUCUAGAAAUAUAAAUUAUGACCCAUAAUUAUUCCUGUACAAUUUAUAAUGAUUUUCCAAAGUCAGAACAGGGGACUUCAAAAACCAUUCUGACCCUGUCUCACUAAAAUUCAAAUAUCUCAAAAUACAGAAUUCCUUUGCCUACACUGUUUCUUUCAUAUAAAAAUAGACUUGAUAAGCUUUAAUUCCAUAUAUAAUUAACUCUCUAAUUCCAUUUAUACUAUUUAUGGUGAUUUUUCACAUUCACGUCACUGCUGCUGUCAAAGAAACUGCUUCUUUGAAUUAGUUAACAUUUAACAUACAUAACACCCAAAACAUAAUUUUUACUAACCAUUUCAAUAGCUAAUCUUAGCCAUAUCAUAUGAACAUACUCAAAAUGAUUAACACUCUAUACAUGCCAUAGUUUUAAACAUUCUGAAAAGCACAUAAUACCGAGAUGAUUAUAAUAGUGUGAUACGAGCUCCGACGAUCCCCAAUUCGACCAAGUUCAAAUCACUAUAAAACAAAGGAAAAGAAGAAAGGUGUAAACUACUAAUAGCUUAGUAAGUUACAUGUAAAUAAUAAUUACUCAUUUAAUAAUUAACACUUUUAACAUAUAACUAAUCAAAACAUUUCUUAGCAAUUUCUAUCACUUAUACAUACACAAUCUUACCAAUUCACUUGCAUAUACAUUUUCACACUUAAUCUUUAUCACUAUGCUCAUUCUUUUCAAAUGUACCUGCAUACACACUUCAUUUCAUAUUCACUUUAACUCAUUAUUAAUCCCGUUGAACACUCGGAAUAUACACAGAUACGUAGAGAUUUAGCACAUAAGUGCAACACUGAUAUGUAGCCGAAGCUACCACUAUUAUAUAGCCAAAGCUACCACUGAAAUGUAGCCGAAGCUACCACUGUUAUGUAGCCGAAGCUACCACUGAAACGUAGCCGAAGCUACCACUGAUCAAUAACACUGGAAAUGUCCACAGGCCUGCUCACACAAGCUGUCAGGUGUCUGCAACACAUGCUAGAUCACCCAGCACCCGGGACUCACUGUAACACUGUAACACUGAUCUCUAGUGACAUGUCACUUGUAUCCACUUCUAUUCCUAAGUUCAACCGGGAAUUUACACUUAACACUUUAUUUUUAACACUUUAUUUUCAACACUUUAACACUUGAAUAAUUCAUGAAUAAUUUUCCUUCCACAUUGAAUAUUAAUUCACAUAUCAAAUAUAAUUCACAAUUUAUAAAAAUAUAACUAUUAUUUACACAUAACUUACCUCGGAUGCAAAACGACUAUUUUUGUAAUUUAGUCGAUAACUUUCUCUUUUCCCCGAUCACUUCCACUAUUUCUUCUUUCUUGAUCUAUAUUAACACAAUUUAAUACAUUUUAUCAACAUUUCAUUCAAAUAAAAUUCAUACACAACAUUUUGACAAAUUUACAUUUUUCCCCAAAACUUUUCAAAAAUUCCACUUUUGUCCCUAAGCUCGUAAAAAUAAAAUUCACUAAAUUUUUAAAUUUCAAACUUCACUAAAUCAUAUUUCAUGCUUAUAACAGCCCUCAAUUUCACCAAAUCACAACUUUAUGCACACUUUACCAUCUUUCACAAUUUAGCCCUUUUUCAAUAUUUUCAUCAAAAUUCAUCUAGUAAAACUUGUAAUUAACACUUCAAACAUUCAUUAUCUAACAUCACUAAUCAAUUUACAAUUAUAUCAUGAAUGGGUCAAUUUUUAAACUUUAAUUUCAUUUAAAUUAAAUAGUAGAAACAUGAAAUUCAAGCAUCAAUAAGCAUAAAAAUAUGAAAAUAGUUAAAAAUGGGGCAAGAAAUCACUUACAAUUGAGCUUAGAAAAAUCAAGAACCUUAGCUAUGGUAACAUGAAACUUUCGGCAGCAAGCUUCUGAUUUUGAAGAAGAUGGACACUUAUUUUCUCUUUAUUUUGUCUUUUUCUCAAUUUGGACAAAAAUGCCCUUGACCCAUUACUUAGAUAUUUUUCUAGAAUUACCCUUUUGUGUCCAUAACACUAAUUUAUGGUCUAAUUGUCACAUAAACACUUCCAAUUUCAUGCAAUAAUUCAAUUAAGUCAUUUAAUCACUAAUUAGACACACUUUGCAUUUUUUUCAAUUUAGUCCUAAAAAUUCAAUUAAGCACUAAAUCAUUAAAAUUUCCAAUCCAUAUUUUCACACAAUAUUUCAAUCAAUCAGUAACUUAUAAAAAUUUAUAAAAUAAAACUAUUUCACUUCGGAUUUGUGGUUACGAAACCACUAUUCCGAUUAGGCCCUAUUUCGGGCUAUCACACCUCCUUCAAGUCCUGUUGCAACAACUCUUACAGCAUCAUCAUCACCAACCAACAACAGUACCAGCAACUCAGAGGAAGCACCUGCAAUAAUGCGUAGUUUACGCGAUAUUUAUAAUGUUACAGAACCAUAGAAAUAACACUCGAUUAUUCAUUAUUCUAUAUAAUGACAGAAUGUGAUUCAAUAACAUAUAAAGAUGCAAUUGAAGAUGUUAGAUGGAAAAAGGCAAUGGAUGAAGAAAUUACAACAAUAAUAAGAAAUGACAUAUGAGAGCUAACAAGUCUACUAGAAGGACAUACUCCAAUUGGAAUCAAAUGGGUGUACAAGACGAAGACCAACAAAGAAGGAAAAAUAGAGAAAUCCAAAGCAAGACUAGUUGCAAAAGGCUACAAGCAAAGAUACGGUGUGGACUAUGAUGAAAUAUUUACUUCGGUCGCCAGAAUUGAUACUAUAAGACUUCUCAUGGCAAUUGCAGCACAAAAUAAAUGGAAAAUUUAUUAGAUGAACGUGAAGUCAGCAUUCCUUAAUGACUACCUGGAAGAAGAAGUCUAAAUUGAACAACCACCUGGAUAUAGGAAACAAGGACAAGAAGACAAAGUUUAUCACUUGAAGAAAGCUUUAAAUAGACUGAAGCAAGCCCUGAGAGCAUAGAACACAAGAAUAGAUGAAUACUUUUAGAAGAACGGGUUCAUGAAAAUCCCAUACGAGCAUGCUCUAUAUACAAAGAAAAAUAAAGUUGGUGACAUCAUGAUCGUGUGCUUAUAUGUGGAUGAUAUGAUUUUCAUGGGAAACAAUCCAGGUAUGUUCAAUGAAUUUAAGAAAGCUAUGACUAAAGAUUUUGAAGUGACAAAUAUUGGUGAAAUGUCAUACUUUCUUUGAGUCGAAGUGAACCAAAUGAAAGAUGGAAAAUUUGUGUCUCAAAAAAAAUAUGCAGAACAGAUUUUAAGAAAAUUCAGAAUGAAAGAUUGCAAGCAAGUAGCCACGCCCGUAGAACCAGGCAUGAAAUUAAGUGUUGGUUCAUCCGGAGAGUCGGUAAAUCCAAUGUUGAAUAAAAGUAUUGUUGGAAGUUUAAGGUACUUGACUAUCACAUGGCCAUACAUCAUGUACGUAGUGGGAACAGUUAGCAAAUACAUGGAGAAGCCAAAACAAGAUCACCUGAUUGCAGCAAAGAGAAUUUUGAGAUACAUCACAGGUACGAUGGAUCAUGGUUUAUUUUAUACACACUCACAGAGUUCAAAAUUGGUUGGUUAUUUAGAUAGUGAUUAUGGUAGUGGCUUUGAUGAUCGCAAAAACACAUCCAGAUAUUUAUUCCAUAUUGGCUUCGCGGCAUUUUCUUGGUCAUCGAAAAGUAACAAACAGUAGCUAUCUCAACAUGUGAGGCAAAAUUCAUGGAUGUUGCAACAUGCACGUCUCAAGCAAUUUGGUUGAAGAAUAUUUUAGGUGAAUUAACUAUUAUACAAGAAGGUCCAAUUAUAAUUUAUGUUGACAAGUCCACAAUAUCUCUUGUAAAGAAUUCAGUGUCUCAUAGUCGAAGCAAGCAUAUGGAUACAAUGUAUCAUUUUAUUCGAGAGCAAGUGAAAAAUAAAAAUGUAGAGUUAGUUUACUCCAAAUUAGAAGAUUAAUUGGCGAAUAUUUUUACGAAACCAUUGAAAACGGACAUAUUCUAUAAACUCAAAGAAAAGCUUGGAAUGAAAAGUUCAAGGGGAAGUGUUAAAAAACAAACCAACUUUCAAAGUCGGCAUAAAAAUUGCAGCCAAAGAAUUUCUAUCCAAAUUGGCUUGAAAUUGAAUUGCAAAAGUAGCUGCAACUUUGUAAAUUGGCCUGCACAAAUGAUAAAGGAUAAUGAUGACAGCAGCUUGAAUAGUCUUAGACGGCAAGGCUUGAUAAAGUUUAAGUCGGUUUACUAUGCUUAUAAAUAUGUAAGUAGAGUCUUAUGAAAUUAAAAUUAAAUGAGUGUGUGUGAAAACGUUAGUGAGCUUGAGAGGAAAAAAAGAAAGAAAGGUGUUGUGAGUUGUAUAAAAAGGAAAAACUAGCAGCAGCUAGUAGAGAGAGAAAAAAGAGUUUAUAUUUGUAUUGUGUUUAUUUGUGUGUAAUAAAAAAUUAGUACUUGAGUUAUUUUUAUUACCCUUCCAACAUAUUAUAUGUUCCAGUGUUGAUGGCAUUGGCAACUGAUGUUGUGUCCAAGAAGCUUGACGUCGUGCUCAUGACGUUGGCUGCUGUUUGCAGGCUCUAAUAUAAUGUUUCAAUGGAAAUGCCCCUAGUCCUGUAAUCAACAGAUGGUGCUAUACCACUUAGAGUACUAUGGGGUCCAAUUUGAGUAAACUCGAUUAAGUAAUUCUAGUUUCAGAUUGAAGUCGGGUUAAAUUUUACAAUUCGAAUAACUCAAAUAAUAGAUUGGUGUAAAUACACGUUUGGCCCCGGUCAAUUUUAAAAAUGAGCAGAUUGAUCUUUCUCUCAACAAAAAUUACAAAAAAAUUCUAAAUAUUUAUAAAAAUAAAAAAAAUCUAAAGAAUAUAUAAAAAAUUAAAAAAGAUUCUUAAAUAAUCAUUUUUGAGACCUAAAUAAGUAAAUUAAUUAUUCAAAAUUUUCAUACUAAAAUAUCUUUAUUUUCUCUUAUUUUUCUUUGAAUAAAUUUUCAAGAAUAUAUAAUUUUAAAUUUAUGUAAUCUAACAUAGAAUUGAUUAUAUUGUAAAAAAAAAUUUAAUGUUUUAGUCGAUUGGAACGGAUGCACAUCUCUACUGAUCAAAAUUGAUCCGCAUAUAUUUUUUUUCUCUAACUGAAAAGGAUCUCUUCCAAAUUAAUGAUCUUGGAUUGAAACAUGUCAAAUUUACCACAAAUCGUUUAUGAUAGAAUCGGACCCGUGUGACCUUGAAAUCACUCUCCUAAUACAUGUUAUUGAUGAAGAUUGUCGGACACCUUGAAUUUCUCCGCACCAUUUAAUGUUCGGCCCACUUGGCUAUAACAAUCCGAAACCUCCCUUAACCUAACUUAUAAGAUUAAAAAAACUCUAAAUAAGAGAAUAAAAACUUUUAUUUAUUUAUUUAUUUAUACACUAGAAUUUCACACUAUAUAAGAAGAUGCAUAAGAAAACAGCGGUAGGUAGAUAUAAGUCAACAGGCUGUCAAAUUUAUUCUAGUAGUAGUGCAAAACAUAAGCACAUUACUGACAGCCUGAGCACCAGCAUUUUGAUCAGAAAUUUAAGCAAAGCCACCCAAGAAAAGUGUGUUUGUAUUCUCAUCACUGCAAUAAAGGCAAGGGUUCUGCUCGAAUCCAUUGUUCUUCAAAAUCUUGGCAGCCUCAGCCACAAAGGCUUUAUUCUCCAAGACCAGGUCAUAUGAUGUCUCAUUGGCGGGUUUUUUACUAAAAUAUUAUAACAAAAAUAAAAAAUUAUCAAAAUGUUAUAACUUUUUUUUUAUUUACCAAAAUAUAUAUUUUUUUAUUUACUAAAAUAUAUAAAAAAACAAAAAAAACCUAAAAAAAAAUCUGACCGAUGUGACGGGUGUACCUUGGUCACGCCAAUGGGAUUGGCGGCACCGAAGGGGCCAAAGCCAUUGGCGGCACCAAUGGUGCCAAUACCAUUGGCGGCACCAAUGGUGCCGUAUUGAUUGGCGGCACUACUCGUAUUAUAAAAACGACCUUUGUCCAGCUGAAGAGAGAAAAAUCAAAAGAAAAAAAAAGAAGAAGAAGAGUUACUGCGUAAAAGAAGAGAAAAAGAGGAGAAAAAGAAUGUAUUUUUUAAAAAAUAAUUGAUUAUAUUGUUGUUAUUAUUUUGUAUAUUUUGUAAUAUUUUUUGUUUUACUUUAGUUAUUAAGAUUAAUAAAACUCAAAAUAAUAGUAUUAGUUAGUAUUAUUAUUAUUAUUAUUAUUAUUGUUGUUGUUGUUGUUGUUGUUGUUGUUGUUGUUGUUGUUGUUGUUAGUAUUAAGAUGUUAUUAAUGUAUUAAGAUGUAACUUAGUAAUAUUAUAGUUAGCAAAAAACUAGUAUUAUUAUUAUGGUUACUUAUUAUUUUUAUUUACGAAAAUAAACUAGUUAGUAAAAAACUAGUAUUAUUAUUAUAGUUAGUUAGUUAGUUAUUAUUUUUAGUAAAAUUAAUAAUUUUAGUGUGUAUCAUUUUGUAUAUUAUUUUGAGUAUAAAAUUUUUUUUAAGUAAUUUAGUUACCGUUCGAGAAUUUUUAUGAGAUUUUGUUUUUUUUGACAGAUUAAAUAUUGAAGAUGGAUGCUAAGUUUCUUGUAUGCGUUUAUUUCGAUUGAGUCAUCUUGACAACAAGUGUUGGAUGUGUAUUUGAAUGUCGGCAACAAAUAGCAAUGAGAUUUAAUAGAAAUGUAUCGUUCGAUGAAAUGAAGGUAAGGAUUAGUGCAAAAAUUCAUAGACGUUGUGGGAGAAGGAUAGCAAAAAUUUUCUACAAGUUUCCGGUUUCGACAAAUCCGGUCAAAUUCGUCGAGAUGGAACUUGUAGACGACGAAGACGUGGAGACAAUGGUCGAUCUCUACUGUGGGAAUGGGAGUGAGAAGAAUGCACCGAUUCACUUAUUUGCUGAGUUAGUCGGUAUGGAGCAAAAUGAAGAUGUUAAUGCAUCUGAUGAAGAAGACGGGGCUGAAGAACCGUGGAUGGUGACUCCAAUAUCAUACGUUGAUAGUGAAUCAACUAUGGGAGGGAUCGGUAUCAACCUGAAUAUUACACCCGAUGUUGACAUGGUUGGUGGUGAAGAAGAAGGUGCUGGCGAAGAAGAAGGUGGUGGCGAUCAUUGGGAUGAAGAGGUCGAUAGUGACGGUGAUCCCGAUGUUGACGAUGUACCUGAUGAUAUUGACGAUGAAGAUGUCAACAACGAUGAAGGCAUUAACGCUUCUUCGGUUGGGGAGCAGAUGCGGCGUAUUGUGAUACACAAUAAUCCUAAGCCACAUAUGUCGCUCAUAGACCCCGACGCAACGUAUGUAGCUGAGUUUCUGGAGUACCCUGAAAUAGUUCAUUCUCACGGGCUGCCCGUAACAUCUGAUGAUGAUGAGAUAUUCAUAGGCCAGAGAUUCAGCUGUAAAGAAGAGUGCGUAUAUGCCAUUAAACGGUACAGCAUGAAGAUAUCGGUGGAUUAUAAAGUAUCCGUGUCUACUCCGACAAUAUAUGUUGAGGCGUGUUGGAAGGCAGCGGAAGGCUGCAAUUGGCGGGUACGAGCUGCAUUCAUUAGAAGUUCUCAGCUGUGGGAGAUACGAAAAUUUGUUGGUCCUCAUACAUGCACAUCAACACGUAUGAUAGAAGAUCAUGGAAAACUUGAUUCAAAAACUAUUUGUGCGUGUAUCAUGCCAAUGGUGAAGGACAUGCCGACCAUUAAAGUUUCGAUACUCAUUGCGAAAAUCCAAGCACGAUUCCAGUAUCGAGUCUCAUAUCGGAAGGCAUGGAUAGCUAAACAGAUGGCGAUGGAGCAACUGUAUGGGGAUUACGAUUCGUCGUAUAACGAGCUUCAAGGUUCGAUAGCUGCUAUGUGGAAGUACGUACCGGGGACUGUGAUUGACUUGCAGAUAAGUCCAUAUUACGGCCCGGAUGACCAGUUACAGCCGGCAAAAAGGAUUUUCCAUCAGAUGUUCUAGACCUUCGAUCCAUGUGUGCGAGCAUUUUCCCACUGCAAGCCACUUGUGCAGGUGGAUGGGACAUGGCUAUUUGGAAAAUAUACACAGAUCCUACUUCUUGCAGUUGCUCAAGACGGUAACAGAAAUGUGCUCCCGAUAGCAUUUGCUAUCGUAGAUAAAGAGAACAUAGAGUCUUGGGAAUUCUUCCUCACAAAUCUGCGAAGGUAUGUUAUUAGGAACGAUAACAUUUGCAUCAUCUCCGAUAGAGGGAAGGGUUUAAUUGCAGCUAUUAGGCAUUCUGGUUUACCGUGGAGAUCCGUUUACUGCAUUCGUCACAUUGCGUCUAACUUCCAUAAAAAUUAUAAAAAUGCAGACUGGAAGAGACAAGUCGUGGCAAUGGGUAAAUGAUAACCUUAUCUUUUCACUAUAAGUUGUAAUGUUUGAUGUUAUCGACUUACUAGAACUUAUUUUUCGUUAAUAUGUAUGCAGCGUACGAGUUAAAGCCACAUAUUUUCCGGCAAAGAAUGAUCCGACUUGAGAGUGACAUGGAGGGGCAGACAAACACAUCUUUCCGAAAAUGGUUGCGCACAAUGGAGCCGUGGCAGUGGGCUCAAAGUUUUGACGAGGGCUUUCGUUACGGCCACAUGACCACAAACUUAGUCGAGUGGAUCAAUGCUGUCUUGUUGAAAACACGUCAUCUUCCGAUUGCAUCGGUAUUUCCUGCUACUUUCUACAGGCUGGCUACUUUGAUGCCAAGAAUGGGCUAGCAUUAAGUCGGCCAAAUUCAGGCGGGACAUGUGUUUGUCGAACAUGUAAGGGAUGCAAUGGUCGUAAACCGUCGGUUGGCGAGGUCAAUGAACAUGGAAAUAUAUUCACGACGACUGGAAACGUUUCGAGUUACUGAGAACAUCGGUCGUCGACCUAGGUCCUACGGAGUUGAUCUCCGGAACAGACAGUGCGAGUGCAGGAAGUUUGAAACAAUUCAUUAUCCCUGUGCACAUAUCGUGGCGGCGUGUGCUAAAGUCAACCUUGAUGUUGAACAAUAUGUCGAUGAUGUGUACACGCUGGAGCGCACAUUGCGUGUCUGGGAGAAUGAGUUCCCCGUCCUGCCGGACCUAUCUAUGUGGGAGGUGUCGCCGAUGACUUUCGAGCUGAUCCCAGACAGAGGGCUAAGGAGGAAUCCAAGGGGUCGUCUGCAGUCAAGCAGAAUCCGUAAUGAGAUGGACAUUAGGGAAAAAUUUGAUGGAAAGCGUUGUGGAAUAUACCGGUUAAGUGGUCAUAGCCGGAAUAAAUGUCUUAACCGAAACUUUCAUUUUGGUCAGUCGUCCGGAUCGGGGUGAAAUUGAUAUGCUUUGUAUUUUGUUAUAAACAUUAAUUUUAUUCAGCUUUGUACCAUGUGCGCACUUGGAAUUAUUAAGAUUAUAUCGAAAAUAGAGGCAUUCAUAAUUCGAUUGAGCUUUAAUAUAAUGAAAAAUAAUAAUAAUGGAUAUUUAUACAAAAAAAUCAGAAGUAAGGUCAAUUAAAAUACAAAUAUGGCUUUUUAUACAAAAAGUGCAUCAAAUCCCUAAAAUCAAUGUUUCGAUGGUGUUGUCCGGGGGGUAUACCUCUGCGGAGGUCGACGCUCACGGUCUGGGAGACGACCAACAUCCUCAUCGUCCGCAGGUGGGGGCGUGGAAAACAUAGAGGAAAGGUCCUGUGCCUCGUUCGCCGCCGACGAACUUGAACCAUAAUGCUGCGAAUACGUGUCGGACGGGCCGGGCAUGCCGUACUGCAGCCGGGGGAUCCAAACAGUUCAAACUCGUAGGCGUAUUCGCCGUCUGCGAAGCUCGGAUAAUAUUUAUCGCCCACCAAAUCCGGACGAUAGCCAUGUGAAUCCACAUUUGACUGUGAAUGUCCAGGAUCUGGCUGGGGGUCCUGCUCCGGCUCUGUCAGUUGCGGAGAACAAUAUGCCGUCGGAUCUGGAUCCAUCGGGCUCGGUUCGUCCGAUGCCCCAACUUGCUGUACGUACGGGGGGAUUAUAGUUCGAUUGUACUUCAAGUAAAUAUGGCUUCCUGCAACUAUGGUACCAUUGUGUAUACUCCAAUGAUGGUUGCAGGUCCGUAGCCAUAACCAUUUGAGGAAUUCGGCGAAAUCGAUCGUUCCACAGUGCGACGUAUUUUCGGUGCUUGAUUCCCAAGCCCAAUUGAACUCUUCCUCUCUUUGUCAAGCCGUGAUCAUCCUCCAACUGGGCCGGCGGAUCCGGGAUAGGUUGGAUGCACCCAAACUGUCGAAGCACGCGAUCGACGUGAUACCACUUGACGACGUUGAAAUUAAUAAUUGGUGUGUUAAUGCACCAUAUGUGGGAAUCAACGAGUGCGGACGAGGGUACGACAUUUGCAAUUUCCCGCCUCCGGUAUGGCAUCCAUAUAAACUGCAUGAGUAAUACCAUUGUAACGAGUUAGACCGAUAACAUGUGAUUAAGAUAUAGAAAUAGAAUAGAUGUCAUGAAUAUUAGAAUAGCAGCUUACCCCUUCCCGGGCAUGCUGUUCAAUCCUCAUGCGGUAUAUUGGGACAUCAGACGACUUCCUGAUGCCAGGACGGGUCAUCCACCUAUAAAAAAUAGUAUAGGGUAUAGGGUUGGUAACAUUACUCAAUAUAUUAUGACUACAAAUAAUGACAAUUUAGCGUCUUAUCACCUGAGUGGCAGUGGAUACAGAUAGGGUUGGUGACUAACGAGUGCCAAAAACGACAUCCGAUAAAGCGCCCACGACUGCAGCAGUAUGAGGCAUCCGCCGAUGUCUUUAACCUGCGGCUUUGUCGCCUGACAAAGCUCCCGGUAGAGCGUUGCUAGAACGGCGGAACCCUAGCUAUACCGCCUAGCAGUGGAGAAAUAAGCUAGCAGGGGCAGGUACGACAAAUGCACACUGUCGCCGUUUGCAUCAGGCAUGAGUACUGCCCCUAUCAUAUGCAUGAUGUACGCUCGGGCAACGCACAUCAACUCACCUUCAGUGGCGGUCACUGAUAAUUGUCUAAUUUUGGCUUUUAGCCAUGUAAAUUUGAUGCCGGAAAAAUAUUUGUCGCCGUCCUCUGGCGACUCUCCUAGGAGUUGAUAGCAAACUGCAACCGGAUCGGUGAAUGAUGAUACUCCCGUUACGGGAUUCCAGUCAAUUGGGAGCCCCAGCUGCACUGCAACAUCCUCCAAGGUCACUGUGCACUCCCCGCACGGAAAAUGGAAAGUAUGGGUCUCCGGACGCCACCGCUCCACUAGCGCAGAUAAUAAAUCAAAGCGCAAGUCGGACGACCGGAUGAAUGCUACUGACCCAAAUCUGGCUAGCUCCAGGUAUGGCAGCAAUCGAUCAUCCGGAGCUUUCUUUAAAACACUCACGCGGCCCCUUAAUACUCAGAACGAGUCCUGAUAGUGUUAAAUUACAGAAAAAUAUUACGAUAACAUAAUUUCUUUGUAUAUACUGCAUAUAUCCUUUUAAAAUAAAUAGAACUUCUGAUUAACAAAUAAUAAAUCAUACCGCGUUAUUAGUCGCAUCAGAUAUGUGUCUAAUAUUGCUUUGAAUCAAUCCAGCCAUUGCGAUGCCUGCAAGUUAGAAAAAAAAGUUAGAAAAAAAUUCUUACUUCAGCCAUUUAUUCGUAUUUUUUUUCUCCGCAUUUUAUUCCUUUAAAAAAUAUCAUAAUUUCUAAAUUUAUAAUUUUACAUUAUUCCAGUGCAUAAUGUUUGAAAUUUAUUAAUCUAGUGUGUUAUUUAAAUUAAUUUUCUGUAAAAAAUAACCCUUACCCCUGCCCUUUGCUCGUAUUAAUUUUCUGUAAAAAAAUAACCAUCACCCUUUUUUUUGCAGUUUUUUUUAUAUAUUUUGGUAAAUAAAUAUAUAUAUAUAUUUUGGUAAAUAAAAAAAACUUAUAACAUUUUGGUUAUUUUUAAUUUUUUUAAUAUAUUUGUAAAAACCCAUUAUUCUGGUAAAUAAAAAAAUUUUAUAAUAUUUUCGUAUUUUUUUCUAAUAUUUUGGUAAAAAACCCGAAAUAAACCCUUUCCCCUGCCCUUUGGUCGUAUUAUUAUUUUCCCGAUUUUUAUUACUUUCAAGAAAAAUAUAUUAUUUUCGUAUUUUAUUAUUUUAUAUUAUUUCAGUACAUUUUGUUUCAAUUAUUUGUAUAACUUAUUUCUGAAUUUUUAAAAAAAUUUACUAAUACACUCUUACUUCGGCCAUUUGUUCGUAUUUUUUUUCAGUAUUUUAUUAUUUUUAACAAUAUCGUAAUUUUUUAUUUUAUAAUUUUAUAUUAUUUCAAUUUAUUAUGUUUGAAAUUUAUUACAUGUACACUUUUUGCAUUUUUAUUCCCAUUUUAUUAUUUUCGAUAAAUAUACAAUUCCCAUUUUUUCUUUUCGUAUUUUAUGUUUUCUUAAACAUACUUCUUUGUCAUUUUUCUUUUAAUGCUAUUUUCCUAAAAUUUAAAUUUCAAAUUCCUAAAUAAAUUUCGUAAAAAAAAUCCUUAUUCAACAUACAAUGUACAUACCAUUAUUUUUUCAUUCUAAAUAUAUUUCAUAAAAUAUAUAUGCUAAACAAAAUAAUAAAAUAACUAUAAUGUACGUAACAUAAAUAUUAAAAAAAUUAAAUUUAUAAAAAAAAUACCUUUUCUUUUCUUUUCUUUUCUUUUUCCUUCCUUCCCUCUUCUUCUUCUUCUUUUUUUCUCUUCUCCUUUCUUUUUCUUUACUUCUUUCUUUCUUUUUUCUUAUCCUUUCCUUUUCUUCUUCUUUCUUUCUUUCUUUUUUUCUCUUCUCCUUUCCUUUUCUUUCCUUCUUUUUCUUUCUUUCAUCUCCUUUCUUUCUUUUUUUCUUUCUUUCUUUCUUUCCCUCUCCUUCUGGUCCCCCCACCACCGACCCCCCCCAUAAACAUUGGUGCCGCCAAUGGUAUUGGCACCAUUGGUGCCGCCAAUGGCUAUGGCACCUUUGGUGCCGCCAAUCCCAUUGGCGUGACCAAGGUACACCCGUCACAUCGGUUAGAUUUUUUUUUUCAUUGUUUUUUUUUUUGGUUUUUUAUAUAUUUUGGUAAAUAAAAAAUAUAUAAUUUGGUAAAUAAAAAAAAGUUAUAACAUUUUGGUAAUUUUUUAUUUUUGUUAUAAUAUUUUAGUAAAUAUCCCCUCAUUGGCUUCACACCCACUUAAUAAAAUCCCUUCAUCCUCCUCCGGUGGAUCCAACACCAUUAACCCAUCUACGUAGUGAGGUUGGAAUUUGAGACUCACAUCUUUCCCGAAGAUUCCGAAAAUCUUUUGGCCAACAUUUGCUGCGUCGUGUAGGAUGCCUGCUAAUGUAUCUAUCGCACUGUGUAUGAUAUCAAAAGUAAGACUCUUAGCCUUAGCCUUAGCCUUAGAUGGUUUAGGCUUGUUGGGUUUUACUGGAGUCAUCAUAUGCUCAGGACCAAAUUGUUCUUUCUCUUUUUCAAUGAGACCACCACUGUGGCACGAAUCUGAUAGGAUUGUGAAGCUUGCUCCUUCUGGUAGCCGGUUAACUAAACGGCUGAAGUCCACAUCUGCAGAAACCAUGUAUAUAUAGGGUAUGAAUAUAUGUUGCUAAAAAAAAUAUAUAAACUCAAACAAAAACCUACCGGUGACAAGAUUUAAAUCACAAGCCACGAUUGCUUCAUCUUGCUUGAAAGGCUGGCCAGGUUGAAAGAUUGGAAUGCGCGUUCCAUGUCUACUGAAGUAGAAAAAUAGGAUAUCUCCUGCUUUAGCCUUGUUCACCAUUCUAUUAAGUGCAUCCUUAAUGUUUGCACCCGUAGGCAGAACCGGCGACCCUGGCGCAUCGGUGAGGACAUUAACAUCGCUUUCCUUAAACCCAAUGUCCAGGAUCACACCUCUUAUGGCUUUCACAUCAUUGACGCAUCCAUGCACGCUGAAUUGGGUCUUGGGGUAGUUGCAUCCCACCAGAACUGCUCUCUUCGUACCCUUACUCAUCUUGCUUCGCUAAUUUGACUAUUUUGUGUAGCUUGUACCGUUGUAUUAAUGUGCUUCCACUGUCUCACUAAGAACCUAUAUAUAUACACAUUAAUUUACAGCAUGUGUACUGACCAUAAAGAUGACGGCAUGUAGGUAGGUAGGUAGGUAGGUAGGUAGGCAGGUACAACACUUUUGUUUGUCUUUUGUGUUUUUGAAAAUGCAUGCGAAAUCCAUGCAUAUGCAAACAUUUUGUGCAAGGAAUUUGCAUAUCAGUACUGCAUAAAAGAGUGACUCUGGAGUUAUGGAAUUAUUUGAUAAUAUCAAAUACGAAAUAAAUUAAAAAUAAAAGAGUGGGUGAUUAAUCCGAAUUGGGAGGAGGACAGGUGUUGUGAUGGACAAAGCGUAAGACAAGUUGGUUUCCGACUGAAGCAGGAAAGCUCUAGCAAAAGGCAGCUAGGUAUUCCUUUUUCAGACAAAAGACGAUAAAGGAUAGAAAAAUAUAGGGUGGUGGUCGAAGAUAAAUGAUUAGAUCUGCUUCGCCUUCGUCCAUCACCUCAUCUUUAGGUUUUUUUCUUGGUCGUGACUCACGUUGGCCGUCGUCUGCAAGUGCUGUCGGUCCUACUAUCGUCGUUGUGUUGUCUAGCUUCUGAUUUCUAUGUAUUAGGGUCUAUUUGAAUGUGAGGUUGGUGUAGGGGUGAGGUUACAAAAUGGAUUUUAAGGGUUAAAAGUUAAAUUAUGUAUCUAUAUAGAUUAAAGAAUUGUUAAAUCAAAAUUUUAUAUUUUUUUUGGGAAUAAAUUGUAAUUAUAUAAAGUUUAACUUAUAAUUUUAUUGAUUUGAGCGAGAUUUAAAUAAUAGCUUUCUAUUUCUAUAAAGAGUAAUUUUUAUUGUAAGGGGCACGAUUAGACUUGAUUAUGAGUUUGGUCACCCUCCAAGUCCGAUAGCCCUCCUGAAAAGUGAGAGUUUAGGCAAAAUAUAAGCUUGAAAAAUAGGCUUGGACAAAAAAUAAUGCCCAUUUUCUAAUACUAGUGACAAACUACAUAAUUCGUUUAUGUCGCAGUUUAUGUUUAUGUGGUGUGAAUGUGUGAUAUAGCUAAAAUGAAUCUCGCUAGGAUGAGUUUGUUAGUUAGAAUUUGGACUCCCUCGUUCUUAAUACUGCCGAUAAGUUAAAUCUAGGGCGUUGAGUUACAGGGUUAUUUAUCGAUUAGGAAAUAAUUUCAAACGAGUUUUCUCUUGGCUAUCGAACAAUGAGAGAUGGGUUGCCUUACACUGAGUCAACAACUAGAACUAAUUUAUUAAAGGUAUUGAAGUUAUUUUUGCAUUGAUGAUCGAAUCUUUGAAUCAAACAAAGAUUUUACUUCUAGCUAGAGUUUCUUCUCAUUAAUUUUCUUUUAUAAUUUAUUUUUACUUUGUUUUAAUUUUAAUUUUUAAUUUUAAAAUCUUUUUAUAUUUUUCAUGUAAGUUUUUGUUUUUAUAAAUCUCUACAUCCUUGCAUUACUUCAAUACAACACCAAAAGAACCAAAUGGCAAACACUAUAACUAAAAAUCUUGCAAAAGAGGCCGUUUUAUUUUAUCAUAAAAUUAUACAUGAAAUAGCCAUACAUGGCGAUUACAUAAGCUUGAAGGCCUUAAAACACAGACAUACGAUAGUAAUUAAUAAGCAAACACACACACAGACGCAGUAAUGAAGGCUAACUUCAACUUCGUAGUAGUGCACACCGAUGGAGCACAUUAUUAUUUAGUUUACAGUUUCGACCUCUAGUGAUCGAAAACCCUGGUUCAAAGCCGGCAGCUUAUGCACCCGUAGUGGUGUUGGGUUGGUGGCCAAGAAAAGCUGCAUCAGCAUUCUCAUCACUGCAAUAAAGGCAAGGGUGCUGCUGCCCAAUUCCUAGCUUUAUUAUUUCAUUCCUAGCCUUCACCACAAGCUGUCUAUUGGUUAAUGCACCUAAUUCGCUCUCCUUGAUGACCUUCAGAACUGAAUAGGUAAAGGCCCCAAACGCCUUUCCUCCGGUUUUCUCACUCGCUGGCAUAUCAAUUGAAAGCUCAUUGGCUUGGCACCCACUUAACAGAAUUCCCUCAUCCUCCGUCAGUGACCUCAAAUUCAAAAUAUCACGCUCAUAAUGGGGUAGGAAUUUGAGACUCACAUUGUUCCCAAAGAUUGUGGUCAAAAGAGAGCCAAUACCCGUCAUAUUAUCUGUUCCAGUGUUGAUGGCAUUCCCAAGUGCUCUUGUGGGAAAUAAGUCUUGUGUCGCGAUAAUGACGUUGGCCGCUGUUUGUAGGCACUGGAAUAAGGUUGCUAAGGAAAUGCCCCUAGUCUUGUAAUCAACAGGUGGUGCUAUACCCCUUAGAGUACUAUGGGGUCCAAUUUGUUCUUUACUUUUAUCAAUCAGACCACCACUGUGGCAGGAAUCCGAAACGAUUGUGAAGCUUGAUCCACUUGGUAGUAGCUGAAUCAAUUGCCCCAAGUCCACGUCUGCACACCCAUCGCAACCACAAUAUGAUAUAAAUAACAGUUUGCUUAGAUUGAGAGUAUUUUAAUAAUUUAAUUUACCGAGUUGAUUACGUACCAAAAAUGGGAUUGAGAUCACAAGGCACAAUUGCUUCACCCUCGUUGGGAGGCUGGUGGGGGUCAAUGCGGUGCACAAGUCCAUGUCCACUAAAGUGGAAAAGCAGGACAUCUCCUUCUUUAGCCGCGACCACCAUCUUCUUGAGUGCAGCCAUAAUGUUUGCACGUGUAGGCUUACACGUGGACUCUGGUUCAUCAGUUAGGAGCUCAACAUUUUCGGAAUCAAAGCCAAACCUGCUCACGAUCAUUUCUCUCAUGGCUUUCGCAUCGUUUACGCAUCCGCUCAACUUGUUGAUGGUGUUGGGGUAGUUGCAUCCGACCAGAACGGCUCUCUUCUUACAUUCGGUGGCCAUCUUGCUUCUGUUUUGGGUCGCUUGUCUUGUCUUGUGCUUCGGACGUUGCACUAAACACCUAUAUAUAUGCACACAUACACACUGUAGUUUACACUAUGCUCACUGACCAUACUCUAAUAAAUAAUACAUCAUGUUGGUAGGUACAACUGUUUUAUUUUAUUUUUUGUUUAGAAAAAAAAAGGGCUUUUUUUAUAAAAACAACCCAAAAAUAAUUAAUUACUUAAAUGACUUAUUUUUUUGAUAAAAUACGAAAAUAACCUGAAAUCUAUGGAAAAAGUUGGUGGAGCUAAAGUGUGCCACCAACAUGCCACGUCAGCAAUUUAUAUUAAAAAAUUAAUUUUUUAGUAGAGCCGCCACUUGUAUAAAUACUACGGAAAUAUUAUGAUUUUUUUCUUUUUAAGUUUUUUUUAUUUGUCCCUUAUAUAUUUUAUUUAUUUGUUUAUUAUUGAUUUUAUAAAAUCUCAAAUGUAUAUUUUAAAUGUUUUAUAAUAUUAUUUUUUAAAUAUUUUAAAUAUUUUUCUAAAUUUAAAUAUUAUUUUUUAAUUUUUAAAUAUUAUUUUUUAAUAUUAUAAAAUAUUUAAAAUAUAUUAUUUUUAGAAUUAUGAGCUUUCAAAUUUAUUAUUUGUUUUAUAAUAUUUUAAAUAUAUAUUUAAAAAUUUUUAAAUAUAUAUUUUUUAAAUUAUUUUUAAAGAUAUUCAAACAUUUUUUUUAAUUCUAUUUAAAAUUUAAAAAAUAAUAUGUGUUUUUAGAAUGGCUUCACCACUUUAUUACAAGUGUCAUUUUUUAAAAAUAUGUUUUUUAAAUAUAAAUAUUUAAUAUUUAAUAUUUUAUUUUGGUGGAGCCAUUCUUUAUGGCUCCACCUCUUGGUUCUCUAGCAUAUAUAGAAUGGUGAAAUUGUUGUGUUUAGUAGGAGAGUUCAAAAAUUCUGUUAAAGAUGAAUAAUGAGGUGUUUUGGUUUACGUUCUCUUUUAUGGCGAAAUUGUAGAAGGUGAUGUUGGUUGUAUAUUUCAAUGUCGGCAAAGAGUAGGGUUGCGAUUCAAAAAACUGUAAAGCUGGCAGAAAUGAAAAGGAAGAUUAGUGCAAAAAUAGCUAUUUGUUGUGGAAGGGCAAUGUCCAGAUUAUUUUACAAGUUUCCAAUCUCUACAGAUCUGUUCAAAUUUUGUGAGAUGCAACUGUUAGAUGAUGAUGACUUGGGCACUAUGAUGGAAAUAUGGUGGUCGACUGGAAGUGAGAAUCCCCAACCAGUUGAGUUAUUUACUGAGUUAGCAAACUCAGAGCCUGUUGAAAAUGUUAGUCCAAUAAGUCAACAUCGCGAAUUUGACUUUGGUCGUAAUGCCAGAUGGACAGACUAGUUAGAAUGCGGUGGGACAUUGCAGAUACCCGAAAAUCCAAAUUAUGGUGGGAGUUCGUAUAACAACCCUACCCCCGGUCCCCGUCUACAAAUACAUUCGGAGGUGAUAAUAAGCACAGAGGCAGAUAUCAAAGAAAUGACCAAUAAUGAUGAAGAUUCUGAUCAGGACGUUUACGAUUUUAGCGACCUCGAUGUUGAUAAGGUUCCGGACGAUAUCGUUGAUGAAGGCCCGGAGGAGGUGGAAGACGUUCACUGGCCUUCAUUCAAUAACCCGAGUCGUGGCAUUAUUUUACGAAAUGAACCUGGAGGUGACCUGUUGAAUCUAGAUCCAGAUGCAGUGCAUGCAUCCGAGUUCCCUGAGUACACUGAUAUAGUACAUGCUCAUAGAUUGACGUCAAUUUCGUAGUUGGAGGAGUUGUUCAUUGGGUAAUGGUUCGAGAACAAGGCGGGCUGUGUGUUUGCCAUCAAACAUUAAUUAUAGCAUGAAGUUAUCGAUUGAUUACAAGGUUGCCAAGUCUACACCGACAUUAUAUGUUAAGAAAUGCUGGAGAGCCGACGAUGGGUGUGCUUGACGGGUUCGGGUUGCAUUUAUACAGAAGACUCAAUAGUGGCAAAUACGAAAAUUAGAAUGGUGUCAUACAUGCACUGUCGUGCGUAUUCUCAAGAUCCCCAAAAAUUGGAUGCCAAAAUUAUUUGCAACUGCAUCAUGUCACUAAUGAAAGAUAGUCCAAUCAUUCUUGUGUCGACAUAUCAAAUGGAUCGGCACAUCAGGAGGAUCAGCAGCUGGAUCAAACAUGGAAUGAGGCGGAGUGUAUAAAUGUUAUUACCAAACAUAUCAAAUGAUAUCAGUGGUUGCUCUGGGUAAUAUGAACUCGAACCGCCCAUGUCCAGGUGAUAUGAACUGCUCUGUGACUCUUCACAAAAAGCAUCAACCUAUUGGUACGAUAUGUUUAAAGGUUGGUCCUCCGAGUCGGGCUCCGCCAUAUGUUGAUCCUCUAGCUCCCCCAUAGGUUGACUUACAUAUCUAUAGCUGUGUCCGGUACUAUUAUAUGUUGCCCACCAUAUAACUAAAUACGCCAUCGAGUCAUGUACCACUACAUGUAUUCAGUCAAAGGACUGAAGUCAAACAUGCAAAAGUGCAUCUCAGGCCGCUUGUUGUAUCGGGCAUUCCAUAGUACUACAUGUAUCUAUUCUGCUUAUCUGAUUAUGAUAAUUGCAUCUAAUAUGGACUUAGGUCUGAAUCUAUAUUUGACUGUAUAUGAGAUUUUGUGUAUGUACUGCAUGUCUAUUUAUGUUGGGUUAAACACUAAGUUUGCGAAAAUUCAGUUCUGCUUGUCUGUUAUGUUCAGGUAAUCCACAGUCUUAGGCAAAUCGGUGCGGCAGAGUUUCACGGUAACCACAAGUUUGUGAACUAAUUUUAAUUGGUGGUUUUUGUUUAGUUAUGGAUUAUUUCUGGGAGUUUUGUAAUUAAGGGACUCUCCGGACUGUUUGGUUUUAUUUUAGAUUUGGAUUUUCGAAUUAACUCUUCAUUUGCGACGGUUGGCUAAAACCGUGGUUUUUACUAAACAAAGGUUUUUUUGAAAAUGCAAACGGGAUUUUCAAAUAUAACGAUUUCUAAUAUUUCUGCUCAAAAUUAUGUUUUGGAAUAUGAAUUAAUUAAAUAAUGUUUUCAGUAUUAUUUAUAAAACUUGGUUGAUUUAUCGAAAUGGUUCUGAUUUCAAAACCCUUCAUCGCAGCAUUACCAAAUUUGGCGAUAAUGUCUAUGCUGGGUUUGAGGUGUUACACAAAUUGUCACAUAACUCGAUCGGUAUUAUACCACACAAUGGUUGAGAAGUUGAGCACUGGCAUGUUAAUACACCACACAUGGGCUUCUACGUGAACCCACUAAGGAAUAAGGGUUGCAAUGUUCGGUGCUGAAUACAACAUCCACAAGAACUGCACAAUAUAACAUAAUGAGUCAAGUCACAUCACAUACUGCAAGUGGAUAAGUUAAAUCAACGUUACUUAAACCAUGUUAAUAUGUAUUACUUUCUUUCCGACGGAUGCCUCUAUCAUUUGUUGGUAAAUGAUUAAUGUUUAGGUCGCACCAAUUCGCGGAGACGUGGCCCAUCUAAAACCGAAACAAACAUGUUAGCAAUUAAAUGUUAAGUAUAAUUUUGUUUUUACCUAUUUACAAGUGGCGACGAAUAUGGUUGGUGCCUAACAACCACUAGAAAUGGCAUCCUGUAUAGAGCCCAAGAUUGCAGCAGAUUUAGUCAACCAGCCAUGUUACUAACCCCAUGUUUUGUUGCUCGGCAAAGCUCAUGGUACAAUUUGGCCAACACUGCCGAUCCCCAGCUGUAAUUAUCGACACGAGAGAAGUCCUCACAUAGAGGCAAGUACUUUAAGUGGACCCUAUUAGACGUGUUGUUCGACAUAAGUACCCCCGAUUAGCUGCAUAAUAUAUGCUCAAGUGGCACACAUCACCUCGUGCUCAGUGGCAAUGCUUGAUAACUACUUAAAAUUUAGUUUCAACCAUGCCAAUGUCAAGCAUGUGAAAUUAUGUUCCCCACCACUAGGGGACCGUCCAAGCAAUCUGUGGCAUAGUAUUGAAGGUUCCAACACUUUUCUUUGGCCCGUGACCACAACAAUAUCAACUUAUAACCCAAGUUACAUAGCAACAUCUUCCAAUGUGAUAGUACACUCCCCGCACGGCAUAAUGAAGGUGUGGGUCUUCAUACACCACUGCUCAACCAAGACGGAUAUUAAGUUCACCCUCAGGCCAAACCUUCAGAUCAAUGCAACGUCCCCAAAUCCCGCCAAUUGUAAGUAUGGCAUGACUCGCUCGUCCGGAUUGUGCUUGGGAAAAUGAAACCGCAACCUCAGAACCCGAUACCCAUCCUGUAUGGUAAAUUUUUUAUAAAAAUAUGAUAACUCAAUUAUCUAAAGAGUUUUUCAUUUUAGAUUUUAGAGAGGCUUAAAUAAUAGUUUUUCAUUUUAGGAGGUCUAAAAAGUACUUUUCUUUUUAAAGGAGCCACGACCCCUGCCUAGUUUGGUCACCUUCUGUGGUGACGAGAUUCAUUCCAAUGAGAUUAAAAACAGCAGUGAUGAUGAGAUUAAUUACUAUAAUAAUGAGAUUAUUAAAAUCAGUGGUGAGAUGUGUUUUAGAAUUCGAACACAACAAUGGCAGUGAGAUAGAUUAUAGAUUUAUAGUAAAAAGGAAAAAUGACCAUUAUAGACACUAAACUAAAAUUAAACUAAGGAAGUUUACACCAUUCCGUAUAUUUUUGUACGAUUAAUAUUUUAGCGAUAAAAACACCAUAUUUCAUAUUUCAUGUUUUAUGUAAAAUACUUUUAAUCUUUGAAUGAAUGUUAAUACAUGCAAUAUUUUAGAUCGAUAGAUAAAAAUAUAGAAUCAAUUGAGAAUUUACAAUAAUAUCAACAAAUUCAAUGAUUGGAUUGUUAAGUUAAGAAUCAUGCAAAAAUAUAUGAAAUCGUGUAAAAUUACUUUAGUUUCGCACUAGUAUAAGCGAAUUCUUUUUUUUUUAAUAUAAAAAAUUAAUUAUAUAAUUUAAAUUUAUGUAUUUAACAUUAUUUAUAAAUAUAUUUCAUUAUUUAUAAAUAUAUUAUUUGAAAGUAAUGAAAUAAAAUAAAUAUUAUAAAUAAAAUUAUUGAAAUAUAGUAUCUAUUAUUGAAUUAAAUUAACCAUUCUUUAAAAAAAGAGUGAAAAUUAUUUUUUUAAAAUGCAUAGGGUUUUAUUUUUAAAAAAAUUUAAGAUUUAGGUGUAAAAGAUAAUCAAUCAUAAAGUGCAUAGGGCUUUAUUUUUUAUUUUUUAAAUAAUAUUGUUUUUGGCUCACAUGCAGUUUAUUGAGUUAGGUUAAGUAUACCUAACUCAAAAUUUAUAAAAAUGAUAAAAGGCAUGUGAUUUAGUAAUACAAAUAUUUUAUUCUUAAUUUUAAUUCAAUUUUUUUAUUUAAAACAGUAAAGGAUGUAGAUACCUUUAUAAAUUUGCACCUUUUAUUUUAUAGUUCAGUCAUUUCUUAAUUUCAUUUAGAGAUUUAUUGUAUACAGUGACGGAGCAUAGUGGAGAUCCAGGUAGCAUGGCAUCCCUUAAAAUGGUAAAUUUUUUAUUCAAGCCCUUUAUAAUUUAUAAAAUAUUAAAUUAGUAAUGGUAAAAUUGUAUUUUAACCCCCCUAAAGAUGAUAAAGUUUUGAUUUAACCCUUUAAAAAUUACAAAUUACAAUUUAAUUCCAACCCAAAAAAAUUUAGGCUCCGCCACUUAAAUAAUUAUAUCAAAUUCGAUAAAAAUUUUAAACUUCACAGGUAGAAUUGAAAAAAUAUGUGCUUUAUUUAAUAAUAAUACUUUUGAAUGGGUUGAAUUUGGUUGAAUUGGCAAGAGAUAAGGUGUGGAUAAAAUAAUAAAUUUAGUAGAUUAUAUGCAGAACUUGGUCAUAUCAGACUCAGUGCCAUGAACUUCACUAGCAAGCUUGCUAACACAGCUGCAGCAUAAGCUAUUAACUGCUUAAUCACUAUUUUUAUUACAACACUCAAAGAUGAAGAAGAAGAUUCUAUAUUUAAUUUCUUAAUGUUAACCUUGCAUUUGCAUUUCCUUGAUGGCGCUUCUAUACCAACUUUCAAGGAGAAUAAAACAAAAUAAUAAUAACUUUUUAGUUAAUUUGAUGGCAUAAUUGGUAAGGUUUUUUUUUAUUUUUUUAUUUGGGGUCGAUUUUGCAACGAUAUAGACAGGUAGGUAGGCACAUUUUAUUCUGUUGAAUAACUAGUUAUAUGGUAUAAGAGUGGUACCUAAUUGAUUAUUAAUGUCUUAAGGUCGAAUAUCGAAAAAAAAAACAAUUCCCCUUUAGAAAAAUAUUUAUUGGAAUUUAUUAUUUUGAAAACUAAAAAAUUUAAUCAUCUUGCUUCAAUGAAGAAAUCGAAACCCUGUAAGUUAGGGUAUGAUUCUUUGAAGUUCCGAUAACAACAUGAAUUUGCCUUUAUUAGAAAACUUCAUCUCGAGAUAAUAAAAUGUCAUAUCCAAUUAUUUAGGACCCAACGUUUUGAAUCCUCGAGAUAAGCUUUAAUUUUGGAAUUUUUACGUUCUUCGGAAAGAAGGAUACAGGGUUACCUAAAUUCAUCGAGGAAAAUUGAAACCCAGUAAGUUAGGGCACAAUCUUCUCGAGAAUCUUGGAUACCGAGUAUUGUGUUAUUUUGAAAACCUUUGAAUAAAACAAUUUAAUUACUUUAAUUAAGCAUAAUCCUUUAAGAAAAAAAACGAUGGAAUGAUAAUGUAUAACGGGAAAGGAUAGUUUGUAAACUAAAGUGCACACUAAUGAGCGACAAAUAAAUACAAAUAAGCAAUACAAUACACAUGAGAGCAAUCAUCUUUAUACAAAUACUAACUUUAAAAGCUAAUGAAUCAAAAGUCUAUUUUGAAAGAAAUACGAAGCAAAUUAACACAAAUAAAAUGUAACAAAUUUUAAAACAACUAAAAAAACAAAUGACAUGAAAGAAGGGGAAUUAUGUAAAUUUAAAAUAAUAUAUACAUAUAUCAAAGUUUGAAAUAAAUCAAAAACAUAGUUCGAAAUAAAUACUACAUAAAAUAAUAGUAUCCAAAUAAAUUUUAAAAUAAAUAUUAUAUAAGAAGAAAAUCAAAACACACAAAAUAAUAUACAUAUAUUAAUUUAAAAAAGUAAUACAUAUGGAAUGAAAAACUUCAUAAUAAUAUAUAAUAAAUUUAAAAAUAAUAAUAAUGCAUGAAAAGCUUAGAAAAAUAAUACAUAUAAAAUUAAAAUAAUAAUAUACAAUAAAUUUAAACAAUGUUAAUAAUAAAUUUAAAAUAAUAUUAAUUUUAAAAUUAAAUACAUUAAAAAUAAGGGAAUAAUAGAUGCUUAAAUAAAAUUUUAAAAAAAAAUCAAGCACAGUAAAUUAGUAGGGAUUAAAUUGAACUCAAAAUAGAAUUAAAAGGGAAAAAAGUAAAACAAAAUGAAGGGCCAGAGCAUAACGCGCGAAUAACAUGAGGGCCAAACAGGAAAUAUUGCCUUCUCUCAAAACGCUGCAUUUUGAUGUGGACCAAAAUGAUACAAAAAGAAAAUGUCAAGCAAAAUUUAAAAGCCAUUAAAGAAUUGAUUUGAAUACGUUAUAAACGUGGGGGACCAUUUGCACAAAUUCCCCAUGCGCUACAAAAUGCGCGGAUCUUUCCCCGGGUCGGGUCACUACGCGGGUAUACAUGGCGGUAUGGCGUCGUUUUGGAGUCAUUAAAACAGACCCCAAAUGGCGCCGUUUCUUUUAUCAUAUACAAACCAAUUUUAACCCUAAAAUUAGCAGCCAUUUAUGAUUUAAAAAUCAAUCCCUAAAAAAAACUUGUCUCACCCUCUCCGAGCGCCGUUCAACAAUUAGGCCGUUCAAAGGUCCUCCGCCCUUCGCCCGCCUCCGAUUGCGAUGUAGCGAACCAAGGUUCGACUACCAGGUAACCGACUCUUAACUGUUUCUUUUUUCUUCAUUCACGAUAAAUAAAUAAAAAGAUUCAAGAACAGAAAAAAAUUAUUGAGAGAGGAAAAAAAAUGAAAAUCACCUCUGGAUUUCUGUCUUUUAGCAAUUUUUAUUUCUUUUCGUAUCCCCCAUUUACAAAUUUUCAAUGGCUUUUUAUAGCCGAAAUGAAACAAGAAAAUAAAAUAAAAAGAAAUCUAUUCUGUCAUCUGAUGGUCUUGAUUUGCGAUUUUUUAUUUUCUUACUAUUUUUUCCUACCUCUGCUGUUUGUUCCCAUUUUUGUUGUGCAGGUACAACCUCGGAGGGGCGCACGUGCGCGGAGGAGCAACAUGCGCGGGGGGCCUAGGUUCGGCUGCAGCGCAAAGGCAGAAAGCUACUAUUGCUGCUAAGGUUUCUGUUUCGUGGUCUAGGGCUAGGCAUUGGGCCUCUGUAAUUGGGCCACUAUUUAUUUGGUUAAGGAUUUAGAUUGGGUCUUAGUGUAUUUUGUAAUCGAGUUUGGGUUUGGGUUGGCAAUUGGACUGUAUUUGGACUUUGAAUUUUUAUUUGGUAUUUGGUUUUAUUUAUUUACAUACGGGCCAGGCAAAUUGGGCCAAUUAUAGCUGCCCCUCUUUGCUCGUUCUCGUGUAACAGGAACGGAGCAAAGAAUUUAGCAAUGGCCAAUUUUUAUUUCUUUUCGUAUCCCCCAUUUACAAAUUUUCAAUGGCUUUUUAUAGCAAAAAUGAAACAAGAAAAUAACAUAAAAAGAAAUCUAUUAUGUUAUCUGACGGCCUUGAUUUGUGAUUUUUGAUUUUCUUACUAUUUUUUCCUACAUGUGCUGUUUGUUGCCAUUUUUGUUGUGCAAGUACAAGCUCGGAGGGGCGCACGCGUGGGGGGCCUGGGUUCGGCUGUAGCGCAAAGGCAAAAAGCAUCUAUUGCUACUAAGGUUUUUGUCUCGUGGUCUAGGGCUAGGCAUUGGGCCUCUGUAAUUGAGCCACUGUUUAUUGGGUUAGGGAUUUAGAUUGGGUCUUAGUGUAUUUUGAAAUCGGGUUUGGGUUUGGGCUAGCAAUUGGACUGUAUUUGGACUUUGAAUUUUUAUUUGGUAUUUGGUUUUAUUUAUUUACAUGCGGGCUGGGUAAAUUAGUCCAAUUAGAACGUGUUAAGAACUUUCUUAAUGAACAAAGUAAUGCUAUAUUGAUCAAGAAAAUAGGUGAUUUCCCUUCCUCUACCAUUUCACAAUAAUAGAGUACAUGAGUUAGCUAUUAUUUAUAAUUGCUGCUAACAAAUUAAUAGAUUGAUGAGAAUAAAAAAACUAAAUGUUGCCUAUCAAUACUAACAGCUAUUAUUUUAUAUUUUAACAUUAACUUAUCUUUCCGACGGGUAACACCUGAAGAAGACUUUGAAACCGAGCGAAAGAUGAAACAGAUAAAGGCUUAGUAAGAAUGUCAGAAAUUUGAUCGCACGCAAGUAUUUCACCCACAACUAAAGACCUAGCAGCAAAUCUUUCACAAAUAAAGAACAAAUCAAGCUCCACGUGUUUAAACUUAGAAUGUAAAACCGGAUUCACAGCAACUGCAACUGCACUUGAGUUGUCAUACCAUAUAGUAAGGAAAUCAUUAGACUGAAGUUCUAAUUCUUUUAAUAAUGAAGUCAGCAAAAGGACAUCACUCGUUACUGCAGUAAGACUCUGAUAUUUAGCUUCGACUGUGGAAUGAGACACAACUUGUUGUUUCUUUGAACACUAUGACACUAAGUUGUGACCAAAAUAUACACAAUAGCCAGUUGUGGAUCAACUAUCAUCAAGAUCCAGCCCCCAAUUUGCAUCGGCAUAACCAACUAAAGAGAGUUGAGUAGACGAACGAAACACAAUCCCAUAGUCUAGAGUACCACACAAAUACCGCAAUAUGCAUUUUAAAGCAACCAGAUGUAUAGUAGUGGGUGUAUCCAUAAAUUGGCAGAUGCGAUUUACUGCGUAGGCAAUAUCAGGUCGAGUUAGAACCACAUACUAUAGCGCCCCUGCAACACUUCUGUAUUCAGUGGGAUCAAAAAGUCAUUCCCCGCCAUCCUUAGACAAAGAUGAUGAGCUAAUCAUAGGAGUAUGAACACUCUUUGCAUGAGUCAUACAACACCUGUUAAGCAAAUCACGAACGUACUUUUGCUGGCAUUGAUGGAUACAUCCAUCAGAGGAACGAGUCACCUCAACUCCAAAAAAGUAAUAAAGAUCACCCAUAUCUUUAAGAGAAAACUCCUUAUGCAAUUUCUGAACAAAACUUUCAAUACAUGUAGGUACACUUCCAGUAACAAUAAUAUCAUCCAUACACAAGAACAUAUAGAGUGACAGAAGGUAUGACUUGAAUAAAUAAGGACGAACUCGACUUGGAUAUAUGAAAUCCAAUUGAAAGUAGGAAACACUUUAACUUUUUAAACCAAACACGUGGAGCCUGUCACAGUCCAUACAAUGCCUUCUUAAGACGACACACCAAAGGUUCACCAUUAGGACUAAACUGAACAUACCCUGGAGGUUACUGCAUAAACACUUAAUCAGUAAGAUUGCCAUUUAAAAAAAACAUUAUUAACGUCUUGAGACAGAGACUGAUAGUAUAACUCGAAUAGUAGCAUGCUUGACCCCCGGACUAAACGUUUCCUUAAAAUCACAUCCAAGUACCUGAGAACAUCCUUUAGCCACUAACCGAGCUAUCCGACUUGCAAUCGUUCCAUCCAAAUUUUUUUUACUUUGAAGAGCCAUUUACACCUGAUUACCUUUCGACCGCUUGGUGACAGAAUAAGUUUCUAGGUGGAAUUAUGUGUAUUUUGGAAAUACGCCCAUCUCGUGUUGUUCAAAAAGGCAACAAGUUAUUUCUCGAUCAACAGCAGAAGUAGAAUAUUGAACUCUUACUGCCGCCACCAGUGAUAUAAUAUGGUUAGUCUCUCUGCUAACGGAGUUACAACUUCAUUCUGCUGACUCUCCUACUAUUUGGUGUGACAAUUCUAGUGCAGUAGCGAUUGCUGGCAAUCUGGUUUUACACUUCAAGUUUAAACAUGUUGAACUUGACCUUUUCUUUGUCCGUGAAAAGGUUGCUAACAGUUCACUCGUUGUUGGUGAGGUACCAGCCUGUACCAAGUUGCUAACAUUUUAAGGAAACCAUUGUCUGUCUCUUUGUUUACUCAGUUUUGUAAUUUCCUUCGGAUCUUACCUAUUGAGAAGCUGGGUAAAUGUUAGAGUAUGUGAAUGUAUUAGGCUAUUAGUCUGUUAUCAAGACUGGUAUAUUGUUAGUAGGUUAGUUAGUAGUAGUUAGAUCAAGUCUCAUGCAUAUAAGUAUUAUCUCUAUACUGAUAGAAAAAGGUUAACAAUACAAACAAUUUAAUUAGUCUUUUCUUUCAAUAUUUUUCAGUAUUAUAGAGUUAGUAACAUGUUCAUAUUAUUUGUUCCAGUGUUGAUGGUAUUGGCAACUACUGUUUUGUCCAAAAAGCUUGACGUCAUGCUCAUGACGUUGGCUACUGUUUGUAGGCUCCGAUAUAAGGUUUCAAUGGAAAUUCCCCUAGUCCUGUAAUCAAUAGAUGGUGGUAUAGCCCUUAGAGUACUAUGGGGUCCAAUUUGUUCUUUAGUUUUAUCAAUCAGACCACCACUGUGGCAGGAAUCAGAAAUAAUUAUGAAGCUUAAUCCACUUGGUAGUCGUUGAAUCAAGUGCCCCAAGUCGACGUCUGCACAACCAUCGCAACCACCAUAUGACAUGAAUAAUAGUUCGCUUAGAUUGAGGGUGUUUCAAUAAUGUGAUAUAUUUGGCCUCUAAUAAGAAAUCAACAUAUAGAGUGGGUGAUUAAUCCGAAUUGGGAGGAGGACAGGUGUUGUGAUGGACAAAGCGUAAGACAAGGUGGUUUCCGACUGAAGCAAGAAAGCUCUAGCAAAAGGCAGCUAGGUAUUCCUUUUUCACACAAAGACGAAGAUAAAUGAUUAUAACAGCAUGAUAUGAUCUGCUUCGCCUUCGUCCACUACCUCAUCUUUAUGUUUUUGUUUUGGUCGUUACUCACGUCGGCUUUUGUCUGCAAGUGCUGCAUGUCGGUCCUACUAUCGUGAUUGUGUUGCCUAGCUUCUGAUUUCUAUGUAUUAAUAGGGUCUAUUUGAAUGUGCGGUUUGCAGAGGUAAAAUUAGAAAUUUGUUUUUAAGUGUUAAACUUUGUAUCUAUAUAGAUUUAAGAAGUGUUAAAUCAAAAUUUUAUAUUUUUUUACGAUAAAUUGUAUUUAUACAAUGUUUAACUUAUAAAUUUAUUGAUAUUACAGAGGUUUAAAUAAUAGUUUUCCAUUUUAGGGGUAUAAAGAGUAAUUUUCAUUUUAAGGGCGCUACGAUUAGACUUGAUUAUGAGUUGGGUCACCCGUCCAAGUCUAAUGGUUCUCUUGACAAGUGAGAGAGAUUGGGCUAAAAUAUAGCCCAAAAAAACAGACUUGGACAAAAAAUAAUAUCCAUAUUCCAAAGGGGCCGAGCCUCGGGUAAGAUUUUUUUGCUUGGGCCCAACCCGACCCAAAUUUGCUUAAAAAAUUUUCCUUGCUACUGUUAACUAUUGUUUGCUAUUAUAUUGUUACUAUAUUGUUGCUAUUAUUUGUAUAUUGUAUAAUUAUUGUUUUAUUGUUAAUUUUGCUACUAUUUUCAAUUAGUUGGGAAACAUUUAUUUCAACAUUUUUAGUGUAUUUGAUGUAUUAUAUUUUUUAAAAUAAAAAAGUAUAAAAUAUUUUAAUAUAGGCGGGCCGGGCAAGGCUCAGGUUUGGCAUUGUUUAUCUGGGUCAGGCUUGAUAAAAAAUUUAGGCCCAUUUUUUGGUCGGGUAGGGCUUGAGCCUAGAAAACGAGCCUAGAAUCCCAACCCGAUUGAGCCCAUGAUCAAGUCUAGCCACGACCCCUAUCCGCUAUGGUCACCGCCUUUGGAGACAAGAUUAAUUCUUGUGAGAUUGAGAAUAGGGAUGGCGAUGAGAUUAAUUACUAUAGCAGUGAGAUUAGUUACUACAGUGAUGAUGUUAAAAUUAGUGGUGAGAUGCGGAUUCAAACACAAGAAUGGCGGGAAGAUAGAUAAUAGAUUUAUAGUAAGAAAGGAAAAUGACCAUUAUAGACAUUAAAAUAAAUUAGUUUUCACCUUUCCGUAUAUUUUUCUAUGAUUAUUAUUUUAAUGAUAAAAAUGACAUAUUUAAUAUUUCAUUUAAACACAUCGUGCAUAUUUUUAACAUAAAUUAAAAAUUUCUAACUAUUUGUUUUAUUUAAGAAUAUUUUUAAUCGUUUAAUAAAUGUUAAUAUAUAUAAUAUUUUAGAUAGCUAUGACAGAAAUAUCGAAUCAAUUUAAAAUUUUACAUACAUGAAAAGUACAACAAUAUUGAUAAAUUCAAUGGUGGGUGUCACAUCACAAAAUCAGGGUUAAAAAAAUUAGAUUAGCGAAACCAAGUGUGGUCGUGUUCAGUUUUGAUUUGAAGUUGUGAAAAUUAAAAACCAAGAGUACGUUAACCACCGCAUCCCCAAAUAGUCAUAUGAUGUCUCAUAGGCUUCACACCCUCUUAAUAAAAUCCCAUCAUCCUCCUUCAGUGGAUCCAACACCAUUAACCCAUCUACGUAGCGAGUAUUGGGAAUUAUCCAUAUUUAUGGAAAAUCAAAGAUAUGGGUAUCAAAUAAUAGAAAGUCAAAGAUAUGGGUAUCAAAUAUUGGAAAGUCAAAGAUAUGGGUAUCAAAUAUUGGAAAGUCAAAGAUAUGGGUAUCGAGAUAUUGGCAUAAUAAAAUCUGAGAUAUUUGCAAUAUAUGGUCCCUAAUUGUAAAGUGACUUUGCAAGUUGAUCCCUGAACCUCAACUAUAAAUAGGUGCCAUCUCUCAUUCUGUAUCUCAAACUUGCCAUUCUCUACUUAAGGCAUUGUUUUUUCUCUCUCUCUCUUUGUAAAUUCUCACUUGUAUUUUGGAGUGAAAUAUAUUUGGUAGUGCCCGAGGACGUAGGCAAAAUUUGCUGAACCUCGUUAAAUUCUUGUGUUCUUUAUUGUAUUAUUCUGCAUGAAUUGUGUGUGUGAUUGUAGUAAUUUAUUGUGCUAUUAAAUUACGACUGAAGGAUAUUCUGGCUAGGAAAGACCUGGUACUUAAGCGAUCCUUGUGAUCCACCUCUCUUUCCUGGGAAUUGAACUUAGUGUGAUUUUUUAGUACAAUAAUUUUACUCUUUUACACGCUUCCGCACAACAAUUGGUAUCAGAGCUAGAUUCGUACUUGGGGAAUACGAUCGUUCACGGUACUGUUCACGUACUGUAGUUGGGAUUGAGGAGAAAAAAAUGGAAAAGUCAUCGUCAAAGACUACUGUGACCAAUGCGAAAUUUGAAGUAGAGAAAUUUGAUGGUACCAAUAAUUUUGGUAUGUGGCAAUGUGAGAUCCUGGAUGUCUUAUGUCAGCAAGAGUUGGAUAUAGCCCUUGAAGAAAAACCUGACAAGAUGGAUGACAAGGAGUGGGCCAAGAUCAAUAGACAGGCAUGUGGAACAAUUCGCCUAUGUUUGGCCAAAGAGCAGGAGUACUCUGUCAUGAGGGAGUCAUCAGCGAAGAAGUUGUGGGAUACACGGGAAGAAAAGUUUCUAACAAAAAGUCUUGAAAAUAGGCUUUAUAUGAAAAAGAAACUUUAUCGAUUCACGUAUGCACCCGGUAUGUCGAUGAAUGACCAUGUGAACUCAUUCAAUAAAAUUUUAGCAGACUUGCUAAAUUUGGAUGAGAAAUUUGAAGAUGAAGACAAGGCAUUACUGUUGUUGAAUUCUCUUCCUGAUGAAUAUGAUCAUCUUACCACCACAUUGCUUCAUGGGAAGGAUACAAUCACAUUUGAUGCAGUCUGUAGUGCGUUGUAUAGAUCUGAGACUCGAAAGAAAGAUAAAAAAGAUCACAGAGACUACAGAAGUCUUAACAGUAAGAAGUCGUUCGCACAGCAACAAAUCUGGUAGAAGGAGUAAGUCCAAAAAGAGACCUGCCAAAGAUGAAUGUGCUUUUUGUCGUGAGAAAGGGCAUUGGAAAAAGAAUUGUCCUAAGUUACAAAAGGGUAAAGCUAUUUCUGAUGCAUGUGUAGCGGAGCAUGAUGAGGAGUCAGACUUUAGCUUGGUUGGCAUGGCAAUGGCAUGUCAUACAGAUGAGUGGAUUUUUGAUUCGGGAUGUACUUACCAUAUGUGUCCUAAUAAGGACUGGUUUUCUAGUCUUAAAGAACUAGAAGGUGGAGUUGUUUUUAUGGGCAAUGAUAGCGCUUGUAAGACAAUGGGAGUAGGUACAAUCCAAUUGAAGAAUCACGACGGCUCAAUUCAAGUCUUGACAGAUGUUCGCUACAUACCUAUCUUGAAGAAAAAUCUUAUCUCAUUAGGGGUCCUAGAAUCUAAAGGGCUCACAAUCACUUUGAGAGAUGGAUUACUAAAGGUAGUAGCUGGGGUAUUGACGGUGAUGAAAGGCACAAGAAGGAAUAAUCUGUACUAUUUAAAUGGAAGUACAGUUAUUGGAUCAACAUCAACAGCUUUUACGAAAGAUGCAGAUUCAGAGGCUACCAGGUUAUGGCAUAUGCGAUUGGGACAUGCUGGUGAAAAAGCUUUGCAGAGUUUGGCGAAGCUAGGCUUGUUGAAAGGUGCAAAUUCUUGCAAAUUGGAAUUCUGUGAACAUUGUGUUCUGGGCAAGCAGACAAGGAUAAAAUUUGGUUCAGCAAUUCACAAUACAAAAGAAAUUCUGGACUACGUUCAGAGUGACGUGUGGGGACCUACUAAAGUGGCUUCUUUGGGAGGUAUGCACUAUUUUGUUACUUUUGUUGAUGAUUAUUCAAGAAAAGUAUGGGUGUAUCUAAUGAAAAGGAAAAAUAAAGUUUUGGAUGUAUUUCUUAAAUGAAAGAAGAUGGUGGAGACCCAGGCUGGUCGAAAAGUCAAACGACUUCGAUCAGACAAUGGUACUGAGUACAAGAAUGAUCCAUUUCUACAAGUAUGUCACGAUGAAGGUAUUGUACGACACUUCACUGUUCGAGAUACACCACAACAGAAUAGGGUGGCAGAACGUAUGAAUCGGACUAUACUGGAGAAAGUUCGAUGUAUGUUGUCCAAUGCUGGAUUGGGCAAAGAAUUUUGGGCUGAGGCAGUUACAUAUGCGUGCCAUCUAAUUAAUCGGUUGCCAUCAACUGCAAUAAAUGAAAAAACUCCUAUGGAGAGGUGGGCUGGUAAACCUGCUACUGAUUAUGAUUCUUUACAUAUUUUUGGUUCCACUGCAUAUUAUCAUGUAAAAGAAUCUAAGUUAGACCCAAGAGCAAAGAAAGCAUUAUUCAUGGGUAUAACUGGUGGAGUAAAAGGAUACCGUUUCUGGUGUCCUGAUACAAGGAAAAUAAUUUUCAGUAGAGAUGUGACUUUUGAUGAAUCAACCAUGAUGAAGAACAAUGAUUCACAAAAGGAUAACACAACCAGUGGCACUUUGCAGCAGGUGGAGCUUGAAAAGGUUAAUGAUGAUCCAGCUAAUAUUGAAGGAACAAAUGAUGAAGAAGUUUCGACCCAAGAACUUCUACAGCAACAUGAUUCAAUUGCAUAUAGAAGGCCAAGAAGAGAGAUUCGUAUGCCUGCUCGCUUUGAUGAUAUGGUGGCCUAUGCACUUCCAAUUGCAGAUGAUGAUGUUCCUUCUACUUACACAGAAGCAAGAAGUAACUCUGAUAGUGUAAAGUGGAAGCAAGCUAUGAAUGAAGAAAUGCAGUCUCUUCAUAAAAAUAGGACUUGGGAGUUGGUGACACUACCUAAAGGAAAGAAGGCAAUUGGAUGCAAAUGGGUAUAUGCAAAGAAGGAAGGAUUUCCUGAUAAAAAUGAAGUUCGAUACAAGGCUAGAUUGGUAGCAAAGGGUUACGCUCAGAAAGAAGGAAUAGACUACAAUGAAGUAUUUUCUCCAGUUGUGAAGCAUUCGUCUAUUCGGAUUUUGCUAGCCUUGGUUGCGCAAUAUGAUCUUAAACUAGUUCAGCUCGAUGUGAAGACCGCAUUUUUACAGGGUGAUUUGGAAGAGGAAAUCUAUAUGACUCAGCCAGAUGGAUUCAAGGUUGCUGAUAAAGAAAAUUGGGUUUGCAAACUGACAAAGUCGCUUUAUGGAUUGAAACAAUCUCCAAGGCAGUGGUACAAGCGAUUUGAUCAGUUCAUGAAAGGGCAAAGGUAUACAAGAAGUAAAUUUGAUCAUUGCGUGUAUUUUCAGAAGCUACAAGAAGGAUUUUUCGUAUACUUGCUAUUAUAUGUUGAUGAUAUGUUGAUAGCAUCUAAGAGUAAAGUUGAAAUUGAGAGAUUGAAGACUCAACUCAACCUUGAGUUUGAGAUGAAAGAUCUAGGUGAAGCUAAGAAGAUCCUUGGCAUGGAAAUAUGUAGGGAUAGAGCUCAUGGCAGAGUUAGUUUAUCUCAGAAGCAAUAUUUAAAGAAGAUACUACAGAAGUUUGGCAUGAACGAGUAGACUAAAGCUGUAAGUACCCCGUUGGCUUCUCAUUUCAAGCUUUCUGCACAACUAUCUCCUUCGACAAAUACGGAACAAGAAUACAUGUUACAAGUUCCGUAUUCUAAUGCAGUAGGUAGCUUGAUGUAUGCAAUGGUGUGUACAAGACCCGACAUUUCACAGGCAGUUAGUAUAGUGAGCAGGUAUAUGCAUAAUCCUGGAAAAGGACAUUGGCAAGCUGUGAAAUGGAUUCUACGGUAUAUUCAUAAGACCAUGGAUAUUGGAUUCCUGUUCAAGCAGGAUACUACACUUGGUAAAGGUGUUGUUGGGUACGUUGAUUCUGAUUAUGCCGGUGAUUUGGACAAACGAAGAUCAACCACUGGUUAUGUGUUUACUCUUGCUGGAGGACCAAUAAGUUGGAAGUCUACACUGCAGUCUACAGUUGCGUUGUCAACCACAGAAGCUGAAUACAUGGCUGUAACAGAGGCUGUAAAGGAAGCUAUUUGGUUACAAGGUAUGGUUAAAACCUUGGGAUUGAUCCAAGAGCAUAUUAAUGUGUAUUGUGAUAGUCAAAGUGCUAUUCAUUUAGCAAAGAAUCAAGUCUAUCAUGCACGUACAAAGCAUAUCGACGUACGUUUCCGCUUUGUGCGGGAAAUUAUUGAUGAGGGGAAAAUUCACCUUCAGAAGAUUAAGACUGCAGAUAAUCCCGCAGAUAUGAUGACCAAGGUGGUAACAACAAUCAAGUUCGAACAUUGUUUGAACUUGAUCAAUAUUCUGCAUGUUUAACAGUUGAAGAAGGCACUAUCAAGUGUUGUUGACAAAGGCAGAGAGAAUUGUGUGAAGAUAAGAUUACUCGAAUUAAAUCUUCAAGGUGGAGAUUAUUGAGAAUUAUCCAUAUUUAUGGAAAAUCAAAGAUAUGGGUAUCAAAUAAUAGAAAGUCAAAGAUAUGGGUAUCAAAUAUUGAAAAGUCAAAGAUAUGGGUAUCAAAUAUUGGAAAGUCAAAGAUAUGGGUAUCGAGAUAUUGGCAUAAUAAAAUCUGAGAUAUUUGCAAUAUAUGGUCCCUAAUUGUAAAGUGACUUUGCAAGUUGAUCCCUGAACCUCAACUAUAAAUAGGCAUAACCAUUUCUCAUUCUGUAUCUCAAACUUGCCAUUCUCUACUUAAGGCAUUGUUUUCUCUCUCUCUCUUUGUAAAUUCUCACUUGUAUUUUGGAGUGAAAUAUAUUUGGUAGUGCCCGAGGACGUAGGCAAAAUUUGCUGAACCUCGUUAAAUUCUUGUGUUCUUUAUUGUAUUAUUCUGCAUGAAUUGUGUGUGUGAUUGUAGUGAUUUAUUGUGCUAUUAAAUUACGAUUGAGGGAUAUUCUGACUAGGAAAGACCUGGUACUUAAGCGAUCCUUGUGAUCCACCUCUCUUUCCUGGGAAUUGAACUUAGUGUGAUUUUUUAGUACAAUAAUUUUACUCUUUUACACGCUUCCGCACAACAGUGAGGAUGGAAUUUGAGGCUCACAUCUUUCCCGAAGAUUCCGAAAAUCUUUUGGCCAAUAUUUACUGCGUCGUGUAGGAGGCCUGCUGCUGUAUCUAUCGCACCAUGUAUGAUAUCAAAAGGAAGACUCUUAACCUUGACCUUAGACGGUUUAGGCAUGUUGGGAUUUACUGGUGUCGUCAUAUGCUCAACACCAAAUUGUUCUUUCUCUUUUUCAAUGAGACCACCACUGUGGCACGAAUCUGAUAGGAUUGUGAAGCUUGCUCCUUCUGGUAGCCGGUUAACUAAACGGCUGAAGUCCAUAUCUGCAGAAACCAUGUAUAUAUAGGGUAUGAAUAUAUAUUGCUAAAAUAAAUAUUUAAAUUCAAACAAAAACCUACCCGUGACAAGAUUUAAAUCACAAGCCACGAUUGCUUCAUCUUGUUUGAAAGGCUGGCCAGGUUGAAAGAUUGGAAUGCGUGUUCCAUGUCCACUGAAGUAGAAAAAUAGGACAUCUCCUGCUUUAGCAUUGCACGCCAUUCUAUUAAGUGCAUCCCUAAUGUUUGCGCCGGUAGGCAGAACCGACGACCCUGGCGCACCGGUGAGGACAUUAAUAUCACUUUCCUUGAACCCAAAGUUCAGGAUCCCAUCUCCUAUGGUUUUCACAUCAUUGAUGCGUCCAUGCAAGCCGAAUUGGGUCUCGGGGUAGUUGCAUCCCACCAGAACUGCUCUCUCGUACCCUUACCCAUCUUGCUUUGCUAAUUUGACUAUUUUGUGUUGCUUGUACCCUUGUAUUAAUGUGCUUCCACCGUCUCACUAAGACCCUAUAUAUAUACACACUAAUUUACGGCCUGUGUACUGUCGAUUAAGAUGAUCAUAAAGUGGAUAGGGUUUUACUUGUUUUUUCUUUUUAACAAACUAAUAUUAUUUUUGGCUAACAUCCAAUUUAUUUAAAUACGUUAAGUAUACCUAACAUAAAUUUUUUAAAAAUGAUAAAGGCAGAUUAUGUUUUCAUAGAUGUAAUUUAGUCAUACAAAUAUUAAUAAUUAAUAAUAAUUAAUAAACACGUUCAUUUCAAUUAAUUGUAUACUCUACUAAAUGGUAAGAUGUGGCUUAUUAAAUUAAAAAAUUAAGUCUGACUUCCUCUCAACACUAUUCACACACCCUUGUUAUUUAUAUUUUUGCUCUAUAAAAAAUAAGGAUUUUGUGAUAUUUUUUCCUCUUAAAUGAUUUUAUUUAUAUUUUUAAUUAUAUUAAUUAUAUUUUAUAUUAGUUAUUAUUGAUUUAGAGAAUAAUUGGAGAAAAAAAAGAGCUUAAAGUUUAUUUUUGACACGUUUUGCGGGUUGGACUUUCAAUAUUUACAAUACAGUUUAAGUAUUUUGGUAAUAACUUAAGCUACAGGUUUUAGUUUUGGGCUCAUAAUAUACAGAUUUGAAGAAAAUUGACAUAACUAACUAAAUUUGUUUCGCGGAUGAAGCCCAAAAACAUCAAGAAGACAUCAAAAAAUGUCCUGGAAGUUUGUCCGAAAAAUUGCCAAAAUAUCUUGAAAACUUUUGCUUUAUAUAAUUAAUGGUACUUUUGUACUUUCUCUAUUAUAUUAUUUUUCUCUAUAAAUGGACAUUAUUAGGUUAAGACGAGGGGAGACCUAGACCUAGGCGUUCUUAGUUUUAUUUUGUUUUUUUAGUUUGUGGCUUUUUAAACUCUCCAUCUAGUCGAAGGUUUUAUCAGAUUUUGAUUUAAUAAAUUUGUGAGACUUAAUUUUUGCUUUAAUUUUUCUUUGUUCUUUGGUAUUCAUGCAUUUUUUGUUUUAAUUACAACUUUUCAAGUUUAUUGAAUGUUCAGUCGGUAUUUGAUAGCUUAGAAUGAUUGUUUUGUCAAUUAGAAUUCUUAAAUCCAUAAUUGUAUAAUUCAUUCUAAUACUAGUGACAAACUACAUAAUUCGUUUAUGUCGCAGUUUAUAUUUAUGUGGUGUGAAUGUGUGAUAUAGCUAAAAUGAAUCUCGCUAGGAUGAGUUUGUUAGUUAGAAUUUGGACUCUCUCGUUCUUAAUACUGCCGAUAAGUUAAAUCUAGGGCGUUGAGUUACAGGGUUAUUUAUCGAUUAGGAAAUAAUUUCAAACGAGUUUUCUCUUGGCUAUCGAACAAUGAGAGAUGGGUUGCCUUACACUGAGUCAACAACUAGAACUAAUUUAUUAAAGGUAUUGAAGUUAUUUUUGCAUUGAUGAUCGAAUCUUUGAAUCAAACAAAGAUUUUACUUCUAGCUAGAGUUUCUUCUCAUUAAUUUUCUUUUAUAAUUUAUUUUUACUUUGUUUUAAUUUUAAUUUUUAAUUUUAAAAUCUUUUUAUAUUUUUCAUGUAAGUUUUUGUUUUUAUAAAUCUCUACAUCCUUGCAUUACUUCAAUACAACACCAAAAGAACCAAAUGGCAAACACUAUAACUAAAAAUCUUGCAAAAGAGGCCGUUUUAUUUUAUCAUAAAAUUAUACAUGAAAUAGCCAUACAUGGCGAUUACAUAAGCUUGAAGGCCUUAAAACACAGACAUACGAUAGUAAUUAAUAAGCAAACACACACACAGACGCAGUAAUGAAGGCUAACUUCAACUUCGUAGUAGUGCACACCGAUGGAGCACAUUAUUAUUUAGUUUACAGUUUCGACCUCUAGUGAUCGAAAACCCUGGUUCAAAGCCGGCAGCUUAUGCACCCGUAGUGGUGUUGGGUUGGUGGCCAAGAAAAGCUGCAUCAGCAUUCUCAUCACUGCAAUAAAGGCAAGGGUGCUGCUGCCCAAUUCCUAGCUUUAUUAUUUCAUUCCUAGCCUUCACCACAAGCUGUCUAUUGGUUAAUGCACCUAAUUCGCUCUCCUUGAUGACCUUCAGAACUGAAUAGGUAAAGGCCCCAAACGCCUUUCCUCCGGUUUUCUCACUCGCUGGCAUAUCAAUUGAAAGCUCAUUGGCUUGGCACCCACUUAACAGAAUUCCCUCAUCCUCCGUCAGUGACCUCAAAUUCAAAAUAUCACGCUCAUAAUGGGGUAGGAAUUUGAGACUCACAUUGUUCCCAAAGAUUGUGGUCAAAAGAGAGCCAAUACCCGUCAUAUUAUCUGUUCCAGUGUUGAUGGCAUUCCCAAGUGCUCUUGUGGGAAAUAAGUCUUGUGUCGCGAUUAUGACGUUGGCCGCUGUUUGUAGGCACUGGAAUAAGGUUGCUAAGGAAAUGCCCCUAGUCUUGUAAUCAACAGGUGGUGCUAUACCCCUUAGAGUACUAUGGGGUCCAAUUUGUUCUUUACUUUUAUCAAUCAGACCACCACUGUGGCAGGAAUCCGAAACGAUUGUGAAGCUUGAUCCACUUGGUAGUAGCUGAAUCAAUUGCCCCAAGUCCACGUCUGCACACCCAUCGCAACCACAAUAUGAUAUAAAUAACAGUUUGCUUAGAUUGAGAGUAUUUUAAUAAUUUAGUUUACCGAGUUGAUUACGUACCAAAAAUGGGAUUGAGAUCACAAGGCACAAUUGCUUCACCCUCGUUGGGAGGCUGGUGGGGGUCAAUGCGGUGCACAAGUCCAUGUCCACUAAAGUGGAAAAGCAGGACAUCUCCUUCUUUAGCCGCGACCACCAUCUUCUUGAGUGCAGCCAUAAUGUUUGCACGUGUAGGCUUACACGUGGACUCUGGUUCAUCAGUUAGGAGCUCAACAUUUUCGGAAUCAAAGCCAAACCUGCUCACGAUCAUUUCUCUCAUGGCUUUCGCAUCGUUUACGCAUCCGCUCAACUUGUUGAUGGUGUUGGGGUAGUUGCAUCCGACCAGAACGGCUCUCUUCUUACAUUCGGUGGCCAUCUUGCUUCUGUUUUGGGUCGCUUGUCUUGUCUUGUGCUUCGGACGUUGCACUAAACACCUAUAUAUGCACACAUACACACUGUAGUUUACACUAUGCUCACUGACCAUACUCUAAUAAAUAAUACAUCAUGUUGGUAGGUACAACUGUUUUAUUUUAUUUUUUGUUUAGAAAAAAAAGGGCUUUUUUUUAUAAAAACAACCCAAAAAUAAUUAAUUACUUAAAUGACUUAUUUUUUUUGAUAAAAUACGAAAAUAACCUGAAAUCUAUGGAAAAAGUUGGUAGAGCCAAAGUGUGCCACCAACAUGCCAUGUCAGCAAUUUAUAUUAAAAAAUUAAUUUUUGAGUAGAGCUGCCACUUGUAUAAAUACUACGGAAAUAUUAUGAUUUUUUUUCUUUUUAAGUUUUUUUGAUUUGUCCCUUAUAUAUUUUAUUUAUUUGUUUAUUAUUGGUUUUAUAAAAUCUCAAAUGUAUAUUUUAAAUGUUUUAUAAUAUUAUUUUUUAAAAAUUUUAAAUAUAUUUUUCUAAAUUUAAAUAUUAUUUUUUAAUUUUUAAAUAUUAUUUUUUAAUAUUAUAAAAUAUUUAAAAUAUAUUAUUUUUAAAAAUAUGACCUUUCAAAUUUAUUAUUUGUUUUAUAAUAUUUUAAAUAUAUAUUUAAAAAUUUUUAAAUAUAUUUUUUAAAAUUUUAAAUAUAUAUUUUUUAAAUUAUUUUUAAAGAUAUUCAAACAUUUUUUUUAAUUCUAUUUAAAAUCUAAAAAAUAAUAUGUGUUUUUAGAAUGGCUUCACCACUUUAUUACAAGUGUCAUUUUUAAAAAAAUAUGUUUUUUAAAUAUAAAUAUUUAAUAUUUAAUAUUUUAUUUUGGUGGAGCCAUUCUUUAUGGCUCCACCUCUUGGUUCUCUAGCAUAUAUAGAAUGGUGAAAUUGUUGUGUUUAGUAGGAGAGUUCAAAAAUUCUGUUAAAGAUGAAUAAUGAGGUGUUUUGGUUUACGUUCUCUUUUAUGGCGAAAUUGUAGAAGGUGAUGUUGGUUGUGUAUUUCAAUGUCGGCAAAGAGUAGGGUUGCGAUUCAAAAAACUGUAAAGCUGGCAGAAAUGAAAAGGAAGAUUAGUACAAAAAUAGCUAUUUGUUGUGGAAGGGCAAUGUCCAGAUUAUUUUACAAGUUUCCAAUCUCUACAGAUCCGUUCAAAUCUGUUCCACUGCAACGUCAGUGAAAUAACAUCCGUUGGCUUCAGUCUUAACGCAAGGGUGAUAAGACUGGUGUCUUCAAUCCACUCCACUGUAACUUCAGGGAGAUAGGAUUUGUGGUUUCACCGAUCUGUUUUCUAGGGAACAUGACCUGUAGAAUCCUUUUUAUGGGCCUAUUUAUGCCUAGUGAUUAGGAUGUUAUGAUCGGAAUGAAUUAAAAUCUCCUAAUCAAAUAUGCAUGCAUGAAUACAAAAUGUCAUGAAAAUAAUCCCCUAAUGUUUGAGUUGUUAUUGUUCAUUGUUCAUUAAGGAUUUAUUACCAACACAUCAGAACGCCAUCUUGUUCGGCUAGUAAAACUCAUAUCUUACUUAACCAGAUUGCGUCCACUAUAAUCUUCAAGGUUCAAUCCAUUGUAAUCUUCAAGGUUCAAUCCACUGUGCUUUUAGGACAUAAAAUUUAAACUAUCUUCCUCCCACUAUAAUUUAGGAAUAUAAGAUCUGGCUCUUUCUCAAUCCUCUCAUCCUGCAAUUCAAGGAUACAAGACCUGAAUCUCUUUGGUCUAUUACACUUUCCUAGAGUGUCAUACCAAAUGUUUAUGCACAAUUGUAGAACUUUCUUCUCCAAGAAAACAUAUUCUUAUCACUGGGUGAUCAUUGCUUGUUUGUUCAUUGAAGCUUUGUCACCAACACGGCAUCUUGUCAUUUUGUUCAAUCAACAUUUUGACAACAAAAUUUGAAGGGAUAGUCUUAAUUUAGACUUUUCCUUCUUAGAUAUUUCAACCUUUAAACUUGGUGCGUUCUAAACAAUAGUCCUGUUUUAGGUUCUUGUAUUAUUUAGAAACUUCUAGAGUAAUAUGCAAAACUUCCUUUGAGAAAGUAUUAUUAGUCCAUUAAUCAUCAUUCCAAUGCCACAUGCUUGCAAAAGAUCAUACCAAUGGAUAAAAAUAGAAUUGAUUUGGGAGCACGGUUCGAAAUGAAUAAAUUAUCAAAGAUAGUAAAAUAAAAGAGGAAUUAAGUAGGAACAUGUAUCUUGAAAAAUAAUGAAGUAUUCUAAGAACAACAAAUUCAAUAUAAAUAGUAUGAAGACUAGAUGCCCCAAAUAUCGUAGCUUGAGUUUCUCUGUACAAACUUUCUAAAGACCAUUCCGAGUUUGACAUGUGUUUAGGAGAUCUAUAGUACUUUGUCGCUGCCCCAAUAUGUCGCCUACCCUUUCUUGUUGAUUCAGGUAUAAGAAGAUCACCACAUGCCCCAAUUUGAUCAAAAUUUCAGCUGUUCUGAUCACCUCAUGUCCCAUUCUAAUAAAAGAUUUGAGCUGCCCUUUUUGAGUUUUCAACUCAAAUCCCCUUGGGUCUCAAUGCGCCCUUUGCAGGUUUUUACCUUGGCCUCUCCUUUUUCUUUUUUCUUUAUUAUUAUUAUUAUUUUUUAUGACUCAAAGCACCCUUUGUGGGUUUUCACCUUGAUCUCUCUUUUUUUUUAGAACUUAAGGCGCCCUUUGUGGGUUUUCACCUUAGUCCUUUUUAGGACUCAAAGCGCCCUUUGCGAGUUUUUGCCUUUGUCCCUUCUCUUUUUUUCAAGUGAAGUGUGUCUUGAUUGAGUCUAAGUUUACAAGAUUUGACAAGUUUUUACCAUCCAUCUUACUCAAAAUCAAAGCUCCUCCGGAAAAGGCUUUCUUUACAACAUAAGGUCUUUCCCAAUUUGGCAUCCAUUUCCCUCUAAAAUCUUUUUGUAGAGGGAGAAUCCUCUUCAACAUUAGGUCGCCCUCAUUGUAACACCCCUAACCCGUGACCGUCGCUGGAUUGGGUUUAUGAGGCAUUACCGAACCAAAAGCUUAAUUCUAAUUUUAAUUAAUAAAUGGUAAAUCCAAAACAAAAUGAAUCAUGCACUAUGUUAUAUAUAUAUAUAUAGCAUAGCAUAGCAAAAUCAAAUAUAAAAUUCAAGUAAACCAAAUUUGCAUGCUUAACAAUCAAGUGGAAUACAUAGACUAUCCAUUCAAAUAUAGUAAAGGUGUACAUUUAUCAGAUUUGAAUAAAAUUGAUAUUUCACUAUAUUUAUUCAAAUAUAUAAUCUUACCAUUUCCAAGAAACAUUAUAUAUAUUCAUUAAGAUAAUAUAACACUCACUCAAAUUUCAUAGUCAACCACACUUUUUUGGAAUUAAACAUGAACCAAAUAAUCUAUCUGUAUAUACAAUAUUUCCUAUUACCUAUUUAAUAAAUCUCAAAAUCUUAUUCAAAUAUUACAUAAAUUAAUCAAAUACAAUUACAACUUGAAUAACAAAUUAGGUUCUUAUACUAAUAAAUAUAAUAAAUAACAUGAAUUUAACCUUUAACCGAAUAUACAUGGCUUAUAAUAAAAUCAUAUGAUCAAACUAAUUUGUCCUAUUUAAAACCGAAUGCAAACCCAUGCAUAGCAAAUUUUCUUUACUAAAUAAUUAAAUUGAAGUGGCCAAAGUAAUACCAAUUCGUCUAGCGCAUAAUAUGCCUAAAUUAAAUCUAACAUCAAUCUAACCAAAUUGAUCAUCCAAUACCAAAGCAUAUAAAUCAUAUCAUUUACCUGUUUAAAUACAUAUAAUUGAACUAUCUAUAUAAAUGCAUGCGCAUAAAUGCUCAUGCUUAAACCAUUUCCAAAAUAUAUAUUUCAUUACAUUACCUUACAAAACUAAGCAUUUCAUUACCAGUUAUAUAUAUAUAUAUAUAUAUAUAUAUUAUAUGCUAUAAAAUAAAUAUCAAAUUAUAACUAUCGGCAAUUACAUUAAUUAAUCAAACAUAUACACCUAUAAUAUCAUUUAACAUCAAUUCCCAUGAAUUAAACAUACCAUUUGCAAUUUCAUAUCCAAACAAAUCACACAUAACAUUCACAUAUAUAAUACCAUCCAUAAAAUGCUUAAUCAUAAUCAAAAUAUGCCUAAACCAUAAUUCACCCAAACCGAUCACAACAAUCUAAUUAAGCCAUUUUCGCAUGGCUUUAAUUUAUACAUUUAGCAUAUGUAAGUCGAAUAUUUUACUACUAGAAUACAAGUAUAUUCAUCAUCAUCAUCAUAUAUAUAUCACAAUUAUGAUAAUAAGCCAAAAUCACUCAUAAUUUCAAACAUAUUUACACAUUAUAGACUUACUAAAUAAUCUUGAAUCAUCAAUUCAAUAUAAAACUUACCUUAAUUUCUUAACAUGGUAAUAAUACAUACCUGAACUUUUAAAUUUGUUUUCACAUUUGUUCUUAAAUUAACGAUGCCCGUUGAGCCGUUCUGCAUUGAAAAGGAUAUGCAAAUAGUCGGAAAGCUCGUACAAUGCCAACGUCCUAGAUGUGGUCUUACAUGUAUUUACAAAUUGAUGCCACUGUGCAAGACAGGGUCAUACACAUAAACACAAGUCGAUGCCAACAUCCCAGACGUGGCCUUACACGUAAUCACAAGUCGAUGUCAACGUCCCAGACGUGGUCUUACACAAAAUCACAUAUUGGAAAUCCUAUCUAUUCCUAAGGCUCGUACGGGGCUUCUGAUUAUUGAACCUAAUCAAAUCAAACUCAAAAAUACAUAUUUCUAGCUUAAUCAUAUUCGGCCAUCAUCAAAUAAAAUUCAUAAAAUUGAAUUUAUUAUGUGACCUAUGUAUAUAAUUAAAUUUAACAACAUUUAUAUGCUUACAGACUUACCUCGGAUGUCGUCGAAUAAUAAAUCGGCUACUCGACCACUUUUGUCUUUCCCCGAUCCAAAUCCGAUUUCUUUAAUUCUUGAUCUAAACAUAUUUAAAUUAAGCUUAUUUAAACACGAUUCUAUUCAAUUUAGCCUAAAAACACAUGAAUGGACAAAUUACAAUUUUACCCCUAACAUUUCCCACUUUUUACAAUUUAACCCUUUUUGCUCAAAACACAAAAUACACAAAAUUUGACUACACUCUUUAAGGGUCGAAUAUUCCUAGUGUCCACACAACUCCAUAUUUUUCAUUUAUUUAGCAUUUGACCCCUCAAUUUACGCUUUUCUUAAUUUAGUCCUUAAUACACAUUUUUAUCAAAAAAAUUACUAAUUAAAACAUGAAAAUCUAACUACAUAUAUUUAUUUUCCAUCAUCUAAAAACAAAAACAACAAGUUCUCUUCAAUGGCAUCUUACAAAAUACACAACAAAUACAAAAUUUCAAGCAUGGGCUUUAUAGUACUCGAAACAACGAUAUUAAAAACAUAAAAAUUAUCAAAAAUCGAAACAAAAUCUAACCUUAAUUAAGACUUGUAAUUGCCGAAUGUUCAAAGCUUUUUCUUUCUUUAUUUCUUUUGUAGUUUCGGUGAAAACAAAGAUGAACAAUAGCAUGGUUUUCUUAUUUUAUGUUUUAUUUUAUUAACAUAUAAUAAUAACAAACUAUUAUGUUACCAAAAUAACCUUUAAUAAAGAAUAUACAAAACAUAUAAUAUAAGGUCAUUCUUGACCAUUGCCAUCCACUAACUUAUAUAAUGUGCUAAUUGCAUCAUAGUAUAAAGACAACAACAAUUAGACACUUUCAUAUUUAACCACUAAAUUUUCAUUUUACGCGAUUAAAUCCUUUUUCUCAAAUUAAGCACUCAAACAAUAAAAUUAAUUCACGAAACUUUCACACAUGUAAAUUCACACAUAAUAAACACAGAAUAAAAAUAUUAAAAUAUUUUUUAGACUCGGAUGUCUGGUCCCGAAACCACUGUUCCGAUUAGGGUCAAAAUCGGGUUGUUACAACUCUCUCCCUUUAGGGAUUUUCGUCCUCGAAAAUCUUACCGGUGAAUAGCUGUGGGUAACAUUCUUUCAUUGCAUCCUCUGGCUCCCAGGUUGCUUCCUCAACUCUGUGCUUAUGUCACAGUACUUUGACUAACGGAAUUUUCUUAUUUCGUAAUUCUUUAACCUCACGAGCCAGAAUAUUAAUCGAUUCUUUUUCAUAUGACAUAUCAGACUUAAUUUCAAUCUCGGUAGGACUAAUCACAUGCAAAGAACCGGAUCUAUACCUAUGAAGCAUCGAAACAUGGAAUACAUUGUGAAUCUUUUCUAACUCAGGUGGCAGCAGCAAUCAAUAAGCAACUGGCCCGACACGCUUUAUAAUCUCAUACGGUCCAAUGAAUCUCGGACUCAAUUUGACUUUACGACCGAAUCUGAGUAUUUUCUUCCACGAUGAUACUUUUAAAAAAACUUUAUCUCCAAUCUGAAACUCUAUAUAUUUUCUUUUCAAGUCUGCAUAUGAUUUCUGACGAUCCGAUGAUGUUUUCAGAUUAUCGCGAGUCACUUUCACUUUCUAUUCAGUUUCUUUAAUCAAAUCGACCCUGUGUAUCUUAUUUUCACUGAGUUCAGUCCAAUACAAUGGUGUACGACAUUUACGACCGUAUAAAGCCUCGUAAGGUUGCAUUUUGAUACUAGAUUGAAAGCUAUUAUUAUAUGACAAUUCAAUCAAAGGUAAGUAUUGUUCCCACGUACCUUCAAACUCAAGAAUGCAACUUCUCAACAUAUCCUCAAGUAUCUGAAUGAUUCGUUCGACUGUUUCUGGAUGGAAAGCUGUGCUAAAAUGUAGUUUCGUACCUAAAGCAUCUUGUAGUUUCUUUCAAAACCGCGAUGUGAACCUCGGGUCUCUGUCCGAAACAAUAGAAAUAGGCACACCAUGCAACCUCACAAUUUGAGAAAUGUAUAAUUCAGCAAGUUUAUCAAGUGAAUAAUCAGUAUGGACUGGAACAAAGUGAGCUAAUUUUGUCAAUCUAUCAAUAAUAACCCAGAUUGCAUCUUUCUUGCUCGGUGUCAACGAUAAACCAGAUACAAAAUCCAUCGUGACUCGGUCUCAUUUCCAUUCAGGUAUCAUGAUCAGCUGAAGCAACCCAAAAGGUAACUGAUGCUCGGCUUUUACUUGUUGACAUAUUAAACAUUGUGAAACAAAGUCAGAAAUAUCUCGCUUCAUACCGCGCAACCAAUAGUGCUAUUUUAGAUCAUUAUACAUUUUCGUGCUACCCGGAUGAAUAGAUAAUCGACUAUUAUGAGCUUCAUUCAAGAUCAUAUGAAUUAAGUCUGAAUUUUUCAGAACACAUAGUCGGUUUCUGAAUCUCAAACAAUCCUCAGCAUCAACUAGAAACUCUGAAUCAACAUUCAAAUCACACUGAGCCCGUUUUGCAAUUAAAUCAUUAUCAUCUUUCUGAGCUUCACAAAUAUAUUGAACAAAUAGCGGUUUUACUUUCAACUCAGCUACCAUUGCACCAUCAUCAGACAUAGCUAUAUGCGCGUUCAUUGCACGCAAAGCAAAUAAUGAUUUUUGACUUAAGGCAUUCACAACAACAUUAGCCUUUCCCGAAUGAUAAUCAAUCACAAGCUUAAAAUCUUUUAGCAACUCUAACCACCGUCGCUGUCUCAAAUUUAGGUCCUUCUGAGUCAUCAAAUAUUUCAAGAUUUUGUGAUCAAAAUAAGCAUGACAUUUUUCACCGAAUAAAUAGUGGCGCCACAUUUUCAAACCAAACACAAUAACGGCCAAUUUGAGAUCAUGCGUCGGAUAGUUCUUUUCAUGUGGCUUCAACUGUCUCGAGGCAUAAGCUACAACUUUGCCUUCCUGCAUCAAAAUAUAGCCCAAACCGUUCAAAGAUGCAUCACUAAAAAUAACAAAUUCUUUACCUGUCUCUAGCUGAACUAGUACUGGAGCUUCGGUCAAAAGGACUUUCAACUGAUCAAAUCUUUUCUGACACUUUUCUGACCACUCGAACUUAACAUCUUUUUGUAGCAACUUCGUCAUCAGGGUCGCAAUCAUAGAAAAACCUUUCACGAACUGUCUAUAAUAACCAACGAGUCCCAAAAGACUUCAAACUUCAGAGACAUUUCUCGGAGGUUUCCAAUCAAGUAUAGCUAAAAUUUUACUUACAUCAACCCGAAUACCCGAUGCUAAUACAAAAUGGCCCAAAAAACUGACUUCGCAUAACUAGAACUUACAUUUACUAAACUUUGCAUACAAUUGUUUAUCUCGCAAAGUUUGUAACACAAGUCUUAGAUGUUCAGCAUGUUUGAUUUCAUCACGAGAGUAGAUCAAAAUGUCAUCUAUGAAUACUACCACAAACUGAUCCAGAUACUAUCUAAAGAUUCGAUUCAUCAAAUCCAUGAAAACAGCAGGUGCAUUAGUAAGCCUGAAAGGCAUAACCAGGAAUUCGUAAUGUCCGUACCUCGUUCAGAAAGCUGUCUUUGGCACAUUAGAGUCUUUAACUCACAACUGAUAGUAACCCAAUCUCAAAUCUAUCUUCGAAAACAUUGAAGCCCUUUUUAGCUGAUCGAACAAAUCGUUAAUACGUUGCAAUGGAUAUUUAUUAUUUAUAGUCACCUUAUUGAGCUGCCGGUAAUCAAUACACAUUCUCAUCGUUCCAUCUUUCUUUCUCACAAAUAGUACUGGUGCACCUCAAGGAGAGAAACUCGGUCGUGCGAAACCUUUAUCUGUCAACUCUUACAACUAUUCUUUCAUCUCUUUUAAUUCAGUCGGUGCCAUACGGUACGGAGCUGUCAAAAUUGAAGUCGUCCCUGGUACUAAAUCAAUACCAAACUCUACCUCUCGAAUAGGUGGCAAACCCGACAAUUCUUUGGGAAACACAUAUGAAUAGUCACACACAAUCGGCAAGGAUUCAAUCUUUUUUCAGUCACUUUACUAUCAAGAAUAUAUGCAAGGUAAGCUUUACAACCUUUUCUCACAUACUUUUGAGCCAACAUCGAGGAUAUUACUGCUGGUAAACCAUUUAGAUCUUUAGAUUCAAUCUAAAUAAUCUCGUCGUUCUGGCAUCUUAAAUCGAUAGUCUUUCUUUUACAGUUAACCACAGCAUCGUGUAAAGUCAACCAGUCCAUACCCAAAAUAGUAUCGAACUCGUCAAAUGGCAACAACAUCAAAACAGCCGUAAAACGUAAAUCUCGAAUCAUCAACGGACAAUUCUUACACACUUUAUCAACCAAAACACACCGGCCCAAGGGAUUUGAUACUCUAAUCACAAACUCAGUAGACUCAACAAGCAAAGUCUUACUAGAUACUAAAGUCUCACACACAUAUGAAUGAGUCAAACCAAGAUCAAUCAGUCCAAUAACAUUAGUAUCAUAGAGAGUGAAAGCACAGUAAUAACGUUUGGGAAUGAAGCCUCUUUACGAGCGCGUAUAGCAUAUGCUCUGGCAGGUGCGUUAGCCUCAGAUCUAACAGUUGUAUCUUUGGUCCCCCUCUGACUGCCACUCAUAUUACCUGUGUUUCUGGGUGGUCUACCUCUAGCUGCAGUGUUACCCGAUCUCGUAUUUUGUACCGAAUUUUGAUCCACUAACUCUGGGCAUUCACGAAUGAAAUGAUCCCUCGAUCUACAUUUAAAAUAGGCUCGAUCAUGUAAUCUCUAACUACCAGAAUGUCGUUUACCACAAUGUUCACACUCGGAUUGAUUUGACCUGACAUUACCCACACUCGCUACUGAAGUAGCUCUCGAGCUCACAGGUGGUCUAUCCAAAUCCCAUCGUGAAUACCCCACAACAGUCUUUGAACGGCUAGUAUCAUCUCGAAACUUCUUUGAGGUCGACUGAAAUGGCUUACAAAAUAACCUUUUACAAAAAUCUCUGGCUUCAAAGUCAGCUUUUCUCUUCUCUUUCCCGAGUUAUUCGGCUUUGUAAGCUCGUUUAACAAGUACCACAAACUAUUUUAUCUCAAGUAUGCCAACUAACAGUUUAACAUCUUCAUUCAGCCCAUCUUCAAAUCUUUUACACAUAAUAGCUUCAGUCGAAACACACUCUCGGGCAUACCUACUGAGUCUCACAAAUUUCCGCUCAUAUUCUGUCACUGUCAUCCGACCCUGUUUCAAUUCAAGAAAUUCCUUGCGUUUCUGAUCAAUGAAUCUCUGGCUGAUGUAUUUCUUACGGAACUCAGACUGAAAGAAUUCGCAGGUCACUUGCUCUUUCGGACCCACUGAUACUAGUGUAUUCCACCAGUGAUAUGCAGUGUCCCGUAGCAAAGAUAUGACACAUUUUAAGCACUUGUCAGGGAUGCAAGAUAACUCGUCAAACACUCGAAUAGUAUUAUUUAGCCAGAAUUUAGCUCGCUGAGCAUCAUCAUCAUCAGUGGCUCUGAACUCUUUGGCCCCGUGUUUUCGGAUUUUAUCAACAGGAGGCUUUAGUAAUCUCAACGAAUCACUCACUUGAGGUAUAACAGGAAUCAAAGAUGGAUUAAUCGAGGGUGGAGGGCAAUCAUAUAACUACAAAAAAUACAUAAAACAAAAAAAAUAAUGUCCUAAAAAAACAUAGGUGGUAUAGGUAAUAUAAAUAAAAAAAAGACUUAUUUUUAUUGAAUCAAUAUCUAUAAUAAUAUAUAGAGUUUUACAUAUAAUAUAAACUAGGCAUAUUCAAACUCAAAAUUUUAUCUACAUAUGAGAACUUUUAUAAAAAAAAAUAUAUUCACUCAUUAAAGACAAAUGUAAAUUUUUUGUACCCCACAAAUGGAACUAAGCACAAUAACAAUGCAAAAUUAAGCAGAAAGGUCGUCAUAUUAACAAAAUUAAUAUAUAAAUUUAUGAAUGUGUCAUAAAUUUAAAAUAUAUAUAGCUAACAGGAAAAGAUCAAUUUCAUGCAAAAAAACAGUUAAAAAGGGAUAAUAACAACCAAAUAGAGAUCAGUUUCAUGCAAUCAAAAUGAUUUCUUAUUUAAUUUAUAAUUAAUUUAAAUGUUUCAUUGAUACUCGAUGAAGUGUAAUCCGUAUUUGCUCCAGAAAGCAUUUUGAUAUCUGCAUAAUUUAAAAAAAUUACAUAAAAUAAAUAUAAUUAAUUACUAUAUUACAAUAACUAUAAAAUAUAAAAUUACAAAAUAAAAACUAUAAAUAACUUACUUUUUUUUUCUCUUUUCUUCCUUCCUUUUACAAAAUAUUUGAAGGGGCGACCAAACCCCACCUUCUUAAAUAGAAUGUUCUUCUUCUUAAAUAAUGUUCUUCUUCUCUUUUUUUCUUUUUUAACUAACAAUUAAGCUAAUGACUAGUCACAUCGCUAAUGUCACUUAGAGGUGUGCAAAAUUUGGGUAAAAUCGAAAAAAUUCGAUUAAUCUAUCGAAUUCGGUUAAUCGGUCGGUUAACCGAAUUUUUUCGGUCGAGGCUCGAUUAAUUAUUUUUUAAUUUUUCAGUUAACGGUUAAUUCGGUUCAAAACCGGUCGGUUAACCAAAUUUUUUCAGUUUAACCGAAAAAAUUAAUAAAUAAAAUUAUAAUAUAUAAAUAAGCCCACUAUUCACCUAAAUCCAAUCCAAACCCAAGUAUCCAACCUAACCCAAUUACCCAAUCAUAAAAAUUACAAAUAAAUUAAUAAAUAAAAAUAAAAAAAUAUAAUUUUCGGGUAAUUCGGGUAAUUCGGUUAAUUCGGUUAAUUUUUAACCAAAAAUAAAAAUAUAUAUAAUUUCGGUUAACCGACCGAAUUAACCGAAAAAUUUUGGUUUGAUUUAUAUUUUUGAAUAAAUUUCGAUUCGGUUAAUGUUAUUUUAGGUCAGUUAACCGACUGAACACCCCUAAUGCCACUGACACGAUGUGACCAGUUAAAAUAUAUAUUUUUUUAUUUUCUAAUAUAUAAAAAAUUUCUAAUAUAUAUUUUUAAUCCUUUUUUAACCAAUAAAUUAUUUUUUUAUUUUUUCCAAUCAAUUCAAUUUUCACUUUUUUAAAUAAAAUAUUUUUUAAAAAAAUUUAAAUAGAAUUUUAGAAAAACGUUUGAAUAUCUUUAAAAAUAAUUUUAAAAAUCAUAAUUUUAAAAAAUAAUUUUAAAAAAUAUAUAUUUAAAAUUAAAAAUUAUAUUUAAAAUUUUUAAAAUAUGCAUUUAAAAUAUUAUAAAAUAAAUAAUAAAUUUGAAAGAUCAUAUCUUUAAAAAUAAUAUAUUUUAAAUAUUUUAUAAUAUUAAAAAAUAAUAUUUAAAAUUAAAAAUAAUAUAUAGUUUUAAAAAAAUAAUAUUAUAAAACAUUUCAAAUAUACAUUUCAAAUUUUAUAAAACCAAUAAUAAAUAAAACAAAUAAAAUAAAUAAAUAAAGGACAAAUAAAAAACUUAAAAAGUAAAUAAAUAAAAAGUUUAAAAAGAAAAAUGAAAAAGGACAAAGAAUCAGAGAAAAAGAAGUAACGAAUGAAAAAAAAAUAUUUAGGUUGUUUCAAUAGGACAAGGAACCCGCUAGUAUCUUAGAAUUUGGUAGCAUAAAUUUAUUUGGAUCACCAGAAAAGGAUAAAAUUGCUUAAAUAUUUUACUUUUAAAAAUUAUAAUAUUUCUCUAAUAUUUAUACAAGUUGUGUUAUUUUACAUGGCUCCACUAAAAAAAAUGAUUUAUUAAUGUAGAUUGCUGACGUGCAAAACACUUUGGCUCCUCUAACUUGUACCGUAAAUUUUUUAUUAUUUUCAAUUUUUAUGAAAAAAGGGUUAUUUAAGUAAUUAAUUAAAUUUUUGAGUUAUUUUUAUAAAAAAAGAGCAUAGUAAUUAAUUAAGCUAGGUAUUCCUUUUUCACACAAAGAAGAAAAAUGAUAGAAAAUAUAGGGUUGUGGUCGUAGAUAAAUGAUUAUAACGUGAUAUGAUCUGCUUCGCAUUAGUCCAUCACCUUAUCUUUAUGUUUUUGUCUUGGUCAUGAAUCACUUUGGCCUUUGUCUGCAAGUACUGUCUGUCCUACUAUCCUGCAUCUGAUUUUCUCUGUCUUUUGGGUCUAUUUGAAUCAUGCUGAAGUAAGAAAACUGUUUUUAAAGUAUAAAAGUUGAUAAUUAUAUUAGUUUAUUUCUUUAUAAUUUUUUAAAUUUUUAGAGAUAAUAAAUUAAAAUUUUAUAUUUUUGAGGAUAAACUAGAAUUUUAUAAUGGCUUAAAUAAUAGGUUUUCAUUUUAGGAGGUCUAAAGAGUAUUUUUCUUUUUAAAGGAGCCACAACCCUUGCUUACUUUGGUCACCUUCUAUGGUGACCAGAUUCAUUCCAGUGAGAUUAAAAACAAUAGUGGUGGUGAGAUUAAUUACUAUAAUAAUGAGAUUAUUAAAAUGAGAUAGAUUAUAGAUUUAUAGUAAAAAGGAAAAAUGACCAUUAUAGACAUUAAACUAAAAUUAAACUAAAGAAGUUUACACCAUUCCGUAUAUUUUUGUACGAUUAAUAUUUUAAAGAUAAAAACACCAUAUUUCAUAUUUCAUUUAUAUAAAUCAUGCAUGUGAAAUUUCACGUAAAUUAAAAAAAUUUAACUAGUUGUUUUAUGUAAAAUACUUUUAAUCUUUGAAUGAAUGUUAAUACAUACAAUAUUUUAGAUGGAUAGAUAAAAAUAUCGAAUCAAUUGAGAAUUUACAAUAAUAUCAACAAAUUCAAUGAUUGGAUUGUUAAGUUAAGAAUCAUGUAAAAAUAUAUGAAAGCGUGUAAAAUUACUUUAAUUUCGCAGUAGUAUAAGCAAAUUCUUUUUUUAAUAUAUAAAAUUAAUUAUAUAAUUUAAAUUUAUGUAUUUAACAUUAUUUAUAAAUAUAUUAUUUGAAAGUAAUGAAAUAAAAUAAAUAUUAUAAAUAAAAUUAUUAAAAAAUAGUAUCUAUUAUUGAAUUAAAUUAACCAUUCUUUAAAAAAGAGUGAAAAUUAUUUUUUUAAAUGCAUAGGGUUUUAUUUUUAAAAAAAUUUAAGAUUUAGGUAUAAAAGAUAAACAUAAAGUGCAUAGGGCUUUAUUUUUUAUUUUUUAAAUAAUAUUGUUUUCGGCUCACAUGCAGUUUAUUUAGUUAGGUGAAGUAUACCUAACUCAAAUUUUAUAAAAAUGAUAAAAGGCAUGUGAUUUAGUAACACAAAUAUUUUAUUCUCAAUUUUAAUUCGGUUUUUUUAUUUAAAAUAGUAAAGGAUGUAGAUACCUUUAUAAAUUUGCACCUUUUAUUUUAUACUUUAGUCCUUUCUUAAUUUCAUUUAGUGAUUUAUUGUAUACAGUGACGGAGCAUAGUGAAGAUUAGGUAGCAUGACAUCCUUUAAAAUGGUAAAUUUUUUUUAUUUAAGCUCUUUAUAAUUUAUAAAAUUUUAAAUUAGUAAUGGUAAAAUUGUACUUUAACCCUCCAAAGAUGAUAAAAAUUUGAUUUAACCCUUUAAAAAUUACAAAUAUAUAGACUAUUAAAAAUUACAAAUUACAAUUUAAUCCCAACCUCCAAAAACAGUUAGGCUCCGCCAGUUAAUUAAUUAUAUUAAAUUCGAUAAAAAUUUUAAGUAGAAUUGAAAAAAUAUGUGUUUUAUUUAAUAAUAAUACUUUUGAAUGGGUUGAAUUGGCAAGAGUUAAGGUGUGGACACUACACCAAAACAGGUCUUUAGCGGCAUAUUUUGUGGCGCUUGGACGAAAAACGCCGCUAAAAACCGAUCAUUAGCGGCGCAAAGACCUAAACGCCAUAAAAGAACAUCAUUAGCGGCGUUUACCACAAUGCGCCGCGAAAUCUCUUAACCAAAACGCUGUGUUUUCGUCUUGAUGUAUCUUAAAAUUAGUGGCGUUUACGCGAAACGCCAUUAAAGGACAGUAAUAGCGGCGCUUUCUGGAAACGCCGCAAAAUAGCUUAACCAAAACGCAGAGUUUGGUCUUGAGGUAUCUUAGAAUUAGUGGCGUUUAUAGGAAAACGCCGUUAAAGUACAGUAAUAGCGACGCUUUAUGGAAGCGCCGCAAACUAUCUUAAGCGAAACACAUCGUUUUGGUCUUGAUUUAUACUAGAACUAGUGGCGCAUAUGGUCAAACGCCGCUAAAGAAUAGUAUUAGCGGCGAUUUGUAGCUAGCGCCACAAAAUAUCUUAACAAAAACGCAGCGUUUUGAUCUUAAUGUAUAUAAAAUUAGUGGCGCUUACGGUAAACCGCCGCUAAAGAAUAUUAAUAGCGGCGCUUUGUGAGAAGCGCCGCAAAAUAUCUUAACCAAAACGCAUAAUUUUGGCCUCGAUGUAUAGUAGAAUUAGUGGCGCUUAGUGAAACGCCGUUAAAGCAUAGUAUUAGCGGCGAUUUGUAGCUAGCGCCGCAAAAUAUCUUAACAAAAACGCAGUGUUUUGAUCUUAAUGUAUAUAAAAUUAGUGGCGCUUACGGUAAACCGCCGCUAAAGAAUAUUAAUAGCAGCAAAAUAUCUUAACCAAAACGCAUAAUUUUGGCCUCGAUGUAUAGUAGAAUUAGUGGCGCUUAGUGAAACGCCGUUAAAGCAUAGUAUUAGCGGCGCUUGGAUAAAAGCGCCACCAAGUAUCUGAACCAAAACGCAUCGUUUUGGUCUUGAUGUAUACUUGAUUUAGUGGCGAUUUCGGUAAAACGCCGCUAAAGCAUAGUAUUAGCGGCGAUUUGUUGAUAGCGCCGCGACUUACCAUAAACAAAACGCAACGUUUUGGUCUUAAUUUAUACUAAAAUUAGUGUCGCUUUGUUGAAAGUGCCGCAAAAUAUCUUAACAGAUUUUUGGGUUUUAACCAUGCAUUAUGUAAUGUAGGUUACUAUAUAUUUAGUUUAUCAUAUUUGGUUUAGGUAUAGGGUAUUAGGGUUCAUUAUAUAAUGUUUAGUAUUUUUGGAUUACAGUGUAAAGUUUAAAGUUUAGGGUUUACGAUGUAGGUUUAAGGUUAGGGUAUUAGGGUGUUUAGGGUUUAAGGUUUAGGAGUCUGGGGUAUAAGGUUUAAAGUUUGGGGUUUAGGCUACUUUAGUCAUGUUAAUAGGUUAAUAUUGUUUCGGAUUUUGGGGUCUGGUUGUUGGUUUUAGAGUUUAGGGUUUAACGAUUUAGUAGCUUAAGAUUUUAGGGUUUAAAAGUUUAGAGGUUUAGGGUUAAAUCCUAAAAGCGUGCAUGAACAACAGUUUAAUGUUCAAUUGUAUACAUGAACUUUAAUUUGAUCUAAAUAUUGUAAAAUAUUAACACAAUUAUUGAUAUAAUUAACAUCAUUUUAAUUUACGUAUAUUGCAUACAUAAAUAUUUAUAUUUAUUCAAUAUAAAAAUAUAUUUUGAUGUAAAAUUUUUUAUAGAUCAUGAAAUAAAUUUUUAAAAAUGCAUUAUUCUCCCAUUUUUUAUUAAUUGAUAAUUUCAUUUUAUAAAUUUUGUUUUAAUUUUGGAUCAAUUUGGCUUGAAUCUUGGAUGAAGGCAUUAGCGGCGCUUGAGCAAAAGACGCCGCUAAAGGUGAUGUAUUACCGGCGUUUUAUGAAGAAACGCCGCCCAUUUCCUUAAGUGUAACAAAGACACGGUGCCGUUUUUUGUUUUCAUUUAGUGGCGCAUUUGGAAAACGCCACAAAAAUUUAUAACGAGUUGAGGAAACGGCGUCGUUUCCUAUUUUUAUUAGUGGCGCUUUUGCUAAUGCGCCGCAAAAAUGUUACGGUAUAUAAGUGAAAACGGCACUGUUUUAUUCUGAACUUGGAAUUUUAGUGUCGUUUUUAUUUAAAACGCCGCAAGUGUGGACUCAAUAACGGCGUUUGUUCUCAACGCGCCGCAAAUCUGACUUAAAAAUUUCUUAAACGGCGUCGUUUCUUAAGGGGACAUUUAACUUAAUACCCUUCUCUCGUCCUCCAAAAACAGAAAGAGUGAAUUUGCAGACCUCAAGUGUCGAAAGGGAACAAAUUUCAGACUUCUUACAAAGGAAAAAAGAAGGUUGGGGUCGGUCUUGAAAGAAGUUUGGCACAGCUGCGAGAUUUUUCGAUUAAAUAGGUAAGGCGUUUCUGUUAUUUUUGGAUUAAAUUUUUAGGGUUUUAGGUCAGUCAUAGUUAUUUGGGGUUUUAGGGUUUCGAUUAAACAACUUCAACAAUGUACUAUUCCGAUUAAAUAUGUAAGGCGUUUCUGUUAAAUAGGUAAGGCGUUUCUGUUAUUACAGCCACUUAUGGAUUUGAGUUUCAUAUUCUGAUUUCUGGUAUUGAUUUGUGGUAUUGAAAAAAUUUAUAUUACAGCCACAAUAUUGAUUUGUGGUAUCAAUUUACUAUUCUGAUUUAGAUUAUAGCACAUGAGAGGGUGGCAAAAUUUAUAUUCCGAUUUAGAUUAUAGCACAUGAAUUGGAAGGGAUGGAUAAAAAUAAAUAAAUGAAUUGCUAUGGAUUCUCUUGAGGAUGUAAAAUCCGAAUUGGUUGGUCAAUUAGAAUUAGAUUAUGUUGUUAUGUGCAGAAAUAAUUGAGUGGAUUUGAAAUAAUUUGUUUUUGAUUAUGUUGUUAUGUUCUGAAAUAUGCUUUGGAUUUGAAAUAAUUUCUGAGUCUGAAAUAAUUUGUUUUUGAUUAUGUUGUUAUGUUCUGAAAUAUGCUUUGGAUUUGAAAUAAUUUUUGAGUCUGAAAUAAUUUGUUUUUGAUUAUGUUGUUAUGUUCUGAAUUAUGCUUUGGUUCUGAAAUCUGGAUCUGGUUUUUGUCUGCGUUGCUUUCUUAGCUUGCUGGGUUGGAGCUCGUUUCAUUGCUGCCAAAUUUGGAUAUUCUUUGGCGUGGAGGUAAAUUUUGUAAAGGCAAAUUUUAUGUUGCAAAUAAAAGGUUUUUAGUUAAUCAUCUUUAGUUAAUCAUCUUGCUGUUCGUGGUAGUUAUAUACCCGUUGCAUUUUGGUCAGCCUGUCAUGUAUUAUGCAAAUCCCGAAAUGGUUUUAAGCAAGUGGACUUUGUUUAUUUAGUUAUGCACAUAAUACUUUCAUAUUUUAUUUGUUGUAGAAGUUGGUAUCUCACAGUUUCUCAUCAAAUGUAUGCGAGUAGUAUCGAAUGCAAAUUGUUUUAACAGCCAUUUGAUCAAUUGUUCUGUUUUUUUCUAAUAUUCCUUUAUAACAUAUUGGAAGAUAUGUUAUGUUUUAACUUAAUAUAUUUGAAACAUAAUAUCUUAUGCCUCACAAAAUCCAAUUUUUGAUGAUUGUCUUAUUUUAAAUAAUGCUUCCAAUCAAUGGUAUGUGUAUUAUUUAAACAAAAUCCACGAAAUAAAAAUUACUUACUAAAACUUGUAAUUCAAAAUUUAAUUUCAAGUCCAAAUUAAUAUUUUACUUAAAUAUAUUACUUACAAUUUAAUUUAACUUAUUAAAUAUAUAUAUUGUUAAGUAAUAAUUUUUUGAAAUUUAUAUCUUAGAUUACUUAAAUAUAUAUUUUUAAGUAUAUUUUACAUGACUUACAUUACUUACUAAAACAUAUUUUUUACUAAAAUUUACUUGAAUAUAUUAAUUAAAUAAAUUACUAAUAAAGAUUGCUUAUGUAAGCUAUAUUUAAAUUUUAAAUUUAAUAAAUUAUUUAUAACAAUUAUUUAAAUUUAAUAAAUAAUUUAAAAAUUAUUUAAAUUUUAUUAAUAAUAAAUUUAUAACUUAAAUAAGUAUUACUAUUUUUUUAAUAUUAUACAUAUAUUCAUUUAGGUAUGUAAGCUAUAUUUAAAUUUUAUUAAUAAUAUUUAAACAUAUUUUGUUGUCAAAUUAGUGACACAUAUACCUCUCCACGAAUUAUUCAGUGGAAGAUUAGUUUAAAAGCAAAGAUUGCUUAUAUAAGCUAUAUUUAAAUUUUAUUAAUAAUAAAUUUAUAACUUAAAUAAGUAUUACUAUAUUUUUAAUAUUAUACAUAUAUUCAUUUACAUAACACAUAACUUACAUAACUUUCAUAAUACACAACUUACGCAUCUUACAUAAGACAUAACUUACAUGUGUAAAUAAUACAAAAAUUACAUAACUAACAUAAGACAUAACUUACAUAAGUUUCAUAAUACACAUCUUACGCAACUUACACAACUUACAUAACUUACAUAAGUUUCAUAAUACACAUCUUACGCAACUUACACAACUUACAUAACUUACAUAAUGUAUAUCUUGUUGUCAAAUCCUAAACCCGUGCAAUUUAUUGUCAACGUCAGACUUCAAGAAUUAAAAAAUGGACCGGUCUUGGAUGAAUUUGUCAAGGGUAAGCGACGGUUAUCGAAAUGGGGUGCAGAGUUUUCUAAAUUUUGCAUUUCAAUAUGCAAGCCAAGAGAACAUGAUUCUUUGCCCGUGCAAGAAGUGUGUCAACAUAAAUUGGCAUUAUCGUGAGGUUGUAUACGAGCAUCUAAUUGUUGAUGGGUUUGUUCGGGGUUAUAAACAAUGGUUAUUUCAUGGUGAAUGCCCGCGUAGUACUUCCUCUUCAAGUAUGGAUGUAACUUAUCCUGAUACUGCUUACCAUCAGUCUGGUAGAGGGGAUGACAUGGAAGGUAUGUUGCGGGAUGCAUUUAAUAUGCACAAUCAUGGUGUUGAAUCAUUCCCAGCGGACUUUAUGGCCUCUGAUGAUUGUAAUAUUGGUGGAAAUACUUUUACCGAACCGGGAAGUAGUGUACGUCAUGAAGAGCCGAAUGGAGAAGCGGCGAAGUUCUACGCGCUACUUAAUGACAUGAACGAAGAACUGUAUGAGGGAUCAAAAUUUUCAAAGAUGUCCUUCUGUGUUCGUCUUUUUCAAUUAAAGUGUUUGGGAGGGUGGACGGGAAACUCGUUGACGAUGCUGUUAGAGUUUUUGAGAGAAAUGUUCCCGCUUGCAAAAAUCCCUCGGUCCUGCAAAGAUAUGAAGAAGAUGAUAAAAGAUUUAGGCCUUGGGUAUAACAAAAUCCAUAGUUGCCCAAAUGACUGCAUGUUGUAUUGGGGCGAUCGGAGAAACCAACAGUGCUGUCAUGUAUGCGGCCACUCUCGUUGGACAAGUAGAAACACAGAAGAUGGGAACGACGAUGAAAAUGAUGCACAGUCACGGAAGAAGCCAGCCAAGAUUUUACGGUAUUUUCCGUUGAUACCAAGGCUUCAAAGGCUUUUUUUAUUGUCGAAGACAGCGGAGUCAAUGACAUGGCACCAUGAUGGACGAACCGUUGAUGGAUUACUAAGUCAUCCGGCAGAUUCUUUAGCUUGGAAAUCAUUUGACAAUAAAUUUACAAGCUUCGCAAGCGAUCCUAGGAGUGUGAGGCUUGGGCUAGCAUCUGAUGGAUUUAAUCCUUUCAAGAUCAUGAGUACAAACAAAUAUUGAGAUCUCGUUUGCGCUCCCGAAGAACACAACAUCGAGAUAUCAAUAAGUUGUUUACAGAAUCAUUUUAUGAAUGGUUAAGCCAAAUGGUAUGCAGUUCGAGCUUCCGCUUACAAAUAAUAAUAUUUUCUCAUAACAAAUGAAUUACUCAGUUUACUUUCCAUUCAAUAGGUUUGGAGCGGGAAGAACAUAAACGACGAUGUUAAAUGGCUCUCCCAAGGUCCAAAUCGAGUGGUUAAAAGAUAUAGUGCGUUCCUCAUCAACGGAUUCAGAUUUCAUACAAAAUAUCGCGAGAGGUUGAGGAGAACGCAAAAUUGUGGAAUUGUUGUCAAUUCUGCAAUUACGAGUUAUGCUAGUGCUAGGGACAAUAAUCCUGUCGAGGGAAAUGUGGAAUAUUUCGGACAACUUACUGACAUAAUUGAGUUGGAUUACUACGGCAAAUGGAAAGUUGUCUUAUUUCGUGGUGAUUGGGCCGAUGUUAAUACAGCUCGUGGAAUUAAGCAAGAUCAAUUUGGUUUUACAAUGGUGAACUUUGACCGAUUGAUUCACACAGGACAACAACUGAUAGAUGAGCCGUAUGUAUUCUCAUCUCAAGUCAAACAAGUUUUUUACUCAAAAGAUCCAACUGAUGAGGGUUGGUACGUUGUACUCCGUAACAUCCCUAGAGACUUGUUUGAUAUGGGCAGUGGAAGUAGAGAUAACAUCGAAGAUAGAUCAGUAACUUUACCCUUUCCAGAACUAAACUUAAACGAUAAUAUCCCUAGUACUAGUGCACAAUUUGGAUGGGUUCGUCAGGAUACCGAUGAAGAUAUUUACGAAUAAUGAUGUAGACACAUUUUACGAUUGUUUAAUUAUAUAUAAUAUCAUAAUUUAAAUCUUCGUCUUAUUAUAUGUUUCAACUGUUUUAUAUGUGCUGUUAUUGUUGUAAUUAGCUAUUAAGUUAUUAACUAUUUUAUGUGUAUUGUAGAUAAAAUGCCUAGAAGAAAAAUUCUAAGGGGAAGCAUUGUUCAAAAUAAUCCAAACUCGACAGAAACUAAUAGUACUGAACAACAGACAGCAGUUGGAUCUUCAAAUGUUCCGAUUACAGCUGAGGAUCCUACAGAAGUUCAAAGUAAUUUUUCAUUUAAUUUACAUGCGUGUUUCUGUUAUAGUUGAUUUAUUUUUCAAAUUCUUAUAUUAUAAUAUACCAUUUGUAGCUGAAAAUGGUGGGACGCGCAGAGGUCGAGGACGUACGCUACUUAGAGAGUUGUACGAGUUAGAUUCAGUCGAGCGUGUCAAAGUUGGACGAAACAGUUUUGGUCAGCCUGUUGGAUCAGAAGCUCGACUUUUAGCUGGAUACAUGGGCAUUUUAGCACGAAAUCCGAAUAUGUUACCUAUAAACUACGAGUCAUGGCAUCAAAUGCCCGAUAGCAACAAAAACCAAGCCCUCGAUAAUAUUAAGGUAACAAAAUGUUAAUGUCAUCUAUAAUGCUUGGGAAAUAGUUUCAUUUAUAUUUAUUUUAUUAACUUGUGUUUUUUGUUUUUUGCAGGCGAGGUUUGCUUUAGAGGUCUCGGAUGCUUAUGUAAAGAAGGCAUUGGGAAAAAGAUGGAGAGACAACAAAAGUACUUUGAAGAAAAAUUAUUAUAAGACAAAAACAACCCUCGAUGAGAAAUUGCAAAAUGUCCCGCUGGGUAUGUUGAGGUACCAAUGGGAAGAUGCGGUUAGAUUUUGGCAUUCGAAUAAAGGCGAGGUCUUCUAAACUAUUGUAAUUAUUUUGGUUUAUAGUAUUUUCUAUUUACGUACUAAAAAAUUUCAUAAUGUAGGAUCGUGAUCAAGUUGGAAUAAGCAGCAGGCAGAAACAAAAAUUCACCCACACAGCCGGGUCGAGAAGUUUCGCAUGUGUAGCUGAGGCGGAGGUAUUUUUAAAUUUUUUAAUAUUGUCGAAUAUGUAUAACUUUCUAUUAAAUAAUAUUUAUACUACUAUAUUGUAGGAACGGUCGUCCGGUCAAAAAGUUGGACGCCUUCAACUUUUUGAAAUUACACAUAGGAAGAAAGAUGGAUCUCCCAUGACUCCUGAAGCUGCUGAAAUAAUGGUACGUUUACUUAAUACGAUUUGACUUAUUUUAGUUAUUUAUAGUGUUUAUUUUCUAAUGGUUUAAUUCAUUGCAGUUAAUGCGACUAUUGUUAUGUUGCAUAUGUUUUUCAAUAUAUAAUAUUGUGUUCCUAACUAUGUGAUAUAUUUAUUAGGAAAAACUAAAUGAUAAAAAGGCGGAGUACGAAGCAAUUGCUUCUAGUGAUAGUUCGGUUCAUCUUGAAGAUAUUGAUAAUCGGAUUAUUACUGAAGUUUUGGGUCCUGAAAGGUAUGGUCGGGUUCGAUUUCAAGGAUCUUUUGUUAGCCCAACCCAAUAUUUUGGAUCCAGCUCCCACAAAUACAUGGCUUCGGGGAGUCAGGCUCAAGCUGAAGUUCAGAGGUUAAAAGACCAAAUGGCUCAGAUGCAAGCGACUACAAUUGAGGUUCAAAGGAAAUAUGAAGAACUCCAGCUACAACUUAAAGCAGAGGCGGAAGCGAGGGAAGCAGCGACUGCAGCGAGGGAAGCAGAGGCUGCAGCAAGAGAAGCAGAGCAGAGCAAAAAGUACGACGAACUUCAGCAGCAGCUUCAGAUUAUGAUGAAGAUGUUUAAGUCGCAACUUCCACCUUCAUAGUGUAUGACAUAAAUAUUUUUAUCAUUUUAACAUUUAACAUUUAACAUUUUUUGCAAAAACAAUAUGAAUUCACUUUUAUUUAUUGAUAUUAAUAUUAUUUUAUUCCCUUAUGUUGAAAUAUUAUAUAAAUUUAUUGCUAUUGGUUGCUUUUGAAAUGUUGCUUUUGAAUUUUUGCUACAGGAGGGCAGAAAAAAUGAAAAAUUUAAUAAAAAAAAAUCCCCAAAAUAGUGGCGUUUUUGUAUAAAAGCGCCACUAAAGAACAUGUUCUUUUGCGGCGUUUUUAAAAAAUGCCACUAAAGAACAUGUUCUUUAGCGGCGAUUAGAAAAAAAACGCCGCUAAAGAACAUGAUCUUUAGCGGCGUUUUCCCUUAAGCGCCGCUAAAGAACAUGUUCUUUAGCGACGUUUUUUCCUAAGCGCCGCUAAAGAACAUGGUCUUUAGCGGCGUUUUUUCCUAAGCGCCGCUAAAGAACAUGGUCUUUAGCGGCGUUUUUUCUAAGCGCCGCUAAAGAACAUGAUCUUUAGCGGCAUUUUUUUCUAAGCGCCGCUAAAGAACAUGGUAUUUAACGGCGUUUUUGUUUGUAAACGCUGCAAACAUUUGCGACGUUUUCGUUAGCGGCAUUUUUUUCCGGCGCUUGAAGAAGCGCCGCAAAUAUCUUUAGUGGCGUUAAAAAGCACCGCUAAAGGCCUAAAAAAACGCCGCUAAAAACCUGUUUUGGUGUAGUGUCCUAAAAUAAUAAAUUUAGUAGAUUAUAUGCAGAACUCGGUUAUAUCAGACUCAGUGCCAUGAACUUCACUAGCAAGCUUGCUAUCACAGCUGCAGCAUAAGCUAUUAACUGCUUAAUCACCAUUUUUCUUACAACACUCAAAGAUGAAGAAGAAGAUUCUAUAUUCAAUUUCUUAAUGUUAACCUUGCAUUUGCAUUUCCUCGAUAGGGUUUUUAUACCAAAUUUCAAGGAGAAUAAAACAAAAUAAUAAUAACUUUUUAGUUAAUUUGAUGGCAUAAUUGGAUAAGGUUUUUUUUGGGGGGGGCGAUUUUGCAACGAUAUAUACAGGUAGGUAGGCACAUUUUGUUUUGUUGAAUAACUAGUUAUAUGGUAUAAAAUAUUUGGCUCGUGGUCGAUUUUUAAUUUAUUUAAAACUCAACAUGCAUGAUUUAUAAGAAUGGAAUAUUAAAUAUGAUGAUAGGAUUAUUAAAAUAUUAAUUAUAUAAAGAAUUACAGAAGUACAUAAAAACCACUUUAAUUUUGUAAGUAUUUUGGCAAGGCAACAAUGGAAAGGGCUCUUGCGAUGAAAGAAGUGAUUAAGGGCUACGAAAGCAUGUCUGGACAGAUGGUGAAUUUUAACGAAUCCCUGAUUUAUUUUAGCAUAAAUACAAGUGAGGAAGACAAUGUGCAAAUUGGGAGUUAGAAUGUCUAAUAAUCCAGAGAAGUAUCUUGGGUUACUAACGAUGGUCAGAAGAACAAAGAAGAACGCAUUCGUCAAUUUAAAGGAAAGGUUCAUUAAUAUAAUAAAAGCAUGGAGUGUACGCAAUCUAUCAAUAGGGGGAAGGAGGUAUUUAUCAAAUCCACUUUACAAGUCAUUCCAAUUUAUGCAAUGCAGUGUUUUUUUAUGCCAAUUUCUUUAUGUUGAGAAUUAAGAGAUUAUGAUGUGCAAAUUCUAGAUACGCAAUUCGAAAACAAAUAAAGGAAUUCAUUGGUGCAAUUGGCGUUCUAUAUAUAUGUACCCCAAAGGCACAAGGGGGAAUUGGUUUUAGAGAUCUUUCAAUUUUUAAUAAAACCCUUUUAGCGAAGUAGGGUUGGAAACUAAUUACCAAUUCUACCAGUUUACUUGCACGAGUAAUGAAAGGUAAGUAUUAUCCAAGGAGUGAGUUUAUGAAUGCAGGUUUAGGAUAUCACCCUUCUUUUACCUAGCGAAGCAUUUGGGGUGCUCGUAGCAUUUUGGAAGAUGGUACUGGCUGGAGAAUUGGGAAUGGCAUGACAAUGAAUAUAUAGAAGAUGCUUGGAUUCCAGGACCUGGAGACAGAAAGGUAAAAAUUAAGAAUAUUGACAUUAGAUGCUCGAAGGUUGCAGACGUCAUUAAUAGUGAAACUAAUACCUGGAAAAUGGAUCCAGUAGAAAGAUUGUUCAUGAAGAAGCAAGCCGAGUUGAUUUUAACCAUCCCACUGGUGAACAACUCUUAUCAAAUGCUUUAAUCUUAAAGGGUGAUAAUACGGGAGAAUACUCGGUCAAAAGCAAGUACAAGUGGUGCAUUUCUGGUGGCCAAGACGGGACAGAGGACGAUAAUAAUUUACAAGACAUUGCUACAAAAAAAACUAUUACACAAAGCUCUGGAACCUCAAAAUUCCAAACAAAAUCAUAAUACGCCUAUGGAAGGUUUCUAAAUAAUUUUCUUCCUUUGCUAAGUAAUCUAAAGUAUCGAAGACUAAGGGAGGAGGCCCUCUACUCGAUCUGUAAGAAGGAAGACGAAAUGGUGGACCAUCUCUUUCGAGACUAUGCUUUUAUGAAACAAGUGCUUCAGGAGAUAGGAAUGGUACCCUUGCACACAAACACAAAUCAAGGAUGGAAAAUUUGGUUUGUGUAUGUUUUCGGAAACUGUAACAUUUUGCAAAACAUAAACAUAACCAUUGCAUAUUAGGCCAUUUGGCAUAAUAGAAACAAGUUAUAUCAUGAAGGUAAAAGAGAAAGAGUAUGUGAAGUUGUCAGUUUCAUUAAGGCAUACAUUGUCGAGUUAAAACAGUUAAGAGGAAAUCUCACUGAUCCGAAAUAAUAUUGAAGAAAUACAGUGGAAACCUCCAAAGGGAGAUCAAAUGAAAGUUAAUUUUGAUGCCUCUUUCCAACAGCAGUGUUGGUGCAAGAGGCAGCAGCAAGCUUGUUUCUACUUUGCUUGGACAGCAAGUGUCGAGCCUUGCUGAAGAAACUAUCGAAGAAGAAAGGAAGAAAAAAAAGAAAUUUGCAAUGGAAAACAGAAAAGAAAGAGAUAAAUUUGAAUGAAAAUGAGUUGAAUUUUCAUUAACCACUUCACAAGGCAUAAUGCCAAUACAUAUAUGAGAUAACAACAGCAAAACAAACAAGUUACCACCUAAUAACAUACCUAACACCACUAAAUUGCCUAGUAACUUGGUAAACUUGUUUGAACAUAUAAGCAACUACCUAAACUUGUCAUUCAGGACCUAAUUACAUCAAAAUGCAGCUACCAACUAAGUUCAAAACAAACUAAAAUACAAAAUGUUCAUUUGAGUAACCAAAUGAAACAAUGCAGUUUCGGUUUGAUGUUGAAGCACGUUCCCUGCAUGCCCACCUUGCAUGGCCACCUUGGCUGCUGCAUGGGGGCUGACUUCAACACUCCUCCUCAGCUUCUAUGCAGUAGACUCCUAGUUGCUUCCUUAGGUUUAGAAAUCUCGAUGUACCAAGUGAUUUUGUGAAGAUAUCGGUAAUCUGAUUUUCUGAGCUGCAAUGAAUCAGCUCGAUCUCUCAAGCUUGUUCCAUUUCUCUUAUCACAUGCAGUUUAAUGUUGAAAUGUUUUGUCCUGCCAUGGAAGAUAGAAUUUUUAGCAAUAGCAACUGCUGACUUGUUGUCAUAAUGUAUCACAGCUGCUUCAUUCUGCUGUAGGUUCAAAUCGCUCAAAAUUUUUCUCAGCCACAUAGCUUGAUUAAGAGCAUUGGCAGCUGCUACAUACUCAGCUUCAGCUGUCGACUGAGCCACCAUUGUUUGUUUUCUUGAACUCCAACAAAUCAUAGCUGAGCCAAGUGUAAAAGAAUAACCAGAGGUGCUCUUCAUGUCAUCUUUUGAACCAGCCCAAUCGCUGUCAGUGUAGCCAAUCAGUUUCAAUUCUUUAGCCCUACUGAAAUGUAUUCCAUGGCUCAAAGUGCCUUUGAUAUAUCUCAGCACCCGUUUUCUAGCUUUGUAAUGCUGCUGGUUGCAGCAAUGCAUGAAUCUUGAUAGCAUGCUCAUAGCAAACAGAAUAUCAGGUCUUGUUGCUGUCAGAUACAGCAAACAACCAACAAGGCUUCUGUAAUCAGUUUCACAGACAGAUUCAUGGUCUUCUUGGCUCGAUAGCUUCAUGCCAACAGCCAUAGGUGUGCUGGUUGGUUUACAAUUCUCUAUUGAGAAUUUGGCUAGAACUUUCAAGGCAAAUGAUUUUUGUCUCAAGAAGAUUCCUCCUUCUACUUGAUUUACUUCCAUUCCUAGGAAAUAUGUCAUCAAUCCCAGGUCUGACAUCUCAAACAUUUCCUUCAUUUUUGUUUUGAAAUCAGCUAACAUGAACUUGUCUCCUCCAGUCACUAGAAGAUCAUCAACAUAGAGUGAGACAAUGAGCUAUGUUUCAGCUCGAUUUCUUUUAACAUAAAGUGUUGGCUCACUAGCACUCCUUUAAAAUCCCAAACUGACCAGGUAUGAGUCAAUCCGAGCAUACCAGGCUCGAGGGGCUUGUUUUAGGCCAUACAAGGCCUUUCUUAGCCUAUACACCAAAUGUUCCUUACCAGGCAUUAUGAAUCCUAGAGGUUGCUCGAUGUAUAUCUCUUCUUCCAAGAAUCCAUUGAGGAAUGCAGACUUGACAUCCAUUUGAUGGAUUGUCCACUGGUUCUGAGCAGCUACAGCAACCAGCAAUCUGAUUGUAUCGAGUCUGGCUACUGGAGCAAAUGUUUCCAUGUAGUCCAGACCAUAUCUCUGACUAAAGCCCUUCACAACUAGCAUGGCUUUCUACUUGUUUAAACCUCCAUCUACAUUAUGCUUCAUUCGAUAGACCCAUUUUACACCAAUGGUCUUUAUGUUAGUUGGCUUUUCAACCAACUCUCAUGUUUGGUUCUUCUCAAUCAUGUUGAUUUCAUCAACCAUAGCCUGUUUCCAACCCUCAUUUGCCUUAGCCUCUUCAAAAUAGGUAGGUUCAGCUAUAGCAACCUGUGCCCUUUCAUAAAUCUCACCUAGGGGCCUUGUGCCUCUCACAGGCACAUCAUCAACAUCCAUCUCAGGACCAAGCUGCUCGAGUUCAGCUUGAUCAGGCACCAGGUCUUUUGAAGCAGCUUCUGGUUCACUCUUUUCCCAAUUCUAGCAAGCUUUUUCAUAAAAAAUGACAUCUGUGCUCACCUGGACUGUGCUUGUCAAGGGAUCCAAAACCCUGUAGCCCUUCUUGACUGAGCUAUAACCCACUAGGACACCUGGUUGAGCCCUUUCAGAUAGCUUAUCCCUCUUUGCUGCUGGUAUUUGUGCAUAGCACAGGCAACCAAACACCUUCAGAUAUGCCAAGGAAGGCUUGAAUCUAAACCAAGCCUCGAAAGGUGUCUUGGAUGCAAGAGCUUUGGUAGGAAGCCUAUUCUGAAGGUAGACAGCAGUGUUUACUGCCUCAGCCCACAUGGUCUUGGGAAAUUUCUUCUCAAACAGGAGACAUCUGGCCAUAUCCAUCAGACUUCUGUUCUUUCUUUUAGCUACCCUAUUCUGCUGAGGUGUGUAGACAUUUGUAAGCUGGUGUUUGAUGCUAGCAUCAUUGCAAAUAGCUUGAAACUGAGCUGAAGUGUACUCAGUGCCAUUGUCUGACCUUAUCGAUUUCAGCUUGCAACCUGUUUCUGUCUCAACAGCCAUUUUAAACUUCACAAACACUUGAGCUACCUCAAACUUGUGUUUCAGAAAGAAAAUCUAGCAAAACCUUGUAAAAUCAUCAAUAAAGAGAAUGAAAUACCUAUUUUUGCUGAGUGAUUCAGUUCUCAUAGGUCCACAUACAUCAGAGUGCACCAGCUGCAGUCUUUCAGUGGCUCUCCAUACUGAGUUUGUAGGAAAUGGCAGCCUUGCCUGUUUUCCCAUUUGGCACACUUCACACACAUCAUCAUGCUCCAUUGAGCUGGUGAAGUUCUCUACCAAGCCUUCUUUGGCCAUUCGAGCCAUUGAUCUGAAGUUGGCAUGCCCGAACCUUUGAUGCCAAAGGUUAGAAUCAUCAACAGAGGCUGUGUAUGCUAACUUUAAGUCAUUUGGCCAAUGAACCUCAAAGCAUUUGUCAGUCAUUAUGACUGUCAUAAGGCUUGAUCCACUUGGAUCAGUAAUGUGGCACUGUUUUUCAUUGAACACAAUAGAGUAGCCUUUCUCGAGCAAUUGAGCUAUGCUGAGAAGGUUUCUAUCAAUCUCAGGCACCAAUAGCACAUUUGGAAUGAUCUUGUUGCCUGUAGGAGUACAUAUCAGCACCUCUCCUCUUCCUUCAGCCCUUAUGAAUUGACCAUUUCCAACCUUGGCCUUGGUUUUGCAACUUCUAUCCAAGGUUUUAAACAAGGAGGCAUCUGGUGACAUGUGGUUAGUGCAGCCACUGUCCAAUAACCAGUCUUUUGAACAUUUCUUCUCAGCAGCUAAGCAAGAAACAGCAAAGACCUGCUCUUCUUGGUCACUACUGUCCUCAGCUACUCGAGCUUCAACCUUUGGUUGUUGAAAUUGACUCUGCCUCGGCUUGGUUUUGUUUUUGCAAACCCUUUCAACAUGGCCUUUCUUCUUGCAGUGUUGACAUACUGCAUCUAGCCUGAACCAGCAUCUGUCUUCUUGAUGACCUGGCCUCUUGCAAGGUCUGCAGGGCUGGUCAUUGCUCCUUGCAGCAUCAGGCUUAGGCCUGCUUUUCUAAGGCUUUUUGCCUCUUUGAGCAUUGAUGCUCGACACUUCUCUGGCCUUGGCAUGAAAUGCACCUUCCUGGUGAUCUUCAGCUCUGCUAGCUCUUCUUUGUUCCUGAGCAUAAAAAGUGUUAAUAAGCUCGGUCAAAGAGAUGCUAGCUAGGUCUCUUGAAUCCUCUAGGGAGGAUAUCUUGGCCUCAUAUCUCUCAGGCAAACUGGAGAGGACUUUCUCCACUAUUCUUGCCUCAUCAAAGUGCUUACCAAAGAGCCUUAUAUUGUUAACCACUACCAUGAUUCUAUCUGCAUACUGCUUCACUGUUUCUUCUUCCUUCAUCUUCAGAUUCUCAAAAUCCCUUCUCAAAUUCAACAGCUGUUGUUGCCUUGUCCUCUCAGUGCCUUGAAACUCCUCCUUAAGCUUGUCUUAGGCCUGUUUUGGAGUCUCACAGGCCAUAAUUCUGGUAAAGAUGACAUCUGACACAUAGUUCUGAAUGUAGGACAUGGCUUUGUGCCUUUUGGUCCUCUCAUCAGCAUGUUGCCUGAUCUGAGCUACUGUGGGAUUGGCCCUCAGUGGUGCUGGCUCAACAUCUGUGUUGACAACUUCCCACAGAUCAAAGGCCUGUUGGUAAGUCUUCAUCUUUACCAGCCAUAUGUGAAAGCCUUCUCCAUUGAAGACUGGUGGGGUUGCUGGUGAAAAUCCUAAAGAAGCCAUCAGGUUCCUUGGUUUGAAGCAACAGGUCCACUAAGACAAGGGCUCUAGAUACCAAUUGUUGGUGCAAGAGGCAGCAACAAGCUUGUUUCUGCUUUUCUUGGACAGCAAGUGUCGAGCAUUGCUGAAGAAACUAUCGAAGAAGAAAGGAAGAAAAAAAAAGAAAUUUGUAUUGGAAAACAGAAAAGAAAGAGAUAAAUUUGAAUGAAAAUGAGUUGAAUUUUCAUUAACCACUUCACAAGGCGUAAUGCCAAUACAUAUAUGAGAUAACAACAGCAAAACAAACAAGUUACCACCUAAUAACAUACCUAACACCACUAAAUUGCCUAGUAACUUGGUAAACUUGUUUGAACACAUAAGCAACUACCUAAACUUGUCAUUCAGCACCUAAUUACAUCAAAAUGCAGCUACCAACUAAGUUUAAAACAAACUAAAAUACAAAAUGUUCAUUUGAGUAACCAAAUGAAACAAUGCAGUUUCGGUUUGAUGUUGAAGCACGUUCCCUGCAUGGCCACCUUGCAUAGCCACCUUGGCUGCUGCAUGAGGGCUGACUUCAACAAGCAGACUCACAAAUCUAUUUUAGGAUUGGUUAUGGGCUCAUGCAUUUACCCGAUUAAAAAUUUCUAAGACCCAACAACAGAAGAAGCACAUUCAUGUUUAGAAGCAGUUAUCUUUGCGGAAGAAAUGGGCUUUGGAGAUGUUUGUAUAGAAGGCAAUGCACUCACAGUCCUAAAAAGAAUCAAAAAAUCAGAGAUUGAUAGAUCAGUUAUAGGCAACAUUAUUAUUGAGAUUACGGAUAGAGUAACCAGGUUUUGAAUUUUUACCUCUCGAUACGUCCUGCGAGCGGCAAAUAGAGCAACACGCGGAAUGGCAGCUUGGGGAACACGGCAUGAAAGGCCGAUCUACUAGGUAGAAGACGUUCCACUGGACGUUGAAGCCAUAGUCACAAAGGAGCAACGAUAGUAAGAGAAGAUUUUUUUUCAUUCUGAGUCUGGAGUGUUUGUUUUCAGUUUUGAAAACUCCAAGGAGCUCAGAAAUCUGCGGAGUUGGGAUGAAAUAAGAGACAUUUGUGAAACGGGUGAGGGUUUCAACUCCCACAGAGGAAUUCCUCCAGUGUGUCGGGAGUGGAUGAUUUUGCAGGGAAGAUUUAGAGGUGCUCAUAGGCCGGGCCGAGCCGGGCCCAUAAAAAAUUUUGGCCCAGGCCCGGCCCGACCCGAAAUAUGGGCCUAAAAUUUUACCUAGGCUCGGCCCGGGAAAAAAUUAUAAGCCCGGGACCGGCCUGGUGUUGACACCAUUUUUUGGAUGAAAACGGGGUCGACUUGGAUUUUGGAAAAAAAAGAAUGAAAAUGGGAGUCGCCACCAAUCCUUUUUUGAAGAGGUGUGAUUGGGUCACCUCAAAAGGUGGUUGUUUUUAAUAAAUGAUUUAAUUUUAUUAAAACAACGAUUUUGGUCUACGAAAUUCAGAAAAAUGAGUUCGGGAGUCGGUUACGCACGAGGAAGGAUUAGCACCCUCGAUACGCCCAAAAUUGGUACCUAGUUGAUUAAUUAGUGUCUUAGUGUCGAAAAUUUGAAAACUUGAAAGAAUUUAAAAUACGAUCCCUCUUUGUAAAGAAAAUGCUCAAAUGUUAAGGACCUUCUCGUCUCACAAUAUAAAAUGUCACAUCCAGUAAGUUAGGACACGACAUCUUGAAUUUUCGAGAACGAGCUUGCCUUUUAUAUAAAAAUUCGUGUAUUUCAAAAGGUUAUUCAGUUAGUUAAGGUGAACGAGGAAAAUCGAAACCCAGUAAGUUAGGGCACGUUUCCUCGAAUUCCCAAACACCGAAUAUUGCCUUUACUUGCAAAAAUCUUAUUUCGAGGUAACGAAAUGCCAUACCCAGUAAGUUAGGGAACAACACCUCGUAUCUCCGAGAAUAAGCAUUUUUCAAAACUCAUGUCACGAUUUAAAAGAGUAUUCCGUUAUUUAGGUUAAAGGAGAAAAAUUGAAACCCAAUAAGUUAGGGCACGAUUGUCUCGAAUUACCAAAUACGGAAUAUUACUUUUAUGAAAGAAUUAUUAUUGGGUUGGAUAUAAUGAUAAUAAGAAUAAUAUUAAAGUAAAGUAAACAAUAAUACUAUAUAUAAAUGUAUAUAUAUGUAUAUAAUAGAAAUACACACUACUAUAUAAUAAUAAUAAAUAUAGAAAUACUAAAAGCAAAUAUAAUAAAAAUAUUAAAUUAAAGUAAUAAAAAAUAAUACUAUAUAUAAAAUAUAUAUACAUAAAAAUAUACACUAAUAUAUAAUAGUAAUAGUGAUAGCAAAAAUAAUAAAAAUAUAAGUAAUAUUAAUAAUAUAUUAGAAUACAAAAGUAAAGUAAUAACAAUAGGAGUGAUAAUAAUAAUAAUACAAACAAUAAUACAUAUAUAUAAUAAUAGUAGUUAGAAAUAAAAAAUAAUAAAAGUAACAAUAAUGAUAGUAAUAAUAUAAAUAAAUAUGGAGAGGGCAUAUAUAAUAUAAUAAUAUAAAAAAAAUAAUAUAUACAUGAGAAAUAAUAAUAAUAAUAUAAAUAAUAGUAAAAAUAAUAAAAUAAUAAAACAAAGCUCUCAACUCUCUUUCUCCCUCUUUUCUAAAUCCGGCCGUUGGUCCGGCUUUGCUUCGGUCAUGGACCCCCACGGGCCGCCAUCGGCGCCACCGUACACGGCGGCCGGACCUCAAAAAAACCUUUUUCGAUAAUGAAAAUAUAGGUAAGCUUCUUACUUUUAUUUUUACUUUCGUAUAAAAAAACAAAAUAAAAUUGAAAGGAAAACAAUAAACAAACAAAGAACUAAAGAUAAGAAUAGACAAAAGAAACCUCUUUUGCUUUGAUCUUUGAUUAAUCUCCAAAAACUAGCCUUUCCAAGAAACAAAAAUAACCUUUUUUACAAAAAAACACCUCCAAAAAACAAAAAAAACCUCCUCCAAAACAAAGAACAAUCCUUCUCCAAAAAACCAAAAACCCACCCCUAAAAACAAAGUCUUGAAUGGCUUUUAUAGCCAAAUUUUACAAGUGGAGUGGUUGGGGUGGUUUAGGUGGCCAAGGGUGGUGGAGUUGGUGGCUAAGGUGGGUGGCCAACAAAGGUGGUGGAGUAGGUGGCCAAGGUUUUUAUUUAUUUAUUUAUUUAUUUUUUGUGUUUGGGUUGGGAUUAGGUUGGGCCAAAUUGGGUUUGGUUAGGGUUGGUUUAAGUUGGGCCAAAAUUGAGCCUUUACAGCUGCCCCUCUUUGCUCAUUUUCGUGUAACGAGAAUAGAGCAAAGACAUCAAAAGGGCCAAUUUUGCCCGGUCUUGCCGAGUCUUGACUUUUUGGUGCUCAUCUUCUUCCAGUAGCCUUAUUCCAGUCUGCUACGUCUUGUUGCUUCGAUCCACUCUACUGCAACUUCAGAUACGCCUUGUAGCUUCAAUCUACUCUGCUACGACUCCAUGGGGAUGAGAUUUGUGUUUUUAGUCUGCUCCACUACUACUUAGGGAGAUAAGACUUGAUGCGAUCUGCUUCACUAUUUCUUAGGGAAAUAAGAUCUGUGGUUUUAUCUGCUCCACUACUGCUUAGGGAGAUAAGACUUAAUGCGAUCUACUCCACUACUGCUUAGGGAGAUAAGAUUGUAAUCUUCGAUCUAUUCCACUGUUGCCCAAGGAGAUAGAACUACUGGCUUUAAUGUACUCCACUGUAAUCGGAGAGGUAAAAUCCGCCAUCUUCGACCUGCAAUCUAUUCCACUGCUAAAUACAGGGAAAUAGAGUCUGUUUUCAAUCCACUUCCUACCAAUAUAGGAAGGCAGGAUCUACAAUCUUCAAUCUAUUCCACUGCCAGAUACAGGGAGAUAGAGUUAUCGGCUUCAAUGUACUCCACUGUAGUCACAGGGAGGUAAAAUCUGCCAUCUUCGAUCUGCUUCACUGCCUAAUACAGGAAGGCAAGAUCUGCAAUCUUCAAUCUAUUCCACUGCCAGAUACAGUGAGAUAGAGUUAUCGGCUUCAAUGUACUCCACUGUGGUCAGGGAGGUAAAAUCUGCCAUCUUUGAUCUGCUUCGCUGCCAAAUACAGGAAGGCAAGAUCUGCAAUCUUCAAUCUACUUCACCACCAGUAUGGGAAGACAAGAUCUGCAUCUUGGAUCCACUUCCUAUCAAUAUAGGAAGAUAGGACCUGCUAUCUUCGAUCUACUUCACGCCAAUACAUGAAGGCAAGAUCUGCUUUCUGCGAUCUACUUCGCCACCAAUAUGGGAAGACAAGAUCUGCAUAUUGGAUCCACUUCCUAUCAAUAUAGGAAGAUAGGACCUGCUAUCUUCGAUCUACUUCACACCAAUACAUGAAGACAAGAUCUGCUUUCUGCGAUCUACUUCGCCACCAAUAUGGGAAGACAAGAUCUGCAUCUUCGAUCCACUUCCUACCAAUAUAGAAAGAUAGGAUCUGCUACCUUCGAUCUACUUCACGCCAAUACAUGAAGACAAGAUCUGCUUUCUGCGAUCUACUUCGCCACCAAUAUGGGAAGACAAGCUCUGCAUCCUGGAUCCACUUCCUAUCAAUAUAGGAAGAUAGGACCUGCUAUCUUCGAUCUGCUUCACGCCAAUACAUGAAGACAAGAUCUACUUUAAUGACUUCAAUCCCUCCCAUUGCAACUUCAAGGGUAUAGGAUCUGUUUCUUUGAUCUGUUCUCUGGGGAAUAUGACCUGUAAAAUCCAUUUUAUGGACCUAUUUAUGCCUAGUGUUUAGGAUGGCAUGAUCAGAAUGAAUCAAAUGCUUCUAACUAGAUGUGUAUGAAUGAAUGCAGAAUGUCAUGAGAAUGAUCCAUUUUUAAUGUUUGAGUUGUCAUUGCUCAUGUUUUAUCACUGACGUGUUACAACGCCUUCUUGCUCGGCUGGCAUAUCCAAAGAAACACUUAGUCAGAUUGCCCCCACUGCGAACGUCAAAGUUUAAUCCACUGGGACAUAAAAUUUGUACCAUCAAUCUCCCACCGUAAACUAAGGGUAGAAGGAUAUGGCUUUUUCUCGAUCCUCUACUAUCACAAUUCAAGGAUACAGAAUGUGAAACUCUUUGAUCUCCUACACCAUUCCCAAGGUGUCAUACCAAAUGUUUAUGUACAAAUGCAAAAUUUCCUUCUCCGAGAAAACCUUUUCUUAUUACUUGGUGAACAUCGCUUGUUUGUUCAUUGAAGCUUUGCCACCAACACGACAUCUUGUCAAUGUUUGGACAACAAAAUUUGAAAGGAUAGUCCCGACUUGGACUCUUCCUUUUUGGACACUUUGAAUUUGGUGUGCUCUAAACAACAGUCCUGUUUCAGGCUCCUUCAUUAUUUAGAAAUUUCUAGAGUAAUAUGCAAAACUCCAAUUGCUUGAACAUUCAGUUUAUUAAUAGUUAUUCUAAAUGUUUUUCGAGAAGGUUACCACAACGAACAAACAAAUGUUAUUAAGAACAAAUCUCGAGAUGAAUGAGUUAAUCGAGAUAGCAAAUUUUGCUAAGGUAAAAAAUGAAAUAAGACAAUAGACAAGAAUGAAAUUUUAUUGGGGAGCAAAGCUUGAACUGAAUACAAUAAUCAAGACAACAAGUUUUGCCAAGAUUCAAAGUAUAAGAUGACAACAGGUGCCCCAGAUAUCACAGCACGAGCUUCCCUGCACAAGUUUUCUAAAGACCAUUUAAUAUGUGUUUGGAAUCUACAGUAUUUUGUCGAUACCCCAAGAUGUCACCUACUCCUUCUUGCGAUUCAGGUGUAGUAAGACCACCACAUGCCUCAGAUCCUGCUCAAAAAUUCGAGCCGUACCUCACGCUUCAAAAUUCGAGCCGCCUUUUUCAGGUUUUCAACUCAAAUCCCCUUUGGUCUCAAGGUGCCUUUUGCGGGUUUUCACCUUGGCCUCUCCCAUUUUUUUUUUUUUUAAGAAUGCCCCCUUUUUAAGUGAAAUACUUCUUGACUGAGUCUGAAUUUACAGGAUUUGACAGGCUUUUACCAUCCAUUUCGCUCAGGAUUAAAGCUCCUCUUGAAAAGGCCUUUUUUACCACAUAAGGACCUUCCCAAUUUGGCAUCCACUUUCCUCUAAAAUCCUUUUGUAGAGGAAGAAUCUUUUUCAGCACCAGGUCCCCCUCGUAAAAUUCUCUGGGACAAACUUUUUUGUUGUAAGCUCGCAUCAUUCGUUUCUGAUACAUCUGACCAUGACGAAUAUCUUUUAACCUCUUUUCUUCUACCAAGUUUAACUGGUCAUAUCUGGAUUGAAUCCAUUCAGCCUCAUCCAACUUUAGUUCAGUUAAUACUCGGAGAGAAGGAAUUUCAACUUCUAUGGGUAAAACUGCUUCCAUCCCAUAGACUAAAGAAAAUGGUGUUGCCCCGGUAGAGGUUCUAACAGAAGUACGAUAUGCCAGGAGAGCAAAAGGUAAUUUCUCGUGCCAAUCUUUGUAGGUUUCAGUCAUUUUUCCUAUAAUUUUCUUGAUGUUUUUGUUAGCUGCUUCCACGGCACCAUUCAUUUUUGGACGGUACGGUGACGAAUUGUGGUGUCUGAUCUUGAACUGACUACAAACUUCCGCUAUUGAGUUGUUGUUUAAGUUCAGCGCAUUAUCGGAUAUGAUCCUUUCAGGCAUCCCGUAUCGACAUAUGAUCUCUUUUUUCAGAAACUUGCUAACUGCCGACUUCGUGACAUUUGCAUAUGAAGCCGCCUCCACCCAUUUAGUGAAGUAAUCAAUAACCACAAAGAUAAAACGAUGCCCAUUGGAAGCUUUUGGAGAUAUUGGCCCGAUAACGUCCAUUCCCCACAUGGAGAAAGGCCAUGGAGAAACCAUAACAUGAAGGGGUGAAGGUGGUGCGUGCAUUUUGUCACCAUAAAUUUGACAUUUAUGGCACCUCUUGGCAUAAUUAAUGUAAUCCCCUUCCAUGGUGGACCAAUAGUACCCAAAUCUCAUAAUUUGUCUGGUCAUCGUGAAGCCAUUGGCAUGCGUUCCGCAGAUACCUUCAUGCACUUCUUCCAAAAUUUCCUUUGCCUCAACAGCAUCCACACACCUUAACAGUACUUGAUCUUUUCCUUUUUUAUACAAAAUUUCCCCAUCAAGGACAUAGUCAAUGGCUAAUCUCCUUAAUGUCUUCUUAUCAUUUUCUAUCGCAUGGUCAGGGUACUCGCGACUCUUCACAUAUCGCAAUAUGUCAUGGUACCAAGGGUGAUCAUCCUUUCCCUCUUCAUUGUCAAUGUGCAACAAUGGGCUGGAACCUCAUAGAUGCUGAUCUGGAUAGGCUUCAUAUAUUCUAAUUUGUUCACUUUAAACAUGGAGGCUAAAGUGGCCAAAGCAUCUGCCAUCUGAUUUUCAUCUCGUGGGAGGUAACUAAAGGUGACACUAUCAAAUUCCUCGAUCAAUUCCAUAACCAAUUUUCGAUAGCGAACCAACUUCGGGUCUCUUGUUUCCCAUUCCCCCUUGAGCUGGUAAAUUACUAAUGCAGAGUCCCCGUAUACCUCUAGCACCUUAAUUUUCCGCUUUAUGGCUGCCCGAAUGCCCAUAAUGCAAGCUUCAUACUCAGCCAUAUUAUUUGUGCAGUCAAAGUCCAAUUUGCUAGUGAAAGGAUAAUAAUCUCCACUAGGGGACACGAGUACUGCCCCAAUUCCGUUGCCUAUAGCAUUUGAAGCUCCGUCAAAACUCAACUUCCAAGGACCACCUUCUUGGAAAUCUUUCUUUACGGUUGCGGCAUACAUCAAAUCCUCAUUUGGGAAAUCGAAGUUCAAUGGCUCAUAAUCAUCGAGAGCCCUACUUGCUAGGAAUUCCGCUAUUGCACUCCCUUUGACCGCCUUCUGGUUCACAUAGACUACGUCAAAUUUAGAUAGAAGAAUUUUCCAUCGAGCCAUUCUUCCAUUCAGAGCGGCUGACUCCAUCAAGUAUUUCAGAGGGUCUAAUUUGGAGAUUAACCAGGUCGUAUAGUACAACAUGUACUGUCUCAGUCUCCGAGUUGUCCAAAUUAAAGCACAACAUAAUUUCUCGAUUGGCGAAUAUCUUAUUUCGCAUUCGGUGAACUUCUUACUGAGAUAGUAGAUCGCUCUUUCCUUUCGUCCUGAUUCGUCAUGUUGACCAAGCACGCAUCCCAUGGAAUUUUCAAAUACUGCCAAAUACAGUAUGAGCGGUUUGUCUGGGCAGGGUGGCAUCAGUACUGGGGCGUUGGAUAAGUAAUGUUUGACUUUUUCAAAAGUUUUUUGACAUUCCUCAUCCCAUACACCUGGAUUAUGUUUCUUGAGGAGGCGAAAUAUGGGGUCGCAUUUCUCAGUUAGCUGUGAGAUGAACCGAGCAAUAUAGUUCAGCCUUCCUAGAAAACCUCGAACCUCCUUUUGAGUACGCGGCGGGGGUAAUUCUUGUAUUGCUCUUACUUUGUCAGGAUCAAUCUCAAUUCCUCUUUCACUGACCACGAAUCCAAGUAAUUUUCCUGAUCUGACCCCGAAUGUGCAUUUUGCUGGAUUUAGCUUUAGCUGAAAUUUCCUCAAUCUCGUAAAUAAUUUCUUAAGGACCUGCACAUGUUCCUUUUCUGUUUUAGAUUUUGCAAUCAUGUCAUCAACAUAGACUUCUAACUCCUUAUGCAUCAUGUCAUGGAACAGUGUUCCAUGGCCCUCUGAUACGUUGCCCCUGCAUUUUUCAACCAAAAUGGCAUCACCUUAUAACAAAAAGUUCCCCAUAGGGUUAUGAACAUAGUUUUCCUCAUAUCCUCGGGAUGCAUCUUAAUUUGGUUAUAUCCCGAGAAGCCAUCCAUGAAAGAAAACAGUGAAUGUCCUGCUGUAUUGUCUACCAAGGCGUCGAUAUGCGGCAAGGGAAAGUUAUCUUUUGGGAUAGCCUUAUUUAGAUCUCUAUAAUCCACACACAUUCGUACCUUCCCAUCUUUCUUAGGGACAGGAACAAUGUUAGCUACCCACUCGGAGUAUUUGACCACCUUCAGGAACCCAGCGUCAAAUUGCUUUUGCACCUCUUCUUUUAUUUUUAACACGAUAUCAGGCCUUAUUCUUCGGAGUUUUUGCUGAACUGGUUUGCAAUCCUCCUUUAUAGGAAGUCGGUGAACCACGAUGUCAAUACUUAACCCCGGCAUAUCUUGGUAUGACCAUGCGAAGACAUCUUUGAACUCUCGCAGCAAUUCAAUGAGGUAUUGUUUUACUUCUUCAGCUAUGCGGAUACCAAUCUUUAACACCUUUCCCUCUUCCAAGAUCACUGUCUCUAUCGUCUCUUCGUGGGGUAGAAUCUGUUUCUCUUCCUGCUCUACCAUUCUCAACAAGUCCGGAGAUAGGUUGCAAUCUGUGUUAUCUUCAAAAUCUUGAGAUUCCUCUGGACACAUAUCUCGUUCAAAAAGAUUUUCUAAGUCCAUAGUAGAGUCACUCAUAUCAUUGAUAUCUUGGGACCUGUUAUAGGUAUCAAAGAAUGUACAGGGAAUGUAUGAAUUUAAGGAUUCUUAUUUAGUAUGACCAUGAAUGUAUGAAAAAAAGAAUUUGAAAAGAAUAUAUACUCAAAAUGCGAAGAUAUAUUUCAUUGAAAUCACAAUGUCCACAUAUAAGCCUAUUUCAGUUCACAAAAGUUUUCAUUUUCUCUAGGCUUAGAAUAAUUAAUGUUUUGAAUAUUACUCUGGAAAAGCUCUAAAAACUUCAGGCAUUUCUUCCGCAGUCCAAUUGUUUAAAACACUCCCAGGUUCAACGGGAUAGAUGCCUGACGUACUUCCUCCUUCAAAUUCUUCUUCACAUAUGGCAUUGAUGCUUAAGUUUCUUAACAUUUCCUCUGCGGUCUUCUUUCUUGGAGCCCUCAGUUCAGAAUACAUAGUUCCUCCCGACAUGAAUGUCCUGGAUAUGUGGGGGAAAGCCAUAGGUUCCCAGUCGACUUCUUUUCCGUUCAAACGCGCCUUCCUUCUAUCUUGUCUCUUUUCUAACUCUUUCCUUCUCUGUUUGGUAUUUGGUUUAAAUCCUAAACCAAAACGAUCUUGUUUGUAUUUCACUACUGGUGCCCCCAUCCUUCCCUGAAGGCAUCUUCCAAGUCCUCUUCCAGGCACAGCUCCUUUCCCAACUGUCGCUUGUAAUCCCAUCCUUGUGGCUUUAGACAUGCUGGGCGUCGGAAUCUUCUUUCCCCCUAUGACAAAGGUUGCAUUUACGAACUCCAAAGAUCGAAAAGAACAUUCAACUGCCUCGUCGUCUAUUCCCAAAUAUGGUGUAUCAUUGGUUACCAAUGCAAUGAUAUCUUCCUCGGCGUCAAUUGUAAUUAACCGGCCUUCUAUUACCAAUUUUAACUUCUGGUGCAAUGAUGAAGGCACCGCCCCUGCCGAAUGAAUCCAGGGUCUUCCUAAUAAGCAAUUAUAUGACGGCUUGAUAUCCAUCACUAGGAAGUCCACAUCGUAUGUAUUUGGGCCAAUUAAAAGAGGUACUUCUAUUCUUCCUAUCACCUUUCUUUCGGUACCAUCAAAUGCUCUCACUAUAUUUUGGCAUGAUCUCAUGUGAGAGUUAUCCACCGGUAACCUACUUAAGGUAGAUAGGGGUAAAACAUUCAAGGCUGAUCCAUUGUCAAUUAGCACUCCAGCUAACAUAUACUCCCCGCAACGAGCAGUGAUGUGUAAUGCUUUGGUAGAUCCUCUUCCCCCUGGCGGUAUUUCAUCAUCAUUAAAAAAGAUGAAAUUAUUGGCAUUGAUAUUAUUAACCAAGCGGUCUAACUUAUUCACCGAGAUAUCUUUAGUGACAUAAGUUUCAUUUAGCACCUUAAUCAACGCAUUACGAUGUAUCUCUGAACUUAUAAGCAACUCAAGUACGGAGAUACGAGCCGGUUGCUUAUGUAAUUGUUCUACCACGCUGUACUCGCUAUGUUUCAAGAAUUUUAGAAAUUCAUUGGCUUGAUUUUCAGUUACCGGCUGAUUGACACUCGAUUCAAUUUCGUCUGUUUUUGUUUUUCCUAGCUCAACUGCUAAAGCUUUUUCUUUUCCAGAUUCCACUAUCGCGUCUGCCGGAUCAUAGCGCUUUCCACUUCGUGUAUAGAAUCCUUCCUUCUUUUUUGAAGCAUUUACCGAGCUCUCUUUUCCUGGAAUCGUCACAUUGCAAUCGUAACUCCAAGGAACCUUUUUGUUACCCUUGUAAGGAAAGGAUACAGGUUUUUGGAUUAUAACUUUUGGCCCUAUUUGUAUUCCAGAUUCUUUGUUCAUUGGCUUUGAAAUGAUAACCACUGGAUGACAAAGCUCUUGGGUUCUCCUUGCAGAUCCUUCUCCUGUAGCACAAACUUCUUCCUCUUUUAACCCUUUGAUUUCUUCAUAAAACUCCAUUUCUUUGCUAUCCAUAAAGUUUUGCACCACGAUUCUGAACUCGGUGCAUUCCUGGAUGUCAUGAUCUUCUUCUGCGUGGAACUUACAAAAUCUCUUUGCUUGUUCAGGCCUUUCUAUCGAAUCUUGCUUGAUAAGACCUCUUUUUACCAUUUGUUUCCAAACCCAUCCAAGAGGGGUUUUUAUCUCUGCCACGUUGGCUUUGACUCUUCUUCCUUCAUUCUCACUUAUCGCGUUUACCCUAUUAUCGUCAUGAUUGGGCAACGGAUUUUCUGCUACAUUUGGCCCUGAUGAGUCGCCAAUCUUUACGAUCCCCAUAUUGAUAAGUUUCUCCACUAACUUCUUGAAUGCAGUGCAGUUCUCAAUCGAGUGCCCCUUAAUCCCCGCGUGGUACUCGCAUUGGGAGUUUAUGUCAUACCAUUUGGGGUACGGAGGUUGCAUGGGUUUUAGGUAAAAUGGAGAUACCACAUGUGCAUCAAAUAAAUUCUGAUACAAUUCUUUAUACGUCACCGGGAUGGGUGUGAAUUGAGGUCUUUCUAUAUUUGGCCUUGAAUUGGACUCCCGUCUCGAAGAACCUUGCUGAUUAGUGGUUGUUGCUCUGGCUUGUCCCACCGUGAUUGAUCUAGAAUGGUCCUUGUUAAACAUGUUUGUGUUGUUUAUCUCAUGCUCCUUCUUUCUCAGUGCUGACCUUUUAGCACUUUCUCCUGCUUCUAUCUUGCCACUCCUUAUGGCAUUUUCUAUCAUUUCUCCAGACAUCACUAUGUCUGAAAAGCUUUUGGUGGCACUACCCAGCAUGUGAUUGAGAAAUGGAGCUUUCAAAGUAUUGAUAAAAAGCAUGGUUAUCUCUUUUUCUAAAAGUGGUGGUUGAACUUGUGCUGCUACCUCCCUCCAUCUUCGAGCAUACUGGCGAAAGCUCUCAUUAGUUUUCUUUUCCAUAUUUUGCAAUACAAUUCGAUCGGGUGCUAUGUCCAUCACAUGUCUGUAGUGUUUUAUAAAGGCCUGCGCCAAAUCUUUCCAAGAGUGGAUUUCAGCUCGACUCAAUUGAUUGUACCAUCUAACAGCUGACCCGAUCAAACUAUCCUGAAAACAGUGAACCAACAGCUGCUCAUUGUUGAUGUACCCGGUCAUUCUUCGGCAAAACAUAGUGAUAUGAGCAUCGGGACAACUUGUCCCGUCAUAUUUUUCAAACUCCGGCAUUUUAAACUUAGGAGGGAGGAUUAAAUCAGGCACCAAGCUCAGAUCUUUAGCAUCCAUUCCUCGGUGGUAAUCAGCACUUUCCAUGGCCUUAAACUUUUCCUCCAGCCAUUUACAUCGGUCUUCCAAUUGCUUUGAUAGAUCCACUUUCGUAUUUUCCACUUCUGCCACGUCAUCGAGGUCAGGGACUAUGAGAUUGGUGGGAUUCUCUCCGGAAUUGUUACUUAUUCCGAUUGGAGGACUCGUUUGGAAUUGUUGGGGUCUAAUUGUAACAGAGGGUCUUUGUUGAUACAUUUCAGCUUGAGUAUGCGCGUGCAGAGGGGUAAAGCCUGGAGGGUAAAGGGGUUCAUCACUAUUUCCAUCUUCAACAUUAACAAUAGGGUCCUUUCCCUUGUCUUUUCCUCCUUUCAACAGUUGCGUUAACUUUGCCAUCAUGUCGUCUUGGGAUUCUCGCAUCUCUCGCUGAAUCUUUUCCAACCGCUCUUCUAUCUGAUCUUGCAUAUCUCUUUGGAGCUGCUCAAGUUUUUCUAGUCUUUGAUCCAUGUUUCUUGACUUCGCUCGAGUUCCGUAAGAGUGACGGUUUUCCAGGUUAACUGAAAUAAUUUUAUUUAGUUAGGGUCUUUUAAUGGUCAUUAAUGCAUAUAAUGCAAUGCAUGAAAUGAAUGCAAAAGGCGUUAAUUCUAGUUCAAUUUCAUUAUGAAAACUUUACUAGAAAAUAAACUUUUUUACAUAAGGUGGAUUACAUAUACGACUUAGCCCUAAAACUCAAAAUUCUAAUCCUCCUAAGCAACGAGUCUAGCUCCUGUCCUCGACUCGACUCUAAUUCGUACUUCACGCUUAACACAUCAGCUUGUACUGCUAACGUCUGCAAGUGAUCAGCCACCUCUCGGAUUUGAAGCACGGCUUCUCCCAUGAUUUGAUCUCUAUCUCUUACUUGGUUCUGAAAGUAGUGCAACUGCUCGGUUUGACGAUCUUCAUUAGAUCUCAUGUGCUCAAUCCGCAUCUCGCAACUUCCCAAUGCUGCUUCUAACUCUUCAAUUCUUCGUUUCAUCUCUUCAAUUCUACUUAGGCUUACUUUUAAUUCCAUCACAGAAUUUCGAUUUCGAUGCCGAUAGAGAGAUUCUUCUAACUCGGACACUCUAUUUUCUAGUUCCCCUUUUUCUUUCUGAUUCUCUGACAGACUCUUCUUUAAAGUCUCGUUCUGGGUUUGAACUUCUUGAAACCUUGUUUCCCAUCUAUCAGCUUUGUUCUUUUCUUCUUGAACUUCCUUGCGCCAUUGUUCAGAAGUCUUUCCCAACCCGGCGGUUCUCAUUGAUGAUCGCAACUUCUUGUAAUCUGUUUUCAGACUGUUCAGAUCUUCUUCAGCCCUAGCUUUUCCUUUUCUUAAUCGCUCCAUCUCGAGCUUCUGGACAUCUACAUCCAACCUUAAGUUUGUUUUUUCUUCCUCCAUUUGCUCUAUCUGUUUUUCCAACUCUGCAUUUCUUCUUUCAAAAUCUUGCUUCAAAAUUUCUAGUUCAGAAAGGAUGACCCGUAAGUGCUCCUCUAUCGAAUGACUGCCUUCGAGGCUUGAUUUGGGGACAUUGUCAUUGAUUCUUCUGACCCUCCAUUCUUUAUAUUCGGGGGUUGUCAUUGGUCCUACAGCUAAUCGCUUCAUUUGGCGAGUCUGAUUCCACGCAUUGGAUAUCUCUCGAAUCCUCUUUUUGUAGCCAUCACCCCCAUACGAGAAUUCACACUCGGCCAGCCCCUGGGUUGCGGGUAUAAACUGUCUUGAUCUGUACUGUCUGAGCACUAAUAACGGGGCAUAGCCAAUAGCUCCCCAGAUUCCAAGCAAAGGGACCCAAUCAAAACUACCACAUCGGUACAAAAUUUCGUCUGGAAGUAACCACGGAGCUCUCCAUUCAAUGUCUUCUUCAUGCAAGUUUUGAAGAAUUGCCAUCCAUUUUUCCAUUGAAAUGUCGUCCCUUCUCGGUGUAGCUAUCGUCUCCUUUAGCGGCGAAUAGUUUUCAGAGAAGACCCGAUAUGACACCUUAUCCACUUUCCAAAAAUGACUGUGGAACCACGCAAGUAGCAACUGUGCACAUCCAAUGAACCUGCCUUCGCCCGCUCGCCGACAGGUACUCAAUGAUCUGAAUGUCUCCGCUAAAAUUGCUGGAAUCAGGGUAACUCCUUUAUCAAGGCGGUCGAACAAAUCAGUAACCGCCUCAUCAAUAUGCCCCAAAGCUCUAGGAAAGAUAACUAAGCCAUAUAUGCUUAGGGCGAAGAUAUCUACCCUAUUUUUUAUAUCCGGGUGCACCAAAGCCACAUCUUUCAAACUCCUCCAAGAAAUGCACUUGUUAUCCCCUUUUUGUUUAAUUCGGGCCGUAACCCACUGCUCACUCAUGCCUGUUAUGUUCAUUAACCUUCUCAAAAAGGGUACAUUUGCGGCUCUUGAGUAGAUUCUGUCGACUUGACUCUUUGAACACCGAAGUAAAGCCAUAUAUUCUUCUAUCGUAGGCACCAAGUCAACUUUCCCGAACGAAAAACAACUAUAGGCGGGAUUCCAAAAUUGUGCGAGAGCCCGGAAUAGGUGCUUAUCUACCUUCAUAUCUAGCAGGUACGGCAAGUCCCCGUAAUGGGAAUAAAACAACUGUCUGGCCUCCUCGUCCCAAUGGUCCCAAAUUCCUUUCAACUCUUGUAAAUCGUUCUGGGUUAUGCUAAUGCGGGUAAAGUCCCAUAGCUCUGAUAUAUAUCCUUCAGCCAAACUAUCCCCUUUCUCUUGUUGUGUCGUUUCCGACCAAAUUCGGACUGCCGCAUUAUCUUCCACCUUAUCAAGAAACCUUCUUUCCAUGAUAAGCUUUCUUUCUAGAAACCGAAUAUGAACCAACGCCUUGAAAUAAUGAAAUGCCAUGCAGUUGAAAUGUCAUGCAUCCAAAGUAAAACAACAAAUAUCAGUACCAGAUAUAAACAUAUAAUCCAAGAUAAUUCAAAAAGAAUAAAAGCACAUCAGGGUAUUUACUAGGGUUUGGUGUAGUUCUACUUAAGGUGAGUUCCUAAGGUUUACUACAUGGGGUUUGGUUCUAAAGCAAAGGUACCCGAACCAGCAGAUUCCUCGAUCUUCACCCAUUAUAGUCUCAUAUAGACCGAGUUCGGUUUAGGGGAAUACAUUUCCCUAUGGCUGCACGGAGAUGAAAAUCUCACGAAGACAUAGGUACGGAUGUAUCCCGAAAGCGAUCCACUAUCCUGCACGGAGGUGAAAACCUCACGAAGGAGUAGCUUCUCACUCCCACUUAAAAGGUGUGACCAACGGUCAUGCAAUGCAAUGCAAAGAUAUAAAAGUUUAAAAUACGAAACAUGAUGAAAACUAUAGCUCAAAACAAAUGAAAUGCAAUGAGAAGAUCGUAUAUUUAAAUCAAAUUUUCAACUUUCGACAAAAAGACAAAAAAUAAUCAACUCGUGGCUUGACUCACUUAUUUUGAAAAAGUCCCCAGUGGAGUCGCCAAGCUGUUGACACCAUUUUUUGGAUGAAAACGGGGUCGACUUGGAUUUUGGAAAAAAAAGAAUAAAAACGGGAGUCGCCACCAAUCCUUUUUUGAUGAGGUGUGAUUGGGUCACCUCAAAAGGUGGUUGUUUUUAAUAAAUGAUUUAAUUUUAUUAAAACAACGAUUUUGGUCUACGAAAUUCAGAAAAAUGAGUUCGGGAGUCGGUUACGCACGAGGAAGGAUUAGCACCCUCGAUACGCCCAAAAUUGGUACCUAGUUGAUUAAUUAGUGUCUUAGUGUCGAAAAUUUGAAAACUUGAAAGAAUUUAAAAUACGAUCCCUCUUUGUAAAGAAAAUGCUCAAAUGUUAAGGACCUUCUCGUCUCACAAUAUAAAAUGUCACAUCCAGUAAGUUAGGACACGACAUCUUGAAUUUUCGAGAACGAGCUUGCCUUUUAUAUAAAAAUUCGUGUAUUUCAAAAGGUUAUUCAGUUAGUUAAGGUGAACGAGGAAAAUCGAAACCCAGUAAGUUAGGGCACGUUUCCUCGAAUUCCCAAACACCGAAUAUUGCCUUUACUUGCAAAAAUCUUAUUUCGAGGUAACGAAAUGCCAUACCCAGUAAGUUAGGGAACAACACCUCGUAUCUCCGAGAAUAAGCAUUUUUCAAAACUCAUGUCACGAUUUAAAAGAGUAUUCCGUUAUUUAGGUUAAAGGAGAAAAAUCGAAACCCAAUAAGUUAGGGCACGAUUGUCUCGAAUUACCAAAUACGGAAUAUUACUUUUAUGAAAGAAUUAUUAUUGGGUUGGAUAUAAUGAUAAUAAGAAUAAUAUUAAAGUAAAGUAAACAAUAAUACUAUAUAUAAAUGUAUAUAUAUAUAUGUAUAUAAUAGAAAUACACACUACUAUAUAAUAAUAAUAAAUAUAGAAAUACAAAAAGCAAAUAUAAUAAAAAUAUUAAAUUAAAGUAAUAAAAAAUAAUACUAUAUAUAAAAUAUAUAUAUACAUAAAAAUAUACACUAAUAUAUAAUAGUAAUAGUGAUAGCAAAAAUAAUAAAAAUAUAAGUAAUAUUAAUAAUAUAUUAGAAUACAAAAGUAAAGUAAUAACAAUAGGGGUGAUAAUAAUAAUAAUACAAACAAUAAUACAUAUAUAUAAUAAUAGUAGUUAGAAAUAAAAAAUAAUAAAAGUAACAAUAAUGAUAGUAAUAAUAUAAAUAAAUAUGGAGAGGGCAUAUAUAAUAUAAUAAUAUAAAAAAAAUAAUAUAUACAUGAGAAAUAAUAAUAAUAAUAUAAAUAAUAGUAAAAAUAAUAAAAUAAUAAAACAAAGCUCUCAACUCUCUUUCUCCCUCUUUUCUAAAUCCGGCCGUUGGUCCGGCUUUGCUUCGGUCAUGGACCCCCACGGGCCGCCAUCGGCGCCACCGUACACGGCGGCCGGACCUCAAAAAAACCUUUUUCGAUAAUGAAAAUAUAGGUAAGCUUCUUACUUUUAUUUUUACUUUCGUAUAAAAAAACAAAAUAAAAUUGAAAGGAAAACAAUAAACAAACAAAGAACUAAAGAUAAGAAUAGACAAAAGAAACCUCUUUUGCUUUGAUCUUUGAUUAAUCUCCAAAAACUAGCCUUUCCAAGAAACAAAAAUAACCUUUUUUACAAAAAAACACCUCCAAAAAACAAAAAAAAACCUCCUCCAAAACAAAGAAUAAUCCUUCUCCAAAAAACCAAAAACCCACCCCUAAAAACAAAGUCUUGAAUGGCUUUUAUAGCCAAAUUUUACAAGUGGAGUGGUUGGGGUGGUUUAGGUGGCCAAGGGUGGUGGAGUUGGUGGCUAAGGUGGGUGGCCAACAAAGGUGGUGGAGUAGGUGGCCAAGGUUUUUAUUUAUUUAUUUAUUUAUUUUUUGUGUUUGGGUUGGGAUUAGGUUGGGCCAAAUUGGGUUUGGUUAGGGUUGGUUUAAGUUGGGCCAAAAUUGGGCCUUUACACCUGGCCCGGCCCAUUUUUUUAAUAAAUACCAUAAAUUUAUUUUAAAAAUAAUAAAAAAGUAUUUUAAAAAUAUUUUAAAAUUAAAAAAUAAAUAUAUUUAUUAUAUCGGGCCAAGCCGGGCAGGACCCGGGCCAAAAAAGUGGUGCCCGAGGCCCGGCCCGUUUUUUAAACGGGCCUCGUUUUUUUAUCCAAGCCCAUAUUUCGAGCCUAUAUUUUUACCCAAACCCUCCCAUAUUUCGGGCGGGCCGGCCCGGCCCAUGAGCACCUCUAGGAAGAUUGAAGGACUUGGGUUUUUUUCUUUGCUUUUUGUUUAAAAGUUUUUUGUUUUUUAGGUUUUUCAUUUUAGUGCUUUAAGUUUUCUCAGCCUUUUUAGGGAUACCCGAGGCACCACCCAUUAGCAGCAAUAGGCUUCUGCCAGCUAGCUAGUGGGCUGAAACAUUGCAGGGUUUAGGAUUGUGUUCCAUCCUUUAAUCUUCAAUUUUAAUGAUUUUACUUCAAGUUUUUUUUAAGUAAAUCCCUUCCCAUAUAUAUAUUAUGCAUAUAUUAAAGUUAGUUUCUAAAGGGAAAGAGUUAAUAUUCCAUUUGGUAUGUAGGGUUUUUUUUUAAAAUUUAAUAUAUGAGUUUUACUUCAAUUUGGUAUCCAUACCAAACAAAUGUGCUUAAUGAAUACUUGGCACGUAUGUUCUAGUAAAAAAAUAUAAUUACCCACAAAACGAUCUGAUAAAAUUGUCACCCUGAAUUACCUGACAACGAUGACUCAAGUAUGAAAUUACCACCCAGAUUUCCGAGCAACGAUGGUUUCCAAAUAAUAACCUGACCCUAUGUACGCCAACUAACUCGGUCCGACAAAUAAUAGGGUAACCAAAUUUCAAUUUCAAUAUACAACCUGAUUCAUGUUUAUUCAUUUUGAUUUUCAUCAUCAGUUUACCAAUUCAAUACAUAACUUAUAUAUAUAUCAACCGAAUUUCACAUAUCAAGUAAGUCAUAAAAUUUUCUAUUCUAUUCAAUUUAGUCCUUGCUUCGAUAUUCAAUUCAAAUCAUAUCAAUUUAGCUCAAAAAAUUAUCAAUAACUAACCUCCAAUUCCAUAUAAUGUAGAAUGAUAUAAAUAUGCAACAACUAAAUGGUUCCCAAAUCAUAGAAUUACAAACCAAAAAUUUUGAUCUAAUUAAUAGCUUUGGAUUUUCCUUUUCCUCUCGAUGAAUCUAGGUCGACGUUAGUUAUGGAUUAACAUAAACACAUAACACUAUCAAUAAACAACCAAUUCACAAUCAAUUGUCAAUUUAUACAAAAAUUUCAAUUUAUUCAAUUUAGUCCCUAAAACUGAGACUAACAUAACUUUCAAUUUAAAACUCCAAAUUAAAAUUUGAUUUCACUAUGGUCCAUUAGAGACCUCCUAUUUCUUAUUUAUAUAAUCAAUUUUACAUUUAAUUCAGUUUAGUCCUUAUAAUCUUGUGUUUGCGAGUAAUUUUAGGGUUGCUUUUGUCGUUGUGCCCUCUAGUUUGGUGGAUGCUCAGUUCUUUUGUCGAUUUAUGCUCACUGUUUUGGACCAUCCGGGGUUGAUUUCCUUAUUGUAUUAAGUGCUUGCAAUCACUCCUUAUGUUGUGCUUAAGUUGUGACAGAGUCGAUUGUCAACGUGCCAUAAUGUUCUAUUGAUGUUGAAGCUAAAGCUUUUGUUAUGUUGAUGGAGCUUGUACUUUAGCGCGUUCAAUGGGUGUUUGUUACUUUUUUCCCCUGAAUUGUAUGGUCUUAUUUAUUGAAUGAAUUAAUAAAUUUCUCUUUAAAAAAAGAAAUAAUUUAUAAUAAAUAAUUAAAUGUAUUAUUUAAAACUAUUUAAUAAUAGCGCAUUAAAUAUGUAUGCUAUUAAAAUGAAAAAAAAAACAAAUUAAAUUGUUUAUCAUAAUAUUGACACUUUUCAUCAAUCUUGAGUCAAUAUCGAGUUAACUUGUGACACCAACUCAGCUAAAUAUAUUAUUAAUAUAUACAAUGAUGGGGCUAAUAAAGUGUGCACAAAAAAAUUAAAAUGUAUAAAAAUAUCAAAAUAAAACUUUAGUUGAGUAGUAAAUAUAAAUUUUAUUAAUGCAAUUAGCAAGAGUUCGAAUCUCACCAUAUACAUAUUUUAUUGGCUUUUUUUAAGUUAAAAGAUUAGAAUAUCCUUGAAUAAUAUUGUUUAGUUUAAUUACAAAAUGACAUUUUCUUAACUUUUUAAUCGAGUUGGUAACCCGAUUAAAGGUGACAUUAACUCAAUCAAGAACUUAGAUAAAUAUUAAUAUAAAAUAUAAGUUUUUGCUAUAAAAUAAAAGGACAGAAAGUAAAGAACAAAGAAAAUGAGAAAGCAAAGAGAGAGCGUAUUUUAUUGAUCAAUUGAAAUAUUUACAAAGUUUCUCCAAAAUUUCUAUUUAUAGACAUAAGAAGUAUAAAUGAAGUAUAGACCUACUUCUAAUGGCUAUAAGAAUUUAAAGUACAUCAAAAAUUAUCUUGAUCUUGAUGGACAUCCACUUAAUAAGAUAUUCAUAACACCCCCUUGGAUGUCCAUUGGUAGAUAAUGUGCCUCGUUAAAACUUUACUAAGAUAAAGAUCUUGUGGGAAAAAAUCCUAGUGAAGGAAAAAAGUAAACAUAUCUAAAUGCGUAUAUUAUGCUGCACCAUUAAAAACUUUACCAGAAAAACCCAAUGGGAUAAAACCUCGGUUAAGGGAAAAAUAGUACAAUGCAUAGUUACUCCCCUUCAUAAAAACAUCAUAUACUUUCUCAUAUUCUAUUGAAUUGAAUACUAGUUUUCAAAUGACUAUAUUAAUGAAUUUGCUAAGCAUUUAUAUCACCGUUCUUUUGGAAGUCAUGAGUGGGGAAAUUUUAGGGGAAAUAUAUUUUGAUCUCUUGAAGAGUCUCAACAAUUUUCAUAACAAACUUUAAUCAUAAUUCCUCUAUAAAAACACAAAUAGGUAUUUUGGAUCAUUUUAUAAUCCUCCUUCAACUACUAUUCGCUGAGUCAAAUUUACCACAUAUGUUCCAAUUAUUUCAAUUCAUAUAAAUGAACAAUUUCCCGACAAUUUCGAUAUGCUUCUAUCAUCCUAAAUCCUUCAAGGAUUUGAAUAUAAAUUUUACUAUAUAGUGGUUCAUAAAAAGGUUGUAACAACAACCAUUAGACAUAAGUUAAAUCUUCUAUGAAUUGUCAAAAUAAUAUAUCUAAAAAUUAUUGCAUCCACCACAAAAAAAAUAUUAUUUCUUUUCAUAAUAAAUGCCAGGACUUAGCAAAAAACUUCAUAUUAUAAUUUUGCUUUUGCAAAACUACUUCAUUUGCACCCUCACUGGCUUUAUACCUUGAGAUAUUUGGACUACUGGUCCAAAAACUCCACAAAUUUAAUUGUACUUGAAUUGCAUCUUUCUAUUUUGAUUAAUUUAUUCUAUAUCUAUAUUUCUCAAUAGAUUUAUUAAAGAUCCUCCUUUUGUUUCAUUAUAUCAAUAAUAACAUUGCAUGCAAAAUUAUUGUCAACCACUUUUAUUAUUUGGUUUCACAUUUUCUCGAAUUGGCAUAACUUAUUAAGAUCUAUUAUUUUAAUCUUCAAUUUCAGGUACCUGAAUCUCUUCUGGAGUUUUACUUAUUAGUUAUGUCUUGGGUCUCUUUUGGAGCACUUGUCUCCACUAUUUGACCAUCUAGAAGAAUUUUCAUCUUUGGAAUCGAUCAAUCUAUUAUUUAUUCUAACUGAUUGUCCUGCCGGGACUUUGAUUCAAAUUAAAAUAUUAGAUGUUAUAUAAUAUUUGGUUAUUCUUAUUAAGUUUUUAAAUACAUCUGACAGUUAACUUGUAAUGAGUUUUCCUCGUUGAGCUACUAGUUCAAAUUACGUUCCCCCUAACUCAUUACAAGUUGUUAUUUCUCUCCCCCUCAUGUUGGGAAAACUAUCGAAUCAAAAUAGUAAUCACAAAUCAUGUCAUAAUUGAAUCUCCAAUACAUACAAAGAGACUUGUAAUUAAUAUAUAUUCCCAACUCUAUUUGAGGAUUGACUCAUCUUUUUGCGUUGUGUCGGAGUAAUUGGAAUAUAUACACACAUACAAAAAUUCAAAGAUGAGAAAUAUUUAGCUCUUAAUAAAAAACUUAUCAUAAUGGGAAGUAUUUAUAACUUAUUGGUUUGAUGCGUACAACACGUAAAUCAACAUAAUCUCAUGUUGAAAUAGGAAGUUUAGUUUUCAUAAGUAAUGGUUUAGGCAUUAAUCAGAGGCAUUUAAAAAAUAAUUUCUCUAAACUAUUAUGUGCAUAAAUAACAAACUUUUACAAAAGUUUUUCAAACUUCAUCAAUAAAAUACUAAGAUAUAAAUUCAUCAGUAUUAGCAAGAUGAAUUAUCUUAAUUGCAUGAUCUGGAAUUAAUUAUUUAAAUAAACAAUCUUGCAAACGAUAGGUUGCAAGUUGAUAACACAUACGUGAUUAUUUUGUAGAUGCAUCUACCAAAAUCAUAUAAUAUCAAAAUCAUUCACAUAAUGGAUGAAUGGGCCCAUAUUCAUUUCAAAAAUGUAAGACAUUAAAUCUCAACUUUAGCUAGUGAGUUUCUAACAAUCAAUUUUCAUUGAGAACAAGCAUCAAAUGAGAAUUCUUUAAAUUAAAGAAUAUUAUGGUUCUUUAAUAAUAUCAUAUGAAUUCUCAAUUAAUUUUCACAUCAUAUUUGAUCUAGGAUGGUUUAACUAGUCACGCCAAGUAGUACUUGCAUUUGUAUUAGUAAACUUUUAGUUUACUUUAACAUACGUUUCAAUUGUACUAAAUUGUAACAAAUUGAUAAUUUUACUAUCAUUCAUUUUACUUUGUAUCUACAUAUAGGUACUAUCGUGACAUUUACUACUGUAAAUGUCUAAAUCAAUGUGAAGUCUAUAAUGUCACUAAGUCAAUAAAUAUAAUUUUCAAAUAAUUAUAUGCAAUAUUUGCUUCAGUGAAUAUGCCAAAAUCUUGAAAUGAAGGGCAUUUGGUCUAGUGGUAUGAUUCUCGCUUCAAAUGCUAAAAUUCUUGAGUUUGAUUCAAAAUACUUUUAAAACCCUUUUAACAAAAUUUUUGCAUAAUCAGUUAACUACCAAAAAUAACUACCCAGGUCAUGUAUAAAAACAAGUCUAUACUAAAUAUAUCAAUAAACAUCACAUCUCAAGCAUAAAAAUAUGACAUAAUGAAAAACUAGCAAUUUUUUUCAUAAUCAUCAUCAUAAACAUGCAUGGAAUUUAAAUCAAAAUCCAACCAUUCAAGCUCAUAGAACUUUUCAUUUACAAUUGCUCAUGUUAUUUCCCUAAAUAAUUAGCAAAUGAAAUAAUAUAAAACGUAUGAACUACUACCUUUAACAAUUCUUUGAACUAAACCAAAUCUGAAUAACCAUAAAAUUCAUUGGUUUGUUAACAUAAAUUUGCAUACUAGAUAUGUUUUAAUCAAAUAUAUUAUUUAAUUAUAAAACCUACUAUAACGAUAUAAAUAAAUCAAUUAAUUUUCAUUUUCAUAAACAAAUGAGAUGCUUAAAACAAUAUGUAACACAUUUAAUCAAAACUUAAAAAGAAUUACAGUUAUUAUUGUUUGUCCCCAUCCUCGUUGUUUGGUUUCCAAGUUGUGACCCAAAGUCGAGAUUGAUUUGGUUGUUUGGUUUCUAAGUUGUGACCCAAAAUCAAGAUUGCUUUUGAAUUUUUGGUCUGUCUCCAUUGUAAAGCACAUCAAACAAAGAUACAAAUUGAUACAACUAUUCUCAAGUUCAAAUAAAGCAUUAUCUUGUUAGGUAGAGUGAAUAAAAUCACUAAGUUAUUUUUUAUGUCAAUUAAAUUUAUGGUUUUUUUCAAUUAGUUGGAUUGAUUAAAUAUUAAUAAUUUAUAAACACAUUCAUUUAAAUUAAUUUUACACUGUAAUAAAAAGUAAGAUGUUGUUUAAUAAAUCAAAAAAAAUUAAGUGAAAAAUAAAAAAAGGUGUUAUUUAAUAAUUCAUAAAUUGUACGAGAGUGAAGUGUUAGAUAUUUUUGGAUAUGUUUAAUGUGCUUGGGUUAGGAUAGAAAUUUCAAAAUCCGAGAAAAUAUAAAUAGUCAAACAUAUAAAUCAAAUCCAACUAAAAAUGCUAGAAAUUUGAUUUAUCAUACUCCUAUUAGAAAAAGAUAGAAAUGACGUGAAAUCACAAUUUCAUACAACCCUUUCUCCUCACAGUGAUUAUUGUUUGUCCCCAUCCUCAUUGUUUAAUUUCCAAGUUGUGACCCAAAAUCAAGAUUGACUUUGAAUUUUUGGCCUUCUGUCUCCAUUGUAAAGCACAUCAAACAAAGAUACAAAUUAAUACAACUAUUCUCAAGUUCAAAUAAAGUAAUAUCUUAUUAGGUAGAGUGAAUAAAACCACUAAGUUAUUUUUUAAGUCAAUUAGAUUUAUGAUUUUUUAUUCAAUUAGUUGGAUUGAUUAAUUUGAUAAAAAAUAAAUAUAAUUUUAAUUUUAAAUAAGUAUUAAAAAUAUUAAUAAUUUAUAAACACAUUCAUUUAAAUUAAUUUUACACUGUAAUAAAAAGUAAGAUGUUGUUUAAUAAAUCAAAAAAAUUAAGUGAAAAAUUAAAAAAAAUGUUUAAUAAUUAAUAAAUUGUACGAGAGUGAAGCGUUAGAUUUUUUUGGAUAUGCUAAUAAUUAAAAAUAUUGUACGAUGCUUGAAAGUUAUCUGAUACACAUUGUACCAAAUUUCAAUACCACAUAUAUGUUAUAAAAUCUUAUGAUGCUCUAAUCAACUAUUUAUAAAUUCAAUUUAAAAGAUAUUAUACAAUAAUUUCAAGCAUAUUUAAUAACAAUAAUUUAAUCAUAAAAACUUUUAAUCAUCCAAAUAUCAUACAUACUAUAAUUUAAUAAAAGAAUCUUAGUUUAAAAGAAACUAUAAAUUAAUAAUAUUUUUUUACCAAAAAUCAAUCAACAAAGGAGAAAAACAUACCACUUAAGGAUUAUAUAAUUUUUUCUGUAUAAUAAUUACCCAUAAUGUGCAGGCCCCAAUUGAAGACUGAAAUAACAGUAGCUCUAGAAGGCAAUUGGCAACAGCUUGAGUAGCAAAUUUGAGUGACCGACUAUUGCAUUGGUUGUUGCUUGAAAGGGGUAAGGCUUUGUGAAAGGGAAAAAAAAUUGUGACUUAUGGAGAAAAACAAUUAAAAGAAAACUGUGCUAAUAAGGUGUUAUAAAAUAAAAGGACAGAAAGUAAAUAACAAAUAAAAUGAGAAAGCAAAGAGAGCAUAUUUUAUUGAUCAAUCGAAAUAUUUACAAAGUUUCUUUAAAGUCUCUAUUUAUAGGCAUAAGAAGUAUAAAUAAAGUAGAGAUCCACUUCUAAUGACUAUAAGAAUUUAAAGUACAUCAAAACUUAUCUUAAUCUUAAUGGACAUCCACUUAAUAAGAUAUUCAUAACAAAUUUAUUAUUUUAUUAUUUUAUAAACAAUAAUAUAAGCUUUUUGGACAAAUUGAGUCGAGUUUAAACUUAACCUAAAUUUUUAAAAAAAAAGAGUCUAGGCCCAAUUUAGCUCAUGAAUAUCUUUAAUGGUUAAUUAAUUAUUUAUUUUAAUGAGUUUAUCUAAAUGUAUUUUAGUUUAUUAAUUUGAGUUUAGUGAUUCAAUGUAAUUUUUUUUAUAACUUUUAAUACAACUAUAAGAUGUAACUUAAAAAAAAUAUUUAUAAUUAUAAAUAUAAUUAUCAUCAAUUAGUUACUAAUAUGUUAUUUUGUUGUUCAUUAUUUACCAUUAAUUUUUUCAUAAUUUAAUAGUGUUUUCUAUUUAAAUAUUUUUAAAAAAUAUUUAUUAUAAUAUGCUUUUUGGAAAGUUAUCUUAUAGAAUAUGUUUUUUUUACCUCAACACCUAUAGAUCGAGUUUAGUGAUGUUUAUUGUACCACCAAGUUUUUGUGUCAUUGAAAUUAGAAUAAUUAUUUUGAAAUUAUUACAACACAUUAACACCCAGAAUCUUAAACCGUAAUAAUAUGAUUUAAUUUUCUAAUAGCUUUGGAUAAUAUUUAAACAAAACUCGGACAUUUAUGGAUGUUGAAUUUUUUUGUAAAAUUAAAAAAAACAUAUAUAGUAAUUCGUAACCAUUAAUUAAAUUUUUUGUAAAAUUAAAAAAAACAUAUAUAGUAAUUCGUAACCAUUAAUUAAAAAGGAGACACAAAAAUUAAUUGAUCUCGCUGCCCACGAGAAUAUUUAAAAAAAUACUAAUAAAACUCUAAUUUUUAUAGGUUUUAAAAUGAUUUUAAUUUUCAUAAAAAAUAUAUAAUUUAAUUAUGACUUUUCAAAAAACAAAUUCUUACAUCACCCUCAUUCCAACUAAAAAAAUUACCCGAAUAUAAAAAAACAAAAAAGGAUAAUCAAAGGAGGAAAGUUGUAUAAAAUGUAUGUGGUAGCGGGGAAGAUAAUGGUGGUGACGUUGAGGGAUUAUAUAUUUAUAAUUUUAAUUUAUGUUUUACUAUUUAAUUUUUUAUUUUACAUUUCGUUAAUUAAAUGAAUUAAAUAAGAUCAUUUUUUCUAUUAAUUUUCAGUUUUUUUUUAAAUUCAAAUCUAAUUAAAAAUACUAAAAAUCUGAUUUAUCAUCCUCCUAUUAAAAAUAAAUAGUGAUGAUGUGAAAUCACAAUUUCAUACCAUCUUUUUUCCUUACAGUUAUUGUUGUUUGUCCCCAUCCUCGUUGUUUGGUUUCCAAGUUGUGACCCAAAGUCAAGAUUGAUUUGGUUGUUUGGUUUUCAAGUUGUGACCCAAAGUCAAGAUUGAUUUUAAAAUUUUGGUUUGUCUCCAUUGUAAAGCACAUCAAACAAAGAUAGAAAUUGAUACAACUAUUCUCAAGUUAAAAUAAAGCAUUAUCUUGUUAGGUAGAGUGAAUAAAAUCACUAAGUUAUUCGGUUAACUGAAUUAACCGAAAAUUAUAUGUUUUUUUAUUUUUGGUUAAAAAUUAAUCGAAUUAACCGAAUUAACCGAAUUACCCAAAUUAACCAAAUUAUCCGAAUUAUCCGAAUUAUCCGAAUUAAUCGAAUUAACCGAAUUGAAUCACUACAUAAUUAAAUUAUUUUUAGACUUUUAGACUUUAGUUUUAAUUUUAGUUUUAGAAUUUUAUUUUUAUUUAUUAAAUUAUUUGUAAUUUUUAUGAUUGGGUUGGGUUGGGUAAUUGUGUUGGGUUGAAUACUUGGGUUUGGAUUGGGUUUAGGUGAAUAGUGGGCCUAUUUAUAUAUUAUAAUUUUAUUUAUUAAUUUUUUCGGUUAAACCGAAAAAAUUUGGUUAACCGACUAGUUUUGAACCAAAUUAACCGUUAACCGAAAAAUCAAAAAAUAAUUAAUCGACCCCUGACCAAAAAAAUUCGGUUAACCGAUCGAUUAACCGAAUUCGAUCAGUUAACCGAAUUUUUUUGGUUUUAUCCAAAUUUUGCACACCCUUAGGUUAAUGUACUUGUGUUGUUGUUUCGACACCAUAAUCAAUUCAGUUUUGCUUCAUCCAUAAUAAUUGUGCACAACUCUCAAGUACAAAACUUAAACCGUGGAUUAUGAGAUAGAAUUUUAUCUUUGUUUUUUGUGGGCAAAUAACCAAUAAAAGCCCCUUUAUUUUUAAAUUUAUCGAAAUGGGCUAGGUUCUGAAUUAAUUACCGAAAUGGACCAUUUCUCCCAAAAACGCGUCCAUGUCAGCGCGUUGUCAGGGGAUCAAGCAAGAAAACGCUUCCUCAAGGAAAAAAAUUAGAUUUAGGGUUUUUGCAAUUAGAUUUAGGGUUUUACGGUUUUUGAGUUUUUAGAUUUUAGGGUUUUAAGGAAAAAAUUAAAUAAAUAAGGGUUUAGGGUUUCUUAAUUAAAUUAAUUAUAAAUUUAAAAAAAAUUAGAUUAGGGUUUAGUGUUUAUGGUUUUUAAGGAAAAAUUAAAUAAAUUAGGGUUUAGGGUUACUUGAGUAAAUUAAUUAUAAAUUUUAAAAAAAUUAGAUUAUGGUUUAGUGUUUAGGGUUUUUAAGGAAAAAAUCAAAUAAAUUAGGGUUUAGGAUUACUUGAGUAAAUUAAUUAUAAAUUUAAAAAAUUAGAUUGGGGUUUAGUAUUUAGGGUUUUUAAGGAAAAAUCAAAUAAAACUAGUUGUUAUUCGUUAUAUAUUUUAAACUCUGGCCCAUUUCGGAACCUGACCCAUUUCGGUAAUUUUAAAAAUAAAGGGGCUUUUAUUGGUUAUUUGCCCAAAAAAUAAACUAAUAAAAUUAAAUGUUUUUAGUAAAAAUUAAAUUUAUUAAAAGAAUUUUUUAAUAAUAAAUUAAAAAUAAAAUAUAUAAUGAAUUUUUGUAUUUUCAAAUUUUAAAAUAAAAAAGAGUUUUUUUUAUAAAAACAUAAAAAGAGUUAAAAGUUUAUAUAUAUAUUAAAUUUAUCUUUUGCUGUAAUUUUAAAUUUAUAAUAAAUUAAAAAUAUUAAUAUAAUAUAAUAUGCAAAAAAAUACUUGAAAUUUAAUAUAAUACAAUCAUAUUAAUAAUAGAAUAUUUUAGGGAUAAUAAUUCCUUAAUUAAGGUCUUAAGAUCAUGGGUAAAUAUUUUAUUGAUUGUUAGUGAAUGAUUUACAAAAAAGUAUUAUUAAUUUUAUUUAAUGGAAUUUAACAUAAAUUUUAAUAUUUUAAUAUUUAAUAUAUAUAUUAAAUUGUAGAAGUUUAAAUUUAAAAUUCGAGAAAAAAUAUAAUAAUUGUAAUUAAUAUUUAACUAUAUUUAAACAAAGUUAGACUUAAUAAAUAAUUUUUAAAUAAUUUUUAAUUUUUUUAAAAUUUAUAAUUAAUUUAAUUAAGAAACCCUAAACCUUAAAAUCUUAUUUAUUUAGUUUUUUUCCUUAAAACCCUAAAAUCUAAAAACUCAAAAAUCCCAAAACCCUAACUCUAAUUGCAAAAAACCCUAAAUCCUAAAAAACAAGGAAAGCGCUUCCUUGAGGAAGCGUUUUUUGUCCACGUGGACAAAGCGCUUCCUUGAGGAAGUGUUUUCCUGCUUUAUCCUCUGACAACGCGCUGACGUGGACGAGUUUUUGGGGAAAAUGGUCCAUUUUGGUAAUUAAUUCAGAACCUGGCCCAUUUCGGUAAUUUUAAAAAUAAAGGGGCUUUUAUUGGUUAUUUGCCCAUUUUUUGUAGUGCUAUGAAAUUUAGCUUAAUAGAUAAUAGCAAAUUUGUGGAAAUACAAAAACUUAGCUUAACAUAUUUAAUAACUAGUGAUUGGGUUAGGAUAGAAAUUUCAAAAUUUGAGAAAAUAUAAAUAAUCAAACAUAUAAAUCAAAUCAUGCAUUCUAAGGCAUAAAUAAUAAACAAGUUCUCGAUGAUGUGGUAUUUAAUAUCUAUCAAUUUUGUACGAGAGUAAAGCAAGUAUAAAGACUUAAAAAUGAUUAAAUUAAAGUAAAAAAAUAAUUCUACAACUUGUACCAACGGAAGAUUUUUUGAUUAGGUGAGGGAUACAGUUGGAUCCGUUAUCUAGUGGCUGUCCAUGGUGUGAUAGAGUUAUAGAAAAUGUUAAUCAUUUGUAUUUUCUAUGUCCUUUUAUUAAUAUAUAGUUUUUGGUCUCGCAUUUCUAAUUGGUAGAGUUUUGAUUGGAAGAAUGUGGUGAAUUUUGAAGAAUUCUUUACUUUGUACUGGAACAUGCCCCUGAUAGGUCUGCAAAAAAGCUUUCGAUUAGUGGCGAUUGCGGGAUCUUGUUGGAUAGAAGAUAUCAGAUCUUGUCUUCCUGUAUUGGCAGUGAAGUAGAUCGAAGAUAGCAGAUCUUGUCUUCCUGUAUUGGUAGCAAAGUAGAUCGAAUAUAGCAAAUCUUGUCUUCCUGUAUUGGCAGGGAAGUAGAUCGAAGAUAGCAGAUCUUGUCUUCCUAUAUUGGCAGGGAAGUAGAUCGAAGAUAGCAGAUCUUGUCUUCCUGUAUUGGUAGGGAAGUAGACCGAAGAUAGCAGAUCUUGUCUUCCUGUAUUAGCAGCGAAGUAGAUUGAAGAUAGCAGAUCUUGUCUUCCUGUAUUGGCAGCAAAGUAGAUUGAAGAUUAUAGAUCUUGUCUCCCUAAGCAGUAGUGGAGCAGAUCGAAGAUGAUAAAUAUUAUCUUCCCAAGGUAGUAGGGAACCAGAUUUAAGCCACCAGUCCUAUCUCCUUGAGUAGCGGUGGAGUAGGUUGAAGAUCGUAGAUCCUGUCUCCCUAAGCAGUAGUGGAGCAGAUCGAAGGCAGCAAAUCCUAUCUUCCCAAGGUAGUAGGGAAGCAGAUUUAAGUCACCAAUCCCUUCUCUCUGAGUAGCAGUGGAGUAGGUCGAAGAUUGUAGAUCAUGUAUCCUUAAGCAAUAGUAGAGCAGAUCGAAGGCAGCGAAUCUUAUCUCCUUGGCGUUACAGUAGAACAGAUUAAAGCUCAAGGUAGCGAAUCUUGUUUCCAUAGCAUUGCAGCGGAGCAGAUCAAGACUGAAGAUAACCAACCUUAUCUCCCUGAAGUUACAGUGGAGCCGGUUGAAGAUAUCAAUCUUAUCUCCCUGAAGUUGCAGUGGAGUAGGUUAAACGAAGUGAGCCUUAUCUCCCCGAAGCUACAGUGGGUCAGGAAGAGGCUACUUGAAGAAGAAGCAUACCAAUGUCCAACACAACCGGACAAAAUUGGCCUUCUAAUUUAGUCUUUGCUUCAUUUUCAUUACACGACAAUGAGCAAAGAGGGGCAGCUGUAAUAGGCCAAUUUAGCCCGGGCUCACAAAAAAAAUAAUAAACUCAAAAUAAUAAAACAAAGUCCAAGUCCAGUCCAAAAUUGUAUCAUUUGGCCCGAUCGGAAUGACCCAUUACUUGAAAAAGGAUAUGCAAUCUUAGAUAUAAUAUGCAAUCUUAGAAGAUAAGAUUUUGUAAUCUUAGAUAUUUAAUUUGUAGAUACCAUUUAAAUCUUAGCCGUUGAUGUAAUUGAUCUAUACCGUUGGAUUUAGGGAGGCUCAACUAUAAAUAGAGACCUCUCCCUUCAUUGUAAAACACUGGAGUUGGGAGCAAUAAUAAUUCUUAAGAGCAUUCACUCAAAUUUCUCCUUCUCUUGUGUUCUUAUUUUCUGUGGCCUGUUCUUAUUUUGUUUUUUGUUCAUCUUUGUUUCAUUUUAAGUUGCUUUCAUUUGAGUUGGAUUUUGGUGGAAGAAUUUCGUUGAAUCUUCAUAUUGUGGGAGUAAGGCUGACUUAAGUGUUUUUUUUAACCUUUUUUAUUUAUCCAUUUAAUUGUUUAAUUAUUAAUUAUUCUUUUACUUUUAUUCGUUUAUUUAUCCAUCAACUUUCUUAUUUACAUAUCGUUCAUUCAUUUAACCAUUCUUAUCAUUCUUUUAUUUUUUCCAUUAAUUAUAUACUUUAUUUGUUUUUAAUAUUAUGUCACACAUGUUAUUUAUUUUUUAAAAACUCGUGUUAUAAAUCAUCUAUUUUAAAUUAUUUGAUUAUUUGCUUUAAAUUUUUUUCCAUAUAUUAUCAAUUGCAAUUUAUUUUUUAUACUAUCUAUUUUUUCCAUAUUUUGGCCCUCAGUUUUGUUUUAUUCUCAUUUUUUCCUUUUAAUUCUGUUUUAAAAUCAAUUUAAUCCUCACUAGUUUGAUUUAAUUUGCUUGUGUUUUAUUUAUUUAAGUAUUGAUUAUUAUGAUUUUUAAAAUUUUAAAUAUGAUAUUAUUUGAAUGUUUAUACUUAUUAUUAUUAAAUUAAUCAUUAAUAUUAUCUAAGUGUAUUGUAUAUUAUUAUUUUAGAUUUAUCAUGUUUUGUUAUUUGUAAUUUAUCAAUAUUAUUAUUUUAAAUUCAUUGAUAACAUUACUUUAAAUUUAUCAUGUAUAUCUAUUUCAAAUUUAUCAUUAAUAUUUUUAAAUUUAUUAUAUACUAUUAUUUUGGAUUUAUCACGUAUGAUUAUCCUAGAAUUAUCAUCAAAAUUUUUAAAUUUUACAUGUAUUAUUAUUUCAAAUUUAUUAUAUAUUAUUUAUUGUAAAUUAUCCAAUUCAUUUCAAAUUGUAGAUAUUGUUUGUUUUAAUUCAUGUAUUGUUUUAAACUUCAUCCAUAUACAUACUAUUUAUUUUGGAUUAUACAUAUUACUUAUUUUCUAAAUUAUUUUUAUUAUUUUUCUAUAUAAUGUAUAUUCUAAUUUUUCUUCAUAUUUCAUUUGCUUAAAUAUUUUUGUAUAUUGUGUUUUAUUAGUUGUUUUAAACAAUUUAUUAAAUGAUUUAUUUCAAUUCAUUUCAUGUAUUCAUUUUAUCUUAAUUAAUUGAUUUACAUAAUAGAUUUUUUAGCAUAUUACUUACUUCAUGUUGUUUCAUUUAUGUACCAUUUCUUUGGAAUUAAGUUUGUUUUAUAUAUUAUUUCGAGUUCGAUAAUUAUUAUGUGUGUUUGGGGUUUAUACGCGCAUAUUAUUUAGUAUUCUGCCCAUGUAUAUUAUUCCAUGUUCAUACAUUUACUUUUCAGUUCCGAACAUUACAUCAUGGUUAAUUUGAUUAUUUCAUUUCUUUUCAUUUCGAAUAAAUCAAAUUUAUAUCAUUGUUAAUAUUGCAUUAAACCUUCGCUUUAAUCCAAUUUCGUAAAAAAAGGGAAAAAGAAGUUUGCAAUAUGUCGUCUUUGGAACGAUGAGAAAUCGUGCUCUAACUUACAGGGUUUCGAUCUUUCUCAUCGAACUAAAAUGGCUAAAUAUCUUAGUUGUCAAAUAUACAAAGUUUCAAUAAAGAUUUUUUAGCUUACGCUCGGGAAUUGAAAUGUUGCAUCCUAACUUACGGGAUACGAUAUUUUGUCGUCUCGGGAUGAGAAGGCUUUUUUACAUUCGUUUAAAUUUAUCCAAGUACUAUUUUAAGAUAUGUUAUUAAUAAAGGGGGAUUGUUUUUAAUCUUUUCAACUUUACGACAUUCGACUAUAAGACAUUAAUAAUCAAUUAGGUAGCAAUUUUGGGCGUUACGAGGGUGCUAACCCUUUCACGUGCGUAACCGACUCCCGAACCUAUUUUCUCAAAAUUCGUAGGCCUAAAAUCGUUUUCAAGGUGAUCCAAUCACACCUCAAUAAAAGAUCGGUGGCGACUCCAUUUUUUCGUUUUAAAAGUCGACCCCAUUUUUUCAAAAUAAAAAAUGGUUUCGACAAGUAGUAUUUUGAUUAUGUUUUUAUAGAUGUAAUUUAGUAUUACUUUAUUCUUUAGCCAAAAAAGAUUUUUUUUAUAAUUUAAUUAAAAUUUACUAUUAUGAUUCAAUUUGAUGUAGCUUCUAGAGAUGACAAUAAAGUCGGGUGAGAGCAGAUAUUGCUAAACCUAUUACCACUCCAUCAUUUGCAUGUUGUAUACAUCCAUCUAAUCCCAUCCCAUCCCAUCCCACCCUGCAUUAUCAUAACUGCUUCGUACCUAUUACCCAAAAGAAAAAAUCCACCCCGUUCAGCCCUGCAUCCACUUUUCAAAAAAAAAAUCUAUUUCAAGCGAAGCAAUUCAAAAUGUAUUGGACAAUUUGAGUUGUCAUACCUAAUAACUUUAAUCUGAGUUCAUAAUUGAAUACUGAGUUUAGAUGGUAAUUUGUUUUCCAAACUUUUUGAUGUCGUGUUCUUCGACAUGCCUAUGAACCGUUUCAUCAUUUGCCUCUUAGAAAAUUAAAAAUAAGUUGUUUAUACUAUGUGAUGUAGUUUUAAAACCGUUUCUUUUUUUUUUAUUUAUCCGUUAUUUAUUUGGUGUAGGCGAAAAAUAUUUUAUGGGUUUGUGUUUUUAAAAAAAGAGUCAAAUUUUAUUUUUUAAUCACCAUUAUCAAAUGUGUUUAUUAAUUUAGCGUAAAUAUUUUUCAUAUUUAUCAUUAAAUAUUAUUAUAAUUGUUUCAUGUUACUUUACUUAUUUUUCAUAUUUUUCAACUUAAUAUUAUAAUUUACUAUAGGUAACAAUAAUUAAAAAUACAUUAUUUAAAAUUAAUUAAAAAUUAAAUACGUAAAAUCAUAGGCAUGUGACAUUAGAAAUUACUUUAAAAAUAUAUAUCAAACAAAUUUUAUAAUUUAAAUUAAAUAUUUAAUUUUUUUAACACUUACUCUCUUUUUUUUUUAAUUUAUCAACCAAUUUUUAAGUCUAACCUAAUUCAAACCAAGGAAACUUACUUGGAUUUUAUGUUGGGAAUUAAAUAAAAAAGAGAAAUAUUUUUCACUUCAAACUUAUUCAGUUUAAUUACCAAAACUCCAAAAUAUUUUUUUGAAGACACCCAAAAAAACCCCUCUAUAAAAAAUAAGGAUAAUUUGUGAUAUUUUUCCUCUUAAAUGAUGUUAUUUAUAUUUUUAAUUAUAUUAUUUAUAUUUUAUUUUAUUUAUUAUUGAUUUAGAGAAUAAUUAGAGAUAAAAAAAAGCUUAAAGUUUAUUUUUGACAAGUUUUGCGGGUUGGACUUUCAACAUUUACAAUAUAGUUUCAGUAUUUUGGCAAUAACUUAAGCUACAAAUUUUAGUUUUGGGCUCAUAAUAUAUAGAUUUGAAGAAAAUUGACAUAACUAACUAAAGUUGUCUUGUAGAUGAAGCCCAAAAACAUCAAGAAGACAUCAAAAAAUGUCCUAGAAGUUUGACGGAAAAAUUGCCAAAAUAUCUUGAAAACUUUUGCUUUAUAUAAUUAAUGGCACUUUUGUACUUUCUCUAUUAUAUUAUUUUUCCCCUAUAGAUAGACAUUAUUAGGUUAAUACGAGGGGAGACCUAAACCUAGCCAUUCUUAGUUUUAUUUUGUUUUCUUUAUUUUGUGGCUUUUUAAACUCUCCAUCUAGUCAAAGGUUUUAUCAAAAUUUGAUUUAAUAAAUUUGCGAGACUUAAUUUUUGCUUUAAUUUUUCUUUGUUCUUUAGUAUUCAUGCAUUUUUUGUUUUAAUUACAACUUUUCAGGUUUAUUGAAUGUUCAGUCGGUAUUUGAUAGCCUAGAAUGAUUGUUUUGUCAAUUAGAAUUGUUAAACCCAUAAUUGUAUAAUUCAUUCUAAUACUAGUGACAAACUGCAUAAUUCGUUUAAGUGUAGUUCAUGUUUAUGUGGUGUGAAUGUGUGAUAUAGCUAAAAUGAAUCUCACUAGGAUGAGUUUGUUGGUUAGAAUUUGGACUCUCUCGUUCUUAAUACUGGCGGUAAGUUAAAUCUGGGGCGUUGAGUUACAGGGUUAUUUAUCGAUUAGGAAAUAAUUUCAAAUGAGUUUUCUCUUGGCUAUCGAACAAUGAGAGAUUGGUUGUCCGACACUGAGUCAAUAACUAGAACUAAUUUAUUAAAGGUAUUGAAGUUAUUUUUGCAUUGAUGAUCAAAUCUUUGAAUCAAACGAAGAUUUUAGUACUUCUAGAGUUUCUCCUCAUUAAUUUUCUUUUCUUUUGUUUUAUAAUUUAUUUUUACUUUGUUUUAAUUUUAAUUUUUAAUUUUAAACUCUUUUUAUAUUUUUCAUGUAAAUUUUUGUUUUUAUAAAUCGCUGCAUCCUUGCAUUACUUCAAUACAACACCAGAAGAACAAAAUGUCAAACACUGACGCUUAUAGAUAAAAAUCUUGCAAAAGAGGCCGUUUUAUUUUAUCAUAAAAUUAUUCAUGAAAUAGCCAUACAUGGCAAUUACAUAAGCUUGAAGGCCUUAAAACACAGAGACAUACGAUAGAAAUACGCAAACACACACACAAACGAUAGUAAUAAGCAAACACACACAGACGCAGUAAUGAAGGCUAACUUCAACUUCGUAGUAGUGCACACCGAUGGAGCACAUUAUUAUUUAGUUUACAGUUUCGACCUCUAGUGAUCGAAAACCCUGGCUCAAAGCCGGCAGCUUACGCACCCGUAGUGGUGUUGGGUUGGUUGCCAAGAAAAGCUGCAUCAGCAUUCUCAUCAGUGCAAUAAAGGCAAGGGUGCUGCUGUCCACAUCCUAGCUUUAUUAUUUCAUUCCUGACCUUCACCACAAGUUGUCUAUUGCUUAAUGCCCCAUUGCUCUCCCUGAUGACCUUCAGAACUGUAUAGGUAAAGGCCCCAAACCCCAUUCCUCCGGUUUUGUCACUCGCUCCCAUAUCACUCGAUUCCUCAUUGGCUUGGCACCCACUUAACAGAAUUCCCUCAUCCUCCGUCAGUGACCUCAAAUUCACAAUAUCACGUUCAUCAUGGGGUAGGAAUUUGAGACUCACAUUGUUCCCAAAGAUUGUGGUCAAAAUAGAGCCAAUACCCUCCAUAUUAUCUGUUCCAGUGUUGAUGGCAUUCCCAAGUGCUCUUGUGGGAAAUAAGCCUUGUGUCGCGAUUAUGACGUUGGCUACUGUUUGUAGGCACUGGUAUAAGGUUCCUAAGGAAAUGCCCCUAGUCUUGUAAUCAACAGGUAGUGCUAUACCCCUUAGAGUACUAUGGGGUCCAAUUUGUUCUUUACUUUUAUCAAUCAGACCACCACUGUGGCAGGAAUCCGAAACCAUUGUGAAGCUUGAUCCACUUGGUAGUUGCUUAAUCAAUUGCCCCAAGUCCACGUC